rnacentral:lncRNA from 1 species
AAUGGUGUGCGAAACAAUAGCAAAGCUGUAUACCAAUUAGAAGUAGUGCUGCAGAUGAGUAAUCAGAAUCUACAGGAAACAAGUGUGUGCAAUAUCUCCAUCAUGGGUGUCCGUCGGUUGUGAUUCACUGUGAUCUAAAGCCUAGUAAUGUCUUGCUGGAUGAGGAUAUGGUUGCCCACCUAAGAGACUUUGGCAUUUAAAAACUACUUGGUGAUGAUGAGAGUGAUUUAUACACUGAAACCUUAGCAAUACUGUGUUAUAUUGCUCCGGGUACAUCUCUUUGUUUUGCUAAUUAUUUGAACAUUAAUUACUCCUUUCUUUUUUUUCCCACUUAUAAAGCAUAUUUCAUCUUUAAAUGAAUUAUUUGACUAUAGAGUAUGGUGAGUUAUUCACUUACAGAGGCAGUAAUGGACGUGGUAGAUGCCAACUUGCUAACAUCAACUGGCAAUCGCUUAGAGAAGGAGCUAGAUGUUGUGGCAUCAAUCAUGAAAGUGGCAUUAGAUUGUUGUGCUAAAUCUCCGGCGAGAAAGACUAACAUGAAAGAUCUUAGAAUCUCUCGUCGCUUCAAGUCACUUGUUUGUUGCAAAUGUUUGAUAAAUUAGUGGAAUAAUGUAAACAUUUCUUUCUUUGCUUUGUUUUAGCACUUGAUUUCCUCAUAAUAUUAGUGUUGCAAAAUGGUGGAACUUGUAAAUAUAAAUUUAAUAACAAAAACCAAAUUAAUCUUCUUGAAAAUCUCAAUCAGAAUUUUUAAAAUUGUUAGAGGAAUUAACAUGAAUACAAAUAGCAAUUAAUACAGUAAAUGCUUUUCAUGGGAAACACUGAUGACAUAUAACAUCAAAAAUACAAACAGAAAGAGCAAUGAAAAAAAAAGGUAGCUUGGUGCAUGAAGCAUCUUGCAUUCACGCAAGAUAUAGACAAGUGUCACACCCAAGGAUUUUAAUACAGGCAACUUGCCUGACACAAACAUCUGAUUUCAUGACUUGAAUAUGCUGUGACCUAUAGGUCCCUCAAUGAUAAAUGAGGAAGAAAGAUAACUAAGUUCCUAAAUUUCUCUUCUUUCAAUACAGUACAAAGUCAACCUCCGUUCUUCAAAGAUUUUCCGAAUUAACCAAUUCUUUACACCACAACUCCUCUAAGUUUUGAUUUCUUGAUUUUCCACAUGUUGUUGCUCAUGUCCAAAACUUCCUGUAUUCUGCAGUAUCUCCUGACUUAGUGGUUCUAAGCCUGCCUUCACUCCUUUAGAGUCCAAUCCACAGGUGUACAAGGAGAUGAGUUACUGUCUAAUAUUUCCUCUUAUCAUAGACUGAUGGGCAAACUCAUAUCAUGUAUGCUACUAUCAUAAGAGCUGAUAUUAUCUCUAUUGUCCAAACCCUCAACCAGUUCAUGCAGCAUCCUAAACACUCACAUUGGGAGGCUGUUAUUAGGGUAGUCAGAGACCUCAAGGGUUCAUUGGGUCAAGGCAUUUGGUUAAAAGCUGACCCUUCUGCCACUCUUACUUGUUGGUGUGACUCAGAUUUGGCUCCCCGCCCUAACACUAGACGUUAAGUUGCUGGAUAUUCUAUCUAUUUUGGUGGAUAACUAAUCUCUUGGAAGUCCAAGAAACAACAUAGUGUGUCCAGAAGUACUGCUGAAGAUGAAUAUAGAAGCAUGGCUUUAGAAGUUGCAGAGGUAACCUGGCUGGUUGGAUUAUUUCAGGAACUCAAUAAUCCCAUUACCUUGCCCAUUUCAGUAUUCAAUGACAGCAAUUCAGCUAUACAAUUGGCCAAUAAUCUUGUGUUUCAUGAAAGAACAAAACACAUUGAAAUAGAUUGCCAUUUCAUUAGGGACAAGAUCAAGAAUGGCUUAAUACAGGCUACAUAUGUUCACACUCAUGAUCAAGUUGCUGAUCUUCUCACCAAGGGAUUGAGUCAAGAUCAACAUACACACUUGUUAAGAAAGCUUGGUGUGCUUAACAUAAUGCACCCUGCAGCUUGAGGGGGAGUGUUUCGAUCCACAAUGCAUCAAUGCUUGUAUAUGCAAAUGUACAGAGUUACUGUUACAUUAAUGAAGUAGUUAGUUAGGUGGUUAAUUGAUGAGUCAACUGCAUAGUUAGUUGUAGAAGUUGUUAGACAAGUUGUUAGGUUGUUAGUCGGUUAUGCUGAGCUGGCAAUGAGCUGAAUAGAAUCUCACUCAGCUCAACAACCUGUCUAUUAAUAAGAGCAACAACAACAAUGAAAAGACUAAUGGAUCAAUAAAGUUGAAUUUCUCUUUCACAUUUUCUCCAUUGAUCAUGAAUGAUCUAGCUGUCACCUGUUGGAGACAUAAAUAAAGUGUGUUGUAUACAACACAUAAAGCUUUUAUUUGAGUUGGUUGCUUUCAAGAUAUGGUGGUUGUUGAUGUCAAGAUAUUGUAUAAAUGUCAAGAUAUGGCAGUAUUUUUCAUAUUGUGUGUUAGUCAAUUAUUGUAGGUAGAAGCAUGAUCUUAGGGAUAUGCUCUUGACCUUUUAUGUCUAGCUUUGUGUAUAUAUUGUUGAUGUAAUCUAUCAUUUUGAGCUUGAAGUGAAAUACACUUGCAUCAUUAACAUGGUAUAAAAUCUCUCUAAAUUGUAGCCACUUCUAGCAUUUUUUUUUCUUUUCUCUACUCCAUCCAUCUCACUCAUUCAUUCUAGUUUUACCCAUCACUCCUAUAAUUUUCAGCAACCAGAAAAUUUUCUAGAAAAAGCAGCUCUACAUCGGCUGCUUCUUCUUUUUCCUGCAAGGUUCUUGUUCAGUACAGAUCUGAAAAAAAGUUCCUACCAGAUCCACUGUCAUCAAGAGGAGCCUUGAUCUUUUCCUUCCUCUGUUUCGAUUUCUUUUAACCAAUCUUUUUCUUGGUAUUUUGUUUUGCUGUCAAAGUCAUAAUGGCAGGGAAAGGCGAAUCUGUAGUAACCAAUGUCACAUAGAAAAUUGAAUCAAGUGAUUCAAAUCAGUGUUUUCCUCCAUUUCAAGUUCUCCUGUUAUUACCACCAUGAAAUUUGAAGGUAGUACUAAUUACACACCAUGGUCUUCAUCUGUUCAGAUGUGGUUUCUGGGACAAGGAUAUGAGGACCAUUUAGUUAAAAAUACUAGUGAUAUUGUCGCGAGUGAAAGUCAUAAGUGGACUUGAAUUGAUGCUCAAUUAUGCAAUCUCGUAUGGAACUCUUUGGAUCCUAAAUUACUCAAUCUAUUUCAAUAUUGUAAAACUUGCUAUGAAGUUUGGGCUAAAGCUAAGACUUUGUAUACAAAUGACAUACAACGCAUAUACAAGGUUGUAUCAGACUUGGUCCAACUUUAGCAAAAUAAUCAAGAUAUGGCGAGUUAUUUAGGACAGAUAGAAACCUUGAAAGAUCAAUUUGACUCUCUCAUUCCACUUUCUGAAAGUGUCACCACACAGGAGCAACAAAGAGAUAAUUCUUUAUGGUUCUAGUGCUGAAAGGACUUCAAUCUGAUUUGAGUCCUAUAUGGGAUCAAAUUUUGGAAAGUUCGUUAAUUCCUUCCUUAAUUGAUGUUUCAGCACAAUUAUCUCAUAUUGGUUCAGAAACAAACGAUACCAAUAAUGUCGAGACAUCUGUAUUAGCUGUGAAAAAUGCAAAUCCACAGGAUCAAAAUAUCCAGGAAAGGGGAAACAUUAAAACCUCUAGACCCUUUUGCAACUAUUGCAACAAGCUAGGACAUACUCGACAAACUUGUUGGAAAUUGCAUGGUCGAACACCACGUACUAACAAUUCUAGUACAGCUCACGUGGUUCAGACCGUAAAGACACAGAUGGUCAACUUUCCAAUUCUAUUAAUUUGUCUGGAGUAGAUUUUAGUGAUUACUUGCAGUAUAAAGCGGUUACACGAUAAUCACCUUUACCUGGCACCCCAAAAACUAAUUUAUUUGCUUGUCUACCAGAUCUUCACCCUCCUGCCAAUGGAUAUUGGAUUCUGUUGCAUCUGACCAUAUCUCUGGUAAUCAAAAUCUUUUCUCAAAUCCUAUUCAUUCCACAACCCUCACCACAGUUACCCUUGCUAAUGGAUCCUGAACUACAAUAAAAGGAAUAGGGGACAUGCAAUUUCUUUCCUCUAUUUCCUUAAACUCAGUUUUAUUUGCUCCUGAAUGUUCAUUUAAUUUGAUUUCUGUUAGCAAAUUAACCAAACACCUAAACUGUAGUUUCACUUUUUUGGCUGAAUCUGUUGUUGUAUAGGACCGGAGAACAGGGAAGAUGAUUGGAACAUUAUAUGAGUCAUAGGGACUAUAUCACAUGUCAAAAUUACCACCACCAGUUUCCUUCACUUCUGUUGCGUCAACUGAUCUUCUUCACAACCGUUUGGUCACCCGAGUCUAGCAAAACUUCAAAAAUUAAUUCUACUCUUUCCACUUUGUCUUCAUUUGAAUGCGAGUCUCGUCAACUUGGAAAAUAUAGUCUCACUUCAUUUCCCAAAAGAGUCAAUAAAAGGGAAACAUAUAUGUUUGACAAUAUUCACUCAGAUGUACGGGGUCCUAAUCGUGUUAUUUCAAGUUUAGGAUUUCAGUAUUUUGUUACCUUUAUUGAUGAUUUUUCUCAUUGCACGUAGGUAUUUUUAAUGAAAAAUUGUUCUGAAGUAUUCUCUAUUUUUCAAAAAUUCUAUGCUAAAAUAAACAAUCAAUUGGGUGUUUCAAUUAAGGUAUUACGCAGUGAUAAUGCAAAGGAGUACUUAUUUCACCCUUUGCCAGUUUCAUGUCGUCUAAGGGAAUCACUCAUCAAUCUUCUUGUGCAUACACUCCUCAACAAAUUGGAGUUUCCGAAUGUAAAAAUAGACAUCUCAUUGAGAUAGCUCGAACAUUACUCUUACACCAUUAUGUUCCUUUUCGUUUUUGGGGGGAUGUUGUCCCCACUGCUUGGUAUUUGAUAAAUAGAAUGCCUUCUAAUGUGUUGCAACAACAAAGUACUUACUUAGUUCUCUUUCCUGGUCAAAAUCCUUAUCAUCUACCUUUGAGAGUGUUUGGGUGUACUUGCUUUGUCAAUGAUCAAUGUAAUAGAAAUGAUAAACUCCAACCGAAAUCAAUUAAGUGUGUCUUUCUAGGAUACUCUCAUCACCAAAAAGGUUACAAGUGCUAUGAUCCAAAAUCAAAUAAAUAUUUUAUCAGUGCAAAUGUGAUGUGUUUUGAAAUAUCUCCCUAUUUUACGCCAAGCAGUACAAGUAGUAGUUUAAUUCCUCAAGUUUUGUUAGUACCCAUACUUCCUCUACAAUAAAUUAGUCUUCCAGACAACACCAAAACCGUUCCUCCCCAUCCUCUUCAAGUAUACACCCGAUGUGAUUGUCCUCUUAACAGUACUAAUGAUAGUACUACUCCUAGUCUAGAUGCAUUGGUAGCUCCUGAUGAUUCAUCUCAUGCUCCUUCGUCACGUGCUCCAUUCAUACCUUCAUCAGUUGCAGUGACCUGACCAAUCAUCAUACGCAAAGGUGUAUGCACUACUAGAAAUCAACCACCAGAGAUAUAUACCUGUUUAAGUUAUCAUCAGUAGUCCCCAUUAUAUUAUAUCUUUGUUUCUAAGAUAUCUAAUGUACCUAUACCAAAGAAUGUUAGCGAAGCAUUAUAACAUCAAGGGUGGAGAGAUGCUAUGAUUGAAGAAAUGAAUGUUUUACAGACCAAUAACACCUGGGAAUUUGUCUAGUUACCGAAGGUGGAAAUCUACUAUUGGAAUUUGAUGGAUCUAUACAGUAAAGGUAGGUUCAGAUAGAAUAGUUGAUCAGCUGAAAGCUCGCCUUGUUUCCAAAGGAUACACACAGAUUUAGAUCUUGACUAUGAUGAUACAUUCUCUCCAGUUGCCAAAAUUGUAUCUGUCCGACUACUCAUAUCCUUGGCAGCAAUGCAUCAUUGUCCGCUUCAUCAACUAGACAUUAAGAAUGCCUUUUUGCAUGGCGAACUUGCUAAGGAAGUUUAUAUGGAGCAACCUCCCAAAUUCGUUGCUCAGAGGGAGUCAGACUUAGUUUUCAAUCUCAAACGCUCUUUGUAUGGACUCAAGCAAUCUCCGAGAGCAAGGUUUGGCAGAUUUAGUUCUGUUGUCUAAUAGAUCGGGAUGUAUCAAAGUAAAGCACAUCACACUAUUUUCUAUCGACCUGAUGGUCGAGCAAAGAACAUUUUUCUGGUAGUUUAUGUUGACGACAUUGUCAUAAUUAGAAAUGACCCAGAAGGAAUAUCUCAUGCAAAGCAACAUUUGUUCAAUCACUUUCAAACCAAAGAUUUGGGGAAGUUAAAGUAUUUUUUGGGAAUUGAAGUAGCACAAUCCAAAACAAGUAUUUCCAUCUCACAAAGAAAAUAUUCUUUAUACAUAUUAGAGGAGUCAUGCAUGUUAAAUUUCAAACCAAUUGACCCUCUUAUGGAUCAAAAUAUCAAACUCGUCCCUGGAUAGGGGGAGACAUUGAAAGAUCCUGGUAGAUAUAGAAGACUGGUCGGUAUAUUUGGACUAUCUUACUAUUACACGCUCAGAUAUUUCAUUUGGAGUAAGUGUGGUUAGUCAGUUUCUCCAAGCUCCAUGUAAUGAUCAUUGGUAGGUAGGGAUUCGCAUCCUCAGAUACAUCAAAAAAGCUCUAGUACAAGGAUUGUUAUAUGAAGACAAAGGUCACACAGACAUUGUUGGAUAUUCUGAUGCGGAUUGGGCAGGUUCUCCAUCUGAUAGACGCUCUACUUCUGGGUAUUGCAUCAUGAUUGGAGGAAAUUUAAUUUCCUGAAAAAGUAAGAAGCAAGAUGUUGUUGCCAGAUCUAGUGCAGAAGCUGAAUAUCGAGCUAUAGCCUUUACUACAUGCGAGCUUAUUUGGCUGGAACAACUUUUCCAAGAGUUAAAAUGUGUUGAAUUCAAUCAAAUGAAGCUUAUAUGUGACCAUCUGAUUGCGCUACAUAUUGCCUCAAAUUUAGAUUUUCAUGAAAGAACAAAACAUAUAGAGGUGGAUUGUCAUUUUAUUAGGCAGAAGAUUGAGUCCGGAUGCAUUAACACUAGCUUCGUCGGUUCAAAUGACCAAUUGGCAGCUAUUCUUACUAAAUCACUAAGAGGAGCUCGGAUUGAAUACAUUUAUGGCAGGCUCGGAGAAUAUUACAUGUAUGCUCCAGCUUGGGUGGGAGUGUCAAGAUAUUGUACCAAAACAAUCUCACCCCUUAUUGGGUAUUUUCUUGGCCACGGGGAGUACGGACAAGCUUGAAGAAUUUUGUUACUCAUAUUUCAUGAGAGGAUUAAGCAUAUUAACAUAGAUUGUCAUUUUGUCAGGGAGAAAAUCAAAUAACAGCUGAUUAAACCUCAAUAUGUGCACACUACUCAUUCCAAACUGCGGAUUUGAUCACCAUAGGCUGUGGAACUACUAGAUGUCUACCAAUCUCCAGCUUGUGGGAGAGUAUGCUAAUCCAUUUUUGCUUUGCGGUCUUUUGUUUUUUUGUUUUUUACUUUCAAGGGCAUUUUCAGCCAUUUCUUUUAACUUAAAGAGCUAAAAGGAAAAAAAAAAUUAUAUCACCCCAAAAUAAUUCAUGUGUAAAUGACCCCUUGGAGGUGGGUUAUGUUAGGUUGAGCUAAAAUCAGUCAACAUGAAAAUAUACUUUGCUCAAUCCUUAAAAUUUUGGGCAAAUUGAAUGGGUCACCAACCAAUUUGAAAAUGUUUAGCCAUUUUAAAGUAUCUACUUCCAAUACUGGAUUCAAAUAAACUUAAUAUCUCUGUGAUGCAUCCACCACUAACCUUAGAAAUCAUUUUUGCUUGUCUUGGCGGAGAAUUUUAAUUUGCUUUUGCAAAAGUUGUGAUUAUUACUUAACUCGACCCAUUACAUGCCCCAAAUAACAGGAUAAUUCAACUAUGACACGAGCCAGUAAUCUUUUGGAUCCACUAAUUUUAGCUUAGAAUUUGUAAUGAUUGUGGCAUAGAUGAGAAAAAUUUUUAACGGACGAUAAGAUGUCAUUUCUAAUAAGAGAUUGGAUGACAUAUUUAAGCCUUUUUCCUUUAAUAAUUUUGAAUUUGCUUUGAAAUGUGAGAAUUUGAAGAGUUGGAUGUUUCUAUAUUAUAAUUAUGAUCUUGUAAUGUGACAUAAAUCUUUGGCCCAUUGUAUUUUCUUACUGUUGUAAGACGGGUUACACGCGGCACAAACAACACGUGUACCCAGAGGCUAUAUUUAAAGGGAGAUACUGUUGCUAUUUAAAGUCUCUAAACAACCACCUUAUUGGCCAUAACAAGUUCCUUGAAAUUUAUGCAACUAUGGAGAAAGCGUUCUCCCCUUUUCUCUUACUUCCUUGUUGCUUCACUAUGUUAUGGCUAGUUCAGCCAUGACCAAAACCAACAUUACUACUGAUCAAUUGGCUCUUUUUACGCUGAAAUCCCAAAUUGUUUCAGACCCCUUUCAUUUCUUGGAUGAAAGUUGGUCUUUCGCUACGUCCGUUUGCAUUGGGUUGGAGUCACUUGUGGCUCUCACCACCAGAGUGAAGUCCUUGAAUCUGAAUUUCAAUUCCAUAGAGGUCCAGAUACCAAAAGUGAUUGGAAACCUUAGAGAAUUAAAGUUGAGGGAUAACAACCUCAUAGGCUCUAUUCCUCUGUCUCUCUCGAAUGCCUCAAGGUUGGAGACUUUAGAUAUAUCUUAUAAUUCACUUCAAGGAAACAUUCCAGAAGAGAUCGGCAAUCUUCACAACAUGAAAGUUAUAUCCAUACAAGAUAAUCAACUUAUGGGUUCUAUACCUUUCAUAAUUUUCAAUAUUUCUAGAAUCGAAGUCACUGCAUUUAGUGGCAAUAGCUUAUCAGGAAAAACAAGCUUUGCGGUCAUAUGGCUACAAGUUUGUCGAAUUGUUCACAACUUCAAAUUUUGGCUUUACCAGAUAAUGAGUUUGGUGGACCAAUGCAUAGUGAAUUUGGAAGAUUGAUUAACUUACAGAUAUUAGAACUCGGAAUGAACCGUUUCACUGGUGCGUUCAAUAUAAUGAAUACUAGCACUAUUGUAUCUUAUGACUUCAGAAUUUUAUUUUUUUGCACAUUAAUUUCAGGGAUAAUUCCCCAAGAAAUGGAAAAUCUUGUUAAUUUGGUAGAGUUAGCUAUGGAGAAAACAGAUUCCGGCUCUGUCCCGAUCUCCAUAUUCAAUAUCUCAUUGUUGCAAAUUUUGUCUGUGUGGGAGAACAAUCUUAGUGGAUUCUUACCACGGGAGAUAAGAAGUCUCACUGAAUUGGAGGAACUUCGUCUUGCGUUUAAUAGUUUUGGUGGUUCACUCCCAAUGGAGAUCUUCAACAUAUCAGGGCUGAGAGUAAUUGAUCUUACAAACAACAAUCUAUCUGGAAGCCUCCCACCAAACAUGGGUUCUAUCUUACCCAACACUGAAGAGCUUUAUAUGGGCAACUUAACCAAUCUUGUUGGGACUAUUCCUCAUUCCAUCUCCAAUUGUUCAAAACUUACUAUUCUAGAGCUUUCGAGCAACAAACUCAGAGGCUUGAUUCCCAACUCACUUGGAUAUUUGACUCAUAUACAGUAUCUAAAUUUAGGGGGAAACAAUUUAACCAGGGACUCAUCAUUGAGCUUCCUAACCUCCUUAACCAAUUGCAGAAAAUUAACAACUCUAGCUCUAUAUUUGAAUGCUCUAAACGGCAUGCUUCCUGCCUCCGCGGGGAACCUUUCCACAUCUUUGAGAACAUUUGUUGCCUACAGUUGCAAGAUCAAAGGGAGAAUUCCAAAUGAUUUGGGGAACUUAAGCAGCUUAUUAGACCUUGAUCUUUCAGCAAACAGCUUGGCUGGACCGAUUCCCACAACAAUUGGAAACUUGAGAAACCUUCAGCGCUUCAACUUGAGUAACAACAAACUUAAAGGAUUUAUUGGUUACAUGUAAAUUGCAGCAUUUGGGUGAUAUUUACUUAGGUCGAAAUCAACUUUCAGCAUCUCUUCCCAACUGUUUAGGGAAAAUUACUAUCCUUGGGGAGAUACAUCUGGGUUCCAAUAAAUUGAGUUCCAAUAUACCACCAAGAUUAGGGAACCUUCAUGAUCUAGUGGUUCUUGACUUAUCGUAAAACAACAUGGCAGGUUCUUUACCUCUAGAAAUUGGAAAUCUAAAGGCUGCGAUACUGAUAGAUCUGUCAAUGAAUAAAUUUUCAAAUAGAAUUCCAAGAGAAAUUGGAGGAUUGCAGAAUCUGGCACACCUUUCUUUGAGACACAAUAAGUUGCAAGGAGCUAUACCUGACUCAAUGAGCAACAUGGUAGGUUUGGAAUUCCUAGAUCUUUCUCAUAACAAUAUAUCUGGAAUCAUUCCUAAGUCUUUGGAGAAACUUCAAAACCUGAAGUAUUUCAAUGUUUCUUGGAAUAAAUUGUAUGGUGAAAUACCCUCGGGAGGUCCUUUAAAGAACCUCUCGAGUCAGUUUUUCAUCUACAAUGAAGCAUUGUGGGGUUCUUCAAGAUUUGGUGUCCCUCCAUGCCCCACUUCAUCAAAGCAUAGAUCUAAAAGGAAAAAAGUGCUUGUUAUGUUUCUUUUGCUGGGAAUUGCACUAGUAUUUGUUCCUAGCAUCUUUGUGUUUUUAUGGAUAAGGUAUAGAAGAGGUAAAAGAGCUCCUCAACAACCUGAUUCAUUGGCUUUCAUAACAAGAGAAAGAAUUUCAUACUAUGAACUGCUCCAAGCAACUGAUGCGUUUAGCGAUAGUAAUUGGAUUGGUUCCAGAAGUUUUGGCUCUGUUUACAAAGGCGUUCUCAGAAGUGGAACUGCUAUUGCAGUUAAAGUGUUCAAUCUGUAACUAGAUGCGGCAUUCAAGAGCUUUGAUACAGAAUGUGAAGUUCUGCACAGCCUUCGCCAUAGGAUAAUAUCGUAAGAGUCAUAACUAGUUGUUCCAACCAUGAUUUUAAGGCUUUAGUGCUCGAGUAUAUGCCAAAUGGAAGUAUUGAGAAGUAUUUGUAUUCGCACAACUACUUCCUCGACAUCAAGCAGAGACUAAGCAUAAUGAUAGAUGUGGCAUAUGAUUUGGAAUAUCUGCACCAUGUGAUAUACCAAACGGUAUCUACAAGAGCACGAAAUAGUCCACAAACUCACAAAAACAGUCCACACAUACAAGACACCAAGAGGAAACAACAAACACAAACUUGAAAGAUAAAGAAGAUAGAUAACCUGACACAAAGAGAAUACGAAAUGUAGCAACUAAAGAGUGUAUCAAACUCUAAAACCUCUACAAAUCAUAUUAACAAGCACCAAGUUCUUACGUAAACACAAGAGGGACUCGCUUCACUCAAGCACUCACGUUACUAGCCGUUUCACAACACAAGUGGAACCUUUCACUUGUGAUGUUCAAAGUUGGUGGUCUACUCUCUUCUUGAGAGGAAAAUGGUGUUUCAAUGUUACAAUCUUCAUUCCAAAAAUAAGCUAACUAAGCAAAUAAGACGAAGGGGUUCUACUUAUAGUCUAUUACAAAAGAAAUGGGAAACUACACCUUUACCCUAAAUGAAGGGGCUGGGUUUGGAGUGUAUAAAUGGGGCUACCUUGUAGUGUUUUUAUGACACUCAAGGCAUGUCUUCACACUUUAAUACAUACACUACCUUGGACAAACUUAAGACAUGCUCAAACACAUCCAUCUUCAUGAAUGUGCCUUGAAGACAUUGUAGUUCCCGAGCUUGGCUCCUAUGGAAUGGUCUUGAGCUCUCGAUACCCGUUUGCCACUCUUUUGCAAAGGUCUUCACACUCUUCCUUCUUCUUGGAUAUGGUUCGAGUAUGGCUGCUUGUGCUUGUACCCUCUUUUCACUUGUAUCACUUGUAAUCUUUGUUCUCUUUACUCUUGUAUCAUCCUCUCCAUCUUGAAAGGAAUUUGUCCUCAAAUUGACACCUUGCAAACCAAAAGAGAGGGACCCAAGCACACAAUCCUCAUGGUAUGAGGGUUAGCAUUAGUGUCACAAAUUAUUUAAUCAUGCCAAUCCUUUGUUAUGAUCAUGAAACACUUACAACAAGCAUCACAAAGGACUUGGCUAAGAUAGACAUCAAGGGAAGAGGAGUGCAACCUGAGACCAUCACAUAUAUCAAUAAGCCAAGGUUGUUCACAUUUGAAAAAUAUCCACAGGUCCUUUGUGUGUGUCAUGAAAAGCUUAGCAUGAAUGGCACAAAGGAUAUGGUUUUGGCAAAUACCAAGAGAUAAGGAAACCACAAUGGUCUUGAUGGCCUUACUACACCCAAAAAGUAAGGCUAACUUUGGCUUAGGAACCAUAAGAUACAUUUGUUUCAUUACCUCCACAAAGAACCUCAUCAAAUAUGGAGCCACUAUUGAUCCUAAGGUCCACCUUACCCACAUAUCAUUAUCAUUCAAACAAGGAAACCUGCCACCAAACUUACUACCUCUACACAAUACCCAUUCAAAAUUAACAUGGUUAACAAGGAAACCACAAUGGUCUUUUGCUAUGUCCGUUUGCCAUUGGGUUGGAGUCACUUGUGGCUCUCACCACCAGAGAGUGAAGUCCUUGAUUCUUUCAAACAGGGCCCUUGAAGGCAGGAUUCCCCGUGAAUUUGGAAACCUCACGUUUCUCGUCUCUCUCGACUUGAGAAGAAACAAUUUCCAUGGAAAUUUACCUAAAGAAAUGGCACGCUUGCGCUGGCUUAAGUUUCUUGAUUCAAGUGUCAACAACUUCAGCGGGGAGGUUCCGUCUUGGUUUGGAUUUUUACACCAACUUCAAGUUCUAAAUCUUAGGAAUAAUAGUUUCACUGGUUCCAUCCCUUGUUCAUUUUCUAAUAUAUCCACACUUGAUACUUUGAAUCUGAAUUUCAAUUCCAUAGAGGGCCAGCUACCAAAAGUGAUUGGAAACCUUAGAGAAUUAAAGUUGAGGGGUAACAAUCUCAUAGGCUCUAUUCCUCUGUCGCUCUCGAAUGCCUCAAGGUUGGAGACUUUAGAUAUAUCUUACAAUUCACUUCAAGGAAACAUUCCAGAAGCGAUCGGCAAUCUUCACAACAUGAACUUGUUGUCCAUACAAACUAAUCAACUUACCGGGCUCUAUACCACUGUCAGUUUUCAACAUUUCUAGAAUUGAAAAUAUAAGAUUUACAGGCAAUAGCUUAUCAGGAAGUCUUCCCAAUGGUUUAUGCAAUGGUCUCCCAAUACUCAAAGGGCUUUAUCUGUCUUCUAACAAGCUUCGUGGUCAUAUGCCUACAACUUCAAAUUUUGUCUUUAUCGGACAAUGAGUUUGAUGGACCAAUACAUAGUGAAAUAGGAAGAUUGAGUAACCUGCAGAUACUGUAUCUGGGAACUAACCAUUUCACUGGUACUUCCAUCUUAUGAAUACUCUCUCAGAAUUUUAUUUUUUCCCACAUUAAUUUAAGGGAUAAUUUCACAAGAAAUUGGAAAUCUUAGUUUGGUAGAGUUAGCCAUGGAGUAUAAUCAGAUUACUGGCUCUGUCCCGAUCUCCUUAUUAAAUAUCUCAUCGCUGCAAAUUUUGUCGCUGUCGAUGAACAAUCUUAGUGGAUUCUUACCACGGGAGAUUGGCAACUUAACCAAGAUGCAACAUCUAUGGAUUAGUGGAAAUAAGCUUAUAGGUACAUAUAUAUUCUAAUGGUGUCUCGUGUUAAUUUUUAUAGAUCCAUUGGAACUACUAAAAUUUUAUGAAUUUAUGCAUGUAAUGAGUAAUGAAAUAUAACAAUUAUAAAUAAAUAUUCAAGCGCAAAUUUGAACUCCUGUUGGUAGUUAGCUAACUUCUAAUAAAGUAUCAGUUUAUAUAUUUGAGUCCAUAUAAAAAUACAAACCUGCACAAUCAGAAAUUCAUAGAAAAUUAAAUUAUGAAUUUUAAUGGAGAAAAAAAAUGUAUAAUAAGUACAUCCUUCUUAGGACUUUGAUCAAUAACAAUUUUUUGAGGUCUUUGUUAGGAUCGAUUUGCUUCUACACUCACUAUAGAUCUGUGGAGAGGCUGAGAAAAAAAUAAGAGAGAGAGAGAAAUGAUUUCGUGGUAACACCCAUAGGUAAACUCCAUGGCGGACGGGCUAUUUAUAUUAAUGAUUCGGAGUAUGAACAAUUAUACAGACAAAUGGAGAAAUGAGAAAGUACUGUUCUACAAUGCCUAAAAUUAACACCCGUAGGUUGAACCGCGUGAACAUUAAUAUAUAAUCAGUACAUUACAUAUUAAUUAGGCUCCACACUUAACAUUCUUGUCACUUAACAUUCUUGUCGACACCUUUUCAUCAGGUCAAACUAAAGCAUGAAUUACAUAGAUAAGCAUUGAGCUAACUAGUUCAUCUCACGUGUAUUCAUUUUUUCUUCAUGUGUUGACAGGUGAAAUACCCAAAGAGAUAAGCAAUCUCGUUGAGUUGGAGCUACUUGAUCUUGGGUAUAAUAGUUUUAGUGGUUGACUUGAUAUGGAGAUCUUCAACAUAUCAGGGGUGAGAAUGAUGUAUCUUUCAUCCAACAAUCUAUCAGGAAGCCUCCCACCACCAAACAUGUGUUCUAUCUUACCCAACAUUGAAGAUCUUUAUCUGUCCUUUACCAAUCUUGUUGGGACUAUUCCUCAUUCCAUCUCCAAUUGUUCAAAACUUACUCAUCUAGAUAUUUCUAAGAGCCAACUCACUAGCUUGAUUCCAAAUUCUCUUGGAUAUUUGACUAUUUACAACUCCUAAACUUGGAGGGAAACAAUUUAACCAGCGACUCAUUGUUAAGCUUCUCGACUUCCUUAACCAAUUGCAGAAAUUUGACAAAUCUUUCUCUAUCUUUGAACACUCUAAAUGGCAUUCUUCCAGCCUCCACGGGGAACCUUUCCACAUCUCUUAUAAGAUUUUACGCCAACAAUUGCAAAAUCAAAGGGCGAAUUCCAAAUGAAGUUGGGAACUUAAGCAGCUUAUUAGACCUUGAUCUUUCUGGAAAUAACUUAGUACGAUCGAUUCCAACAUCAAUUGGCAGCUUGAAAAACAUUUAGUGCUUCAACUUGAGUAACAACAAACUUACAGUAUUAGUUGGUGAUCAUAUAUGUAAAUUGCAGCAUCUGGGUGAUAUUUACUUGGAUCAAAAUCAACUUUCAGGAUCUCUUCCUAAUUGUUUAGGGAAUAUUACUUCCCUUAGGGAGAUACAUCUCGGUUCCAACAAAUUGAGUUCAAAUAUACCGCCAAGCUUAGGGAACCUUCAAGAUCUAGUGGUUCUUAACUUAUCGUCAAACAACAUGGUAGGUUCUUUACCUCCAGAAAUUGAAAAUCUAAAGGCUGCGACACUGAUAGAUCUGUCAAUGAAUCAAUUCUCAAAUGGAAUUCCUACAGAAAUUGGAGGCUUGCAAAAUCUGGCAAACCUUUCUUUGAGACACAACAAGUUACAAGGAGCUAUACCUGACUCAAUGAGCAACAUGGUAGGUUUGGAAUUCCUAGACCUUUCUCACAAUAAUAUAUCUGGAAUCAUUCCUAAGUCUUUGGAGAAACUUCAAAACUUGAAGUAUUUCAAUGUUUUUGUCAACAAAUUGUAUGUUGAAAUACCCUCUGGGGUCCUUUCAAGAAUCUCUCGAGUCAGUUUUUCAUCCACAAUGAAGCAUUGUGUGGUUCUUCAAGAUUUCGGGUCCCGCCAUGCCCCACUUCACCAAAGCACAAAUCAAAUAGGGAAAAAUUGCUUGUUCUUUUUCUUUUGCUCGCAAUUGCAGUUGUAUUUGUUACUAUGGCCUUUGUGCUCCUAUGGAUAAGGUAUAGAAGAGGUAAAAGUGCGCCUCAACAAGCUGAGUCAUUGUCUACCGUAACACGAGAAAGAAUUUCAUACUAUGAACUGCUCCAAGAAACGGAUGACCUUAGUGAGAGUAAUUUGAUUGGUUUUGGAAAUUUUGGCUCUGUUUACAAAGGUAUUCUCAGAAGUGGAACUGCCAUUGCAGUUAAAGUGUUCAACCUGCAACUGGAUGCGGCAUUCAAGAUUUUUGAUACCGAAUGUGAUGUUUUGUGCAGCCUUCGUCAUAGGAAUCUCGUUAAAGUCAAUUACUAGUUGUUCCAAUCUUGAUUUCAAGGAUUUAGUGCUCUAGUGUAUGCCUAAUGGAAGUCUUGAGAAGUAUUUUUAUUCGUACAACUAUGUCCUCGACAUCAAGCAGAGACUAGGCAUAAUGAUAGAUGUGGCAUGUGCUUUGGUAUAUCUUCACCAUGGGUGCUCGUUGCCUGUGAUUCACUGUGACGUGAAGCCUAGUAAUGUCUUGAUGGAUGAAGAUAUGGUUGCCCACCUCAGCGACUUUGGCAUUUCAAAACUGCUUGGUGAAGAUCAGGGUGAUUUGUACACUAAAACCUUAGCAACAUUCGGGUAUAUUCCUUUCUUUUUUUCCAACCUAGAAAGCAUAUUGCAUCUUUAGAUGAAUUGUCUGACUGUAGAGUAUGGACUGGAAGGACUAGUGUCAACAAAGUGUGACGUCUAUAGUUAUGGGGUCAUGUUUCUGGAAACGUUUACUAGGAGAAAGCCUAAUGAGUUUGAGGGAGAUCUUAGCUUGAAGCAAUGGGUGAGUUAUUCACUUCCAAAUGCCGUCAUGGAGGUCGUAGAUGCCAACUUGUUAACAUCAACUGGUAAUCGCUUAAAUAAGGAGCGAGAUGGUGUGGCAUCAAUCAUGAAAGUUGCAUUAGAUUGUUGUAACAAAUCUCCAACAAGAAGGACCAACAUGAAAGAUGUUGCAGGGAUCCUACAGAAGAUCAAGAUUCAACUUCUAGCAUGUUGAGCAUGUUGUUGGAAUCUGUUGUUCCAAAUAAUUUGUUUGCCGCAAAUAUUUGAUUAGUUUUGGAUUCCUGUAAUAUUGCCUCUUUCUCUUUUGUUUUAGCACUUUAUUUGUGCAUGAUUCUGUUUUCAGAAAUUCUAGCUGGUUGAAUAAAUCUCACUAUUUCCUUUUAACAAAAACUUAAUUGAUCACCAAAAUCUUGAAAUAGAAUGAUUUAUUUUUGUAAGUGUUAAAGGGAUAUUAACAUGUUGGAGUGUCACAUAUCCCAAUUUCUUCUUCCUCUCCCCUUAUGUUUGUCCGUCAGUGUCCAAAUUACCAAUAAAUUGUCUUCGGCACACAAUUUACAGGGAGACUGCUCAUCUGGACUUUACAUCGUGCAGGCUUUUGAUAGAACUUCACACAAGUGAGGUCUGGGGAGGGUAGAAUGUACGCAGACCAUAAACCCUACCUUGGGAGGUUGAGAUGUUGUUCCCGAUAGAUCCCUCAGCUCAAGGUAAUAUAAAAGAAAGAAAUUCAACGCCGGUCGGGGGAAAAAAAAUUAGCGGAAAACAAUUACUGAAAUAAAAAGACCAUUUUAAAGAGAACUUUAAAAUGCACGGAACAAAACAUAUAUAGAGCCUACAGUAUUUGUACAUUUCCAUGAAAAGUGGAAGGCAGAGGGAUGAAGCAGAUAAAUCAGGAUACUGAAAACAAAAUCUAGCAGAAGUGAACUGUCAUUGGUUGUACGACUUGGUUAUUGCUUUCUAAUAAAUUAUUUUCCUAUUCUGACAUUUUGAGGUGAAGGUCCGUUGUUCUCGAUCUUGUUACUUUUUGUAGUAGCUAAUUCUUCUGGUAUACACAGUUCUACGGACAAUACACAGUUUUAGAUCAUUAUUCCCAUGAGCAGGAUGCUAGCUUAGGCAUCCCUUUGCACGUAUGUCUCCAUUAACUCUUUAGGAAGCAUCUGCUCCCUGCUAAACGACCCAAGAAAUUUGUAAUGAUUGUUGUAGGAGUUAGGCAUCUUUAGACGAAAAAAUUGUCUUUCAGGAUUGAUCAUUCCAUAUUAUCACUUUUCAACUGUUGUAUUUCCUAUCAAAAUGGCUUAUAGACUGUUUCCUAAGACGUAAUCAUGAUUCCACGGAUCUUGUUAGAUGAAAGAUUUUGAAAGAUGACACUAUUUCCAUUCCAAAAGCUCCGCUAUACCAGCAGCACAAACUCAAAAUAUCAGCUAAGUGAAAAGCAGAUGAGCAACAUAAAAAAUGCUGAAAUAUGAUAGCUCAAGAGACAAAAAACAACAAGAUUAAGCAGAAUAUCUGACACUUAGAGACAUCGGCCAAUUUAAAUAUGGAUUAGAAAAUUAUUUUUUAAUAUAUAUAUUAGUGGAAAAAAAUUGGUGAAAUAAAAAGACCAUUUUAAAGAGAACUUUAAAAUGCACGAAACAAAAGAUAUAUAGUAUUUGUACAUUUCCAUGCCUCUUAAUAGUGACAAACCUGAAAAGUGGAAGGCAGAGGGAUGAAGCAAAUAAAUCAGGAUACUUUAAACAAAAUCUAGCCGAAGUGAACUGUCAUUGGUCGUACGACUUAGUUAUUGCUUUCUAAUAGAUUUUUCUGAUAAAACCCCCCAAAAAAAAAAACCUUAUUAACUAUUUAAUUAAAAAAAAGAUUUGAAAAGUCGUUUAAAGAAUCCCAAGAUUAUAAACAACUUUUAAUAAAUGAUAAUCAGGAUUAUUAUAUUAUAGCAAAAUAAGAAAUUUUACCCUUAAGUUACUAAAUUUUUGCUUCAAGCCCAUAGACCUUAUGCAAGUAAAGAAGAUCACAUCCUCUACAUGGACAUAUCUGACAUGAAAAUGUAUGGUUUUGAACUCGUGUUUGAGAAAAGAAGGAUGCCUUGCACGCACGGACAUACCUGAUAUGGAAUAUCAUAUUGUGAUGGUGCAAUUCCUCAAUCAAGGAAUCAAUUCAAAUCCUUGAUUGAGAAAAAAUCCCUUGGGUUUCCUUAUAGAGCAAGAAGCCAAAUCAGCUGAAGGCUGUAAAAGAGAAGAUUGAAGACCGAAGACCCACGCAACUUCACGAGAAAUUCUUAGUGUGUCAAUCUUAGUCUCAAUAAAGCUUUGUACUUCUUAGUUUGCAAUAGUUACAAAAGAGAACAAUCGAGUCAACUUAGUUAUACCUAUUGAGACUGUGUCACAUGAUCUGAAUCCCAAAAUAAGCUUCAGAACUUGUUUACUAUAUUUGUACUCUGACUCUACUUUGAAAGACUCAAGAAAUAAUUGAAACCCAAGGGGACUGGAAGUAGGCACCACAUUGGUGUUCCGAACCAGGAUAAAUCUCUGUGUCAUUUACUUAUUUAUCUGCUUAUAAAUUUAAACUUUAUCUUGUGUUCAGUACUUUAUUCUGCAGGUGAGUUAACUGUCAAGACUAAUCAGUGGACUCAGGAAAGAAUUUUUCAAUUCAAUUCCCCCCCCCCCCCCCACUACACUAAUAACUUUCAAUGAGGCAAAUUUGUAAUACUUCGUAUCAAUCUUAUGUGUUGGUCUUUGUUUUUCGAGCUUAAAUAGGGAUGGGCUAGUAGGUGCUAACAUUAUUUUCUUUUCCCCUUUACCAAUAUGCGAUCCUCUUCCUCUUUCACUCUCCUUCCUAUCUUAUCCACCAAAUGAUGCACAGUCCCUCUUGAGAAACUUUCCUCAAUCUAUACUCUUGAGAACAUCUCUGCAGAAAAAGCAGGCACAGUCCCUUUCCGUUUUUAUGAUUUUGACGGUAAGAAGGGAUGCCUUGAAGCAACAGUAAAGUUGUUCUCCGUGGAAUAAGCCAUUAAUGUUUGCAUCGUGAUGGCUGUCUACCUACAUCGAUGGAGUAUGGACCUUGCCUGGAUCCAGCCGUAACGCAAGACGCUGCUGCAUGCAUCAGGCUGCCUUUAUCAUUUCGACACUAAAUCUGUAGAUUUGAUUGACUCCUCUCCUCGCUAAUCUAAUGACAGCUUAUUAAUGACCAAAUAUAAGCCUAAUAAUGGACUUGAAUACAAGUACCAUCAACAUUAAGAAUAUUUGGAGUCUAAUUUGCAAAAGCUUAAAUAUCAUUAGCAUAAAGUUACUUCAAGCAUCAACGAUCAAAGCUGCUAAUAUGAAUACCAAAAGUUGCAUAACCUUAUACUGAAUCACUAACGCCCAAAGCCAUCAACGUCAUAACCUUAGGCCAUCAACGUUAUGUUCUCUCAGUGUUGAAACCUAAAUUCUCUAUGCCUCAUCUCAAUGUAUUAGCAGCUUAACAUUCACUGUCAAGACACUGCACUUCAAGGCUGCGUAUACACAUCACCCUACCCGGACCCCACUUCUGGGAUUACACCGGGUAUGUUGAUCACUGCACUUUAACUUGUGCACUAUAAUGAUAUUGUCGUUCUUCCCACUUGUACGAAAAGUAACAGGAUGCUUCUUAAAGAACCAUUCUCCCAAAACUUCAUGUUGAUAAAAAAAAUAUGCAACAGUCAGUUUAUAAUCGAGAGAAAGCAACAAAAUUGAAUGUCACUCCCCUCUUGAUCGAGUACUCAUGAGUAAAUCUUGGAUUACAAAAUGUUAAAAGCUUAGAACAAUCAAGAAGUAGCAAAAUGCAUCUGUCAUUCCUCACGGCUAUAGCCUAUAUUACUGUACAAUAGCUAAUGAAUUGUAAGCUUUCUCAAGAUAUCACCUUCUUAAUUACAUGCCACAAGGAAGAUCUUGCUUUGAUUAGGGAGUUCGCUGUAUCACAGAGCAGGAGCUAUAAUAGAGAACUGUUUAAUCGUCCUUAAAGGACUAAUAACCAACCAACAUUUCCAUACACUAGCAAAAAUGGACAAUAUAUUAUAGGUCAAAAGGCGUUCUCAGAUAAGCAAUUCUUUUAUUCACUUGUGCGAUUACCAAAUAAUCUAGGCUGUAGAUACAUUCCGUUACGUACAGAGAGAUCUUGUAUAAGCCAAAUUAAACUUCAUCUUAGGGGAAAUAUUCAUAUCCUUAAAUCUGGAUAGAAACGAGGCUGUAUCCUACUCCAUAUAAGUACUUGGUGUUCAGGAUCGGAGAUACGAAAUUAAACUGAAAUUCAUUUAGUCUUGGUAAUUGCAAUACACAUACAAGAACGAGUAUGCAACUGAUUGCUCCAUCAAAGAAGCUUUACUUGCAAAAUUUAGUUACGAUCUUUGUAGACACCUAAUUUUAUCCCUCCCGAAGUCUAAUUUUAUUCAUUUUUAGUUCACCUUACCAUGUCUCCAACCCCAUGUAAUUAUAUCCCACAAAAAUACAAAAAUAAACAAAAACAAUACCUCUUAACUAAUUUAUCUUAUCCUAACAACCUACCCAAUCAAAAUUUUCCACCUCCCUACCCACUCACAUUUUUAUCCUCACACAAUACAUUAACAACAAAAAGAAUGGGGACCCACAGGGUACACCUAACAAAGAAAGGACUCCAUUUUUUCGAAUCCCCAAGCUGCACACACAUAUACUCAUAUACACAUACACAAAAUGGAUUCUCAUUUUUGGGGCUCCCUUUUCUUGGUAACAACUAGACCAACACAGAACCCAGUCUUGGCACCAUUAACGCAUAUCCAGGUUGGGGACGGAAAUCAAGUGAAAAGAAAAGAGACAAAAUGAGAGUGAGAGGGAGAUAUCGGAAAUAGUGGGAGAGAGAGUUGAGAGAAUUUCUUUCUUUUUCCGGCGAUUCUAGCCGGAAAAUGUCACUGCCGUCCUUUCUUUCUUCAUUUUUUGUCACUCUCGGAGCUCGAUGGAGCUUGUUGAAGCUCUGGUGACACGGAAACAAUCAAGUCCAACUCCGUCUCACGUUGGAUUCCAUCCAAAUCUGAUCUGAAUCUCUCCUGGUUCAGUGAUUUCUGUUUCGGGUUUAGCAGAUUCACCGAAAUCCAGUCCAGGUCAUUCUUUGUUGAGUUCAAAAUUUGAAAUUCUAAAAUCUCAUCUGCCAGUCUCGGUUUGUUCGUAUUUCAUUGUUGGUAUUCAUCUAUUUUUCGCAAAGUGCUAUUACGAGUCGAGUUUCGGGUCUGUUACGGUUCGAACUGAUUUGAGAGUUGAGAUUUCAUAGUAUUCUUUGAGGUUCUUGGACGGGAUCUUAUUUCUCUUAUUAAAAUCAAUCGAAAGCUCUUGAGGUCCAUCUCUUUACUCCCUUUCUUUCUUCUUUAUUUUAUUUUUUUUAAAUGGCUAUGAUUAUGUGUUUGAUGAUCUUGAUUGGAUGAUCUUAUCAACGUUGAUAUUUCUUGUUUAUGGAUAAUUGAUUGUGGAACAAAUUUGAUGAUUAGUAUAGGUUGGAUAAUCAUGUCUCGUAAAAGAAAUUUGUGUUGAAAAGCAAUUUGGGGAAUAAGAAUCGAAAAUUGAUAAAAUUGAAUAUUAUAGUAUUUUGAUUAAUCGUUGACGUUGAACGUGAUAUGUCGUCUAGUUCAGAAUAAACAUUAGGUCGACCAUUGAUAGAUAAAUAUAAGUGGGUUAGGCAAAGUUUAUGACUUGCGAUCGUUGAAUGUUGAAGGUGUUUUGUUGAAAUGUGUUGGUUUAUGUUUUCGAAUUGAAGUGUAUUCAUUUGGCCGGGGAAUGCCCCGAAGAUUGAUGUAUUUAUUCACCGAGUAUCAUGUUGAAGAAGGCGGAUCUCAAUCAAGGCGCAAGGCAUCGGGUAAAACUUCGGAGCAUAUUUUAGGAUUAGUUUAGAAUAUGAUUUAUAUUUUUUUGUAUUUUUCUAUUUUUGGAUUGUAAUAAUUGGACUAGACACUAUAAUUUUGAAUUUGUUUGUUUGUAUUAUUGAUUGAUUGGUUUAUAUAUUUUUGUGUGGUUUAUACACUCUUAGUAUCGAAUUAGCCGAUAUGCUCCACCAAGAGACCAUUGUCGAACCACGGGAUUGAGGGAUGCCUAACACCUUCCCCUUGGUCAACAGAAUUCCUUAACCAGAAUCUCUGUUCACGGAUCAGUUUAAAAGAGUCAAAAACAGUUUUGAAAAAGGAUUCCCAAAAGUGACUUGGCAAACCUAAUUAUGUCAUGUGGCGACUCUAAGUUUAAAAGUAAAUAAUCCUUUUCGAAACAAAUUUUCAUCUUUUGUCACUUUAAUAAUAAAACCCUUUCGAAACUAAAAUCCAUCUUUUCGGAGUUAAAAAGGGGGUGUGACAAUCUUAAUGCAUGUUAAAUCAAUAUAUACGAGUAAAAACUACUUAAGUGAGCUCACAUGUGUUAUCAAGACGAAAGACGAGAGAUUCUGAAACAUAAACGUAAGGUAUUUGAAACCAAUACAAACGAACCUGCUUCAGAAGGAUCUGGCACCAGAAGCAUGGCGUUUGGUUCCAUCUGCAUAGUUUGUUCAAAGUAAAUACCAAGUUCUGCUCCCUCAUACUGGAAAGAAUCAAACCUUGUCAGAUAUGUCACAACUUAAAAAAGAAAAAUGUUGUUGUCUCGGAAAUGUAAACAUACUGUCGCCUCCCUCUGUUGACGCAUACUAGGAAUCUGCUCCAUCAAGUGGCUGUAUGACACAUGAAAAUCAAAACUAGUUAUAUAUCUUCUCAUCAGAACUUCAACAACAAAAUUGAUGCUUUCACUAAUGAAAUAUCAUAGAAAUAACUAGUUAUUCAAGGAAAUUAACACAGCGAAUAGGAUAAAUUCAACUUUACAGUCAUAAUUGUAUUGCACAAAACCCAAUGGAAACAUUAUUUUGUUCAGAACAAAGCAGCAUAAUAUAACAUGAAGUUAAGUUAACAAGUAAACACUAUAAAAUACAUCAAGAUGUUACCUAGAAUUGGUAACAAAUCGUGCCCUCUUACUGCGACGAAUCUCAAGAAAUCUUAAAUUAGAUGUCACUUCUCCCUCAUCCGUUGUCCUUGAAUGGCAUUACUCUUGCAAUCUCUCAGGAGUAAAUGCCGGCACCACGGGAAGAUUUAUGAAUUAAAUUUAGCUUUUUUUUUUAUUGAGACUACUAUAAUCUAAAUGAACGGUUUUUUUAAAUAUUCUCAAGCUGCACAAACUAUGGACAAUGUGGUACCUCAAGUCCCAUAUGUUGUGCCAGUUAGCUCUCUUACUAUGCAUCGUUUGGUCCUUAUUUUAUAAAUUACAAUGUCUUCGUUAUGAUGUCACUCUUUUGUCCCAAAUAUAGGCACAUAACAUAUCACCUGUGGUGCAGGCCUUUAGUCCUGAGAGACCGUAAGAGCAAUGCCCUAUCGAUCAAACUGUGGAGAUGGAACCAAAUCCCCGUGCCCUUAAAAAGAUUAAGCUUUCGGUACCAGAACCUUCGAAAGCAGUUCGUUGUAUUGGUUUCAAAUAUAUUGUGUUCAUAUUUUCGAAUCUUUUGUCUUUGAUCUUGAUAACACAUGUUAGCUCACCUAAGAAGUUUAUGCUCUUAUACAUCGACUUAACAUGCAUUUUGAACCACAAUACCAAUGUCAAUUUUUGUUAGUGUCUGAAAAUGUUAUGACUGUGUGGAUGAUCUGUUUGUCAAUUAUAAGAUCUUCAAGGACAAUUAAAUAGUUCUCCGUUGUAGAGAAAACUCAUAUUAGAUUCUUUGUUGCUGAUCUUUAUAAGUUGUUCCGUCGUCUCCAGCUCUGGGAUGCAGCAAACACCCUAGUCUAAUCAAUAUCUAACGAUUUUCCGAUCUUCCUCUUGGCAUGGCAUUAAGAAGGUGAUAAGUUUGAGAAAUAUCAUAAUUCGUUAGCUGUUAAACCGUAUAUGUAGGCUAUAUGUAUCAUGAACUAAGACAGAUGAAUUUCUCAUGACACAUAUAGCCUACAUAUACGGUUUAACACCUAACGAAUUAUGAUCUUUCUCAAACUUGUCACCUUCUUAAUGCCAUGCCAAGAGGAAGAUCGUAAAAUCGUGAGAUAUUUAUUAGGCUAGGGAGUUUGCUGCAUCCCAGAGCUGGAGACGACGGAACAACUGAUAACGAUCAUCAACAAAGAAUCUAAUAUGAGUUUCCGUUACAACGGAGAACUAUUUAAUCCUCCUUGAACAACUUAUAAUUGACAAACAGAUCAGACACACAGACAUAACAUUUUCAAACACUAACAAAAAUUGACAUUGGUAUUCUGGUUCAAAAAUGCAUGUUAAGUCGACAUAUAAGAGGAUAAAAUUCUUAGGUGAGCUCACAUGUGUUAUCAAGAUCAAAGACAAAAUUUUGAAACACAAACACAAAGUAUUUAAAACCAAUACAACGAACCUUCUUCCAAAGGUUCUAGCACCGAAAGCUUAAUCUUUUUAAGGGCAUGGGGAUUUGGUUCCAUCUCCAUGGUUUGAUCGAUGGGGCAUUGCUCUUGCGAUCUCUAAGGACUGAAGACCGGCACCGCAAGUGAUAUGUUAUGUGCCUAUAGUUAGGACAAAAGAUUGACAUCAUAAGGGAGACAUUGUAAUCUAUAAAAUAAGGACCAAACGAUGCAUAGUAAGAGAGCUAACUAGCACAACAUAUGGGACUUGAGGUACCACAUUGUCCAUAAUUUGUGCAACGUGAUAAUUUAUUAAAAAAAAGGUUCAUUUAGAUUAUAGUAGUCUCAAUAAAAAAAAAAAAGCUAAAUUGAACUUAGAAAAGUCUACAGAACACCUAAUCAUAGGGCUCUUCAGCAUGCUUGGCCUGAUUCAAAUUGAACAUACUGAAGAACUCAUACCACCAAUCUUCUAGGAAUACCUCCUGAGAUUCGACAGUCGAAAAAAAUCGCAGAAUUAAAUAAUUGUACAUUAGCACAACACCACAAACAAAAUGAUCAGUCACUAUAUUGUGAACAUCCUUCCAAAAUAAAGAAUAGCAAUUAAUGCAAAUUUAGAAACAUGAAAAGCAUUUUCCAGAAAAACUUAACCUCCGAUAAGUGCACCAAAAACUUCAAAGUGUUGCAUUAUCAAUUAUUCCAUUCAAUCUAUUUUCUAUGGGUAGUCUUUUCUUUUUAGACCGUUUAAAAAUAAUAAUAAGAACAAGAACAACAAAAUUCUAUAUCUAAAUUUUUUUAAUAAUAUUUUUAUUUUAAUGAUAUGUAAAUAUAAGAAUUGACAUGGCAUGUUGAAACCUACUACUAUAUAUCAAGGAUACUUUUAAUAUGUUAACACUCCGUUUAUCCUAUGUAAACUUUCCUUAUUAGUUUGCCCUCAACAAAAUGACUCAAUUAUAUAUUUUAGAAUAAUUUAACUCUAAAAUUCGCAUUUUACUAUAAUAAUUUAUAGUCACAUGUCUAAAGUUUAUUUUAGCAGCCAUGUUUCAAAAGACUUCCUUUAUUUCUUAAAAUCACUCCCUAAGGCACAUAGCUUUUAAAUAAAGAAUUAAUAAUUUUGUGGUAAAAGAAUUCCUUUAUUCCUUAAAUGCACGGCAUUUGAAACCAAUACAAACAAACUUGCUUCAGAAGAAUCUGGCAUCGAAGCAUAUCCGUAGUAGGAGCAUCGGAGUUUGGUUCCAUUAGCGUAGUUUUUUUAGUGUAAAUACCAAGCCCCUCUCCUUCAUCCUGGAAGGAAUAAAACCAGCAGUUAUGUCGCAACUUUAAAAAAAAUAUGUUGUCGUCUCGGAAAUGUAAACACAUACGCUGGCCUCCCACUGUUGAGGCAUAUAUGGAAUCAGCACCGUCGGGUGGCUGUAUGACACAUGAACAUUAAAAAGAGUUUGAAAUCUACAGAUUCGAGAACUUCAACAAUCAAAUCGAUGCUUUCACUAUGCAAUAUCUAAGUAAUAACUAAUUAUCACUAUGCAAUAUAAGUAAUAACUAUUAUGAUGGCCAAACAAGCAUGCCAACUUAGUUUUUGGACCAAGCAGACCGAUAGCAAACAACUUCUUAUCUUGAAAAUAAGAACCAGAUCUUCCAAUCUGGAACCUCCAUUAAUCACGGUUUCACUUUAAGUCAUCCCGAAAGCCUAUUAUCCCCGUAUGUUUCCAAAAUCAUAAAGUUCCAAAACACCUCUAUCAUAGGAUCUAUGUUGCUCAGAUUCUCCAACAAUGUCAUUGGGUCCGUGUCGGAUCCUUCAAAAGUAGUGCACUUCUGAAGGAUCCGACAUAGGUGCGGCCACAAUUUUUGGAGAGUCCGAGCAACUUAGCAUAGGGUUACUCAACCCCUAAAUUUGUGUUCCUUUUGAAGCCCUAAACUCAACUCUACUAUGAUUUAUAUAUACUUUGGAUGGAGAGGAAGGUCGUCAGCUGAUGGCACCACGUCACUAGUCUUACCUCCCUUUUGUCCUAACACUGUCACUUAAAUAUACCCUCUGCGAUCUCAUCAUUUAAUCAUGAAUUUAUGCCAUUAUUGGUAAGCAUCGUACAGUUAUCUGUGUAAUCAUGCAAAAGGAAGGAACUAUUCAACGCAUGGUUACUUAGUUGCCAUUUAGAUCAAAUAUUCAAAUCAGACAAGAAGUAAUAUUCGUUUGACUGUUUCUUGAAAUGAAAGAAACGGAUCAUAUUUUAGGCAUGUCAAUCAUCAGACAACAGAAACUCAAUGAGCAACGUCAAUGGCCAAAAAGUGCAUAUUUUAGGUAUCAUCUGAAGAAUCAAUUUCAGCUCCUUAUAACCACAGCUCUUCACUUACUUAUACGAGAAAAACUAAGUGUCAUUUUAUUAUUAAGCCAGAUCAUAUCUCAAAAUAUUUUCCAAUUUAAAUCCACAUAGAUGGCUCACUCUUUUUUUCGUUUGUUUGAUAAUUGUGGUGUCCGGGCCAGCUUUCACGUACCUCGAUUAAAUCCACUAGCAACAGGUGACUCUGUCCACCAGGACAGAUGGGAAGAAUCACCUUCUUGCUGUGCGAAGGUAUAUUAAUUAUUGCAGGCACUACUAUAAUAACUUGACAAACCUGAAGCACAAAAAAUGAAAAGAAGCACAUUAAAAUUCUCAGUAUAGCAGUAAGAUCUUUUAUUUUUUUUGAAGAAUUACAUAGCGAGCAUGAAACAGUUCAUUCAAAUUGUUGUGCGUAAUUUAAAUUUAGUAAACAACAAAUAUGGAGGAACAUAUUUUUUCCCUGGGAGGAUACAAUGAUAUUUUUAACUAACCCACCUUUAUGUUGGCGUGGGAUGACGUAGACCAUAAUAUAAGCAUGAAAACAGUGUGCUACAAGAUAUGUUUAAAUGUAUAUUAUUUCUUAUAGGAUUUUGUAAAAAGUAAUCAGAAAGCAUGAUAGGGAGCUAUGAGACGUAAAAGAAAAGCAGAGGCAAAUCUUGAAUUUAAGCCCUAUAGGUUCAACCGUUAAUAUUUGUCAUAUCGAACCCAUUGUAUUUUUGAAAUUAUUGAUUCAUACAUACUAGUCAUCAAAAUUUUACUAGAUUUUUACGCAUAAGUCAUAUUUUGCAUUGAAAGUAAUGUGUGCAGAUGAAACCAGGACCACAACACUAUACCCGCCUCUUAUGGAAAGCCACACUUACUAUUAAGACCACGUAUUCAAACAACCUUGCGCAACAACCACCAAGUCAUUAGAAAAUAAAAUGAGAUUGAGCCUUUAUUGUUUAUGCAUUUAUGAUGAUUUGUUGAAUUGAAAACUGAAAAAACAGAGGUUUCUAUUUCAUUAUAUAUUUAUAUGUUUAAUUUAUGCUCUAUCCCUAUGAUGAUUAUAAGAGACAAGAGAAAGGAAGUCGCAAAUGGAAUAUUUCUAUUUAGUUUACAAUAUUCUCUAAUACAACUUGCCAAGUCGGACGCCUCUAGUAUUAUCUUGUGGAAAUUGGAAUGACCGAGGUAGAAGUGUUUUAGACUACUUGAAGAAUAUAGAAACCGAUCAAUGUAAUGGGAAAUGAAUUUCAGACAUGUUAAGAUGGCAAGAUUUUUGAUACAAUCUUAGGAGAAUCACACCCCAAAAUCUAGCUAUUAAGGUGGGAGAGCUCAACAUCAGUUCCCUAUAUAACCGAUGUGGGACUUUUAGCAAUAGGAUCAUAAUAAACCACCACACUCCGCAUCUAUCGUCCUUAACGGCUCCACUCUCGGUUUCUUUCACUCUAUUUGUGUACGUAGCUUUUUCCCAAUUAGCCCUUUUUGGGUGAGGUGCUAGGCGCCUUGAGGGCUAUGCUCUAGAUAUUGCUAGCUCUGGCCGAACAGUGCCAUACCAGCUUCACCACCCAAGGUAUGGUGGGCAUGGAGGGUGAUGGGUGGCUCCGAUACCAUUGAUACAAACUUAGGAGAACCACGCUUCAAAAGUUAGCUAUUAAGGUGGGAAAGCCCAUCGUCAUAUAAGCCCCACAUCAGCUCCCUAUAUAACCGAUGUGGGACUUUUUGCAACAGGACUAUAACAACGAAAAACAAUUCAAGCGAGAAGCAAUUCAAGCGAGGAUUUGUUGCUUUCUGAGCGAAACAAUGCGCUUCAAAUGAAGACACGCAAAAAAUCCUAACCAUAACUUAAUUAUAUCAUUAAAUUCAUACAUGUAUUGUUCUUAUUUUAGUUUCCAUAACUUCUGCGUUUUACUUCAUUGUGUACUUUAUAUUCUAUAUUAUGAAAAUUAUAACGAAAAGUGGAAGGAAGUCACAAAUGGAAUGUUUCUAUUUAGUUUAUAACAUUCUCCAUCACUACUACUUGUACCAGGUCGGACCCCUCUACUAAUAACUUGCUGAAAUUGGAAUGUCCAAGAUAAAAAGGUUUUAUACUACUUGCAAAGCCAAAGUAGAUUAAAAUAUGUUUGAUUUAUACUAAGCUACUUGCACAAGUGAUCAAAGUAAAUAAAAGAAACUUUCCUUCAUGUUAUGAUGGCAAGAUCAGCUAAGACUCAUAGUGUUAUUAAGGGUCAGAGUUUUCCCUUUUAAAGCGAUAAAGCACGCCAAGCGAGGAGUUAUCUCUUCACGAGGAAGAGACGAUGUUUUAGAGAAAUGUGCGCUCAAAUGAUGAUGCGCAAAAUAACUCCACUGAUAAGCAGUUAUUUUUGGCAUAAAUAUGAGGAAUUGGAUUAAUAUAGCUUUAGUAUAGCAUUAAAUUCAUAUAUAUUAGUUUUUUUUUGGUUUUCUGUAACUCGUGUGCUUUACUUCACAGAAGCAUGCGCUUUAGUUCUCACUUUUCGCUUCACGCCCAUACAUCUUGUUUCCUUUUUGUGCUUUUCGCUUUUCAAAACAUUGGAGCCUAUUGGUCUAAGCUUGCUUGACAGCGUGAUCAUUACAUCAAUAAUGACGAGAGUGGGCGAAUCAAACUAGUGUUCUCAUAUGGAAGGCUCUACUCUUUUAAGUCUAGUUCAUCCGUUUCUCUGAGAAAGAAUUCUUGGUCUACUCUACUCUUGAGGUAAUCUCAAGAGAUCACACAUAUAAAUCACUUGUAAUAAAAUUUUUUAGCAAGAACAGUAAAAUUGUCUCUGUGUGACCUACAGGUCAUGGGUUCGAGACGUCAAAGCAACCAUUAAUGCUUGCAUUAGGAUAGCUUAUCUACAUCACAACCCUUGCAAUACGGUCUACCCUUCUAAUGUGGAAUGCUUGGUGCACCAGUUGCCACUGUGUCACUUUUAGUUCACAAGUUCGAGCAAUGGAAUCAGCAAUUGAUGCUCGCAUCAGAGUAGGCUGCCUACAUUGUAUCGCUUGGGAUAUGGCCCCUCCCCAAACCUUGCGUAAACACAGAAUCCUUCAUGCAUCAAAGUAAUUGCGUAAACACAGAAUCCUUCAUGCAUCAAAGUAAUCUAUAGAUAUGAUUGACUAGGCUUCUCGCUAAUCUAAGAAAGGCUAAUUCACAACCAAGGAAGAAUACGAUCUUUUAUAUAUACCUAACAAUGGACUUGAAUACAAGUACCAUCAAUAUAUUGUUUCUUUAAAUUAAGUAAAAGAAAUUCAGCUGUCUUUAUUCAUGGCAUAUAUAGCCUACAUAUACUUUAUAACAGCUACGAAUUAUAAUCACCUUCUUAAUGCCAUGCCAAGAUUAAGAUCAGAAAUCGCGAGAUAUUGAUCAGUUCGCAGUACCUCUGACCUGGAGUCAAUGGAAAAACCUAACAACGAUAAUCAACAAAGAAUCUGACAUGAGUUUCCGUUAUAAUAGAGAACUAUUUAAUUUUCGCUGAAGAGCUUAUAAUUGACAAUCAAAUCAUCCACACAGCCAUAACAUUUUCAUACACUAACAAAAAUUGACAUCAGUAUCCUGGUUCAAAAUGCAUACUUUGACAAGUCAAAACAAAAAACUUUUUGAGUCACUUCUGUAAUGACCAAAUAAUCUAGGCCAUAGAUACAUUCUUUCUAGCAGUAUUUGGUUAUCAUCUUAAUGCAUGUUAAGUCAAUGUAUAAGAGUAUAAACUACUUAGGUGAGCUCAUAUGUGUUAUCAAAAUCAAAGAUAAAAGAUUCUAAAACAUAAACUCAAAGUAUUUGAAACCAAUACAACGAACCUGCUUCCGAAGGUUCUGGCACCGAAAGCUUAAUAUUUUUAUGGGCACAGGGACUUGGUUCCAUCUGCACAGUUUGAUCAAAAGGGCAUUGCCCUUGUGAUCUCUCAGGACUAAACGCCCGCACCGCAGAUAAUAUGUUAUGUGCCUAUAGUUAGGACAAAAGAUUGACAUCGUAAGGGAGACAUUGUAAUCUAUAAAAUAAGGACCAAACGAUGCAUAGUAAGAGAGCUACCUGGCACAGCAUAUGGGACUUGAGGUACUACAUUCUCCAUAGUUUGUGCAGCCAGAGAAUUUAUAAAAAAUCAAUCAUUUAUAUUAUAGUUGUCUCAAAAAAAAGUUAAAUUUAACCUGGAAAAGUCUAGAGAACACCUCAGCAUAGGGUUCUUCGUUAUGCUCGGCCUGAUUAGAGCUUAACAUACUGUAGAACUCAUACCACCAAUCUUGUAGAAAUAAAUCGCAGAAUUAAAUAAUUGUAUAUUAGCCCAACAAAAUGAUCAGUCACUAUGUUGUGUACAUCCUUCCAAAAUAAAGAAUAGCAAUUAAUGCAAAAAAAUAACUUCCGAUAAGUGCACCAAAAACUUCAAAGAAUGACAUUAUCAAUCAUUCCAUACAAUCUUUUUUCUAUGAGUAGUCUUUUCUUUUUAGAAAUAAUAAUAAUAACAACAACAACAACAACAACAAAAUUCUAAUUUAUAUGGCAAACUUUCCUUAUUAGUUUUUCCUUAACAAAAUGAAUCAAUUAUAUGAAUAAGAAUAAUUUAACUUUAAAAUUCUGAUUUUACUAUAAUAAAAAUUUUAUUUUAACCAUCAUGUUUCAAAAGACUCCCUGUCUUUCUUAAAAUCACUCCCUAUGUCACAUAAAUUUAAAUAAAGAAUUAGAAAUUUAAUUUGUGGUAAAAGACUUUCUUUUUUUCUAAAACGCAGGCAUUUGAAACCAAUACAAAAAAACCUGCUUCAGAAGUAUCUGGCAUCGGAAGCAUAGUCGUAGCAAGAGCAUCGGAGUAAUUUGGUUCCCUCUGCUUAGUUUGUUCAGCGAAAAUACCAAGUCCCUCUCCUUCAUCCCGUAAGGAAUAAAACCGACAGUUAUGUCGCAACUUAAAAAAAAUAUGUUGCUGUCUUGGAAAUGUAAACACAUACUCUUGCCUCCCAUUGGUGAGGCAUAUCUGGUAUCAGCUCCAUCGGGUAGCUGUAUGACAUAUGAACAUCAAAAAGAGUUAGAAAUGUACAGAUUCACGAACUUCAGCAACAAAAUUCAUGCUUUCACUAUGCAACACAAAAUUGAAUAAAUUCAAUUUUACAGUCAUAAUUGCAUUGCACAAAACCCAAUGGAAAUGUGAUUUUGUUCAAGAACGAAGCAGAAUAGAUAUAACACAAUGUUAAGUGAGGAGUGCAAACAAUAUAAAAUAUAUCAAGCGCAGUAAUGUUUGUCUGGAUAAGCAAUAAACAAAACAUGUUGUUACCUAAAAUUGGUUUCAAAUGGCACCAGCUGAGUUGGAUGAUGCGUAUCAACAAAGCUUAAAGCAUACAUCAGCACAUAGUCGGGUAUUGUCAGGUGGAAGACCGGCACCAUAGGAGAUAUAUUAUGCUCAAACAAUAGCAUGGUAGAAUGAGACGACAGUGCCGAAAGAGCGGAGGGGAUAUUAGCUACAACAUUUCCAAUAGUAUUUGUUGCCUGAGAGUUCAAAAAAAUCAUUCAUUUAGAUUAUAAUAGUCUUUGAAAAAUAUGAACUUAACUUGGAAAAGUUUAGGUAACACCUCAGUACUGGAUUCUUGGGCACGCUCAGCCUGACGAAACGUGUAUGUGUCAUAGAAAAACCCACCACUCCUUUAGAAACCCCUCCGGGGAUUCAAUAGCUAAAACAAAUGGCAGAAAUCAAAUAAUUGUACAUUAGCACAUCACCACAAANNNNNNNNNNNNNNNNNNNNNNNNNNNNNNNNNNNNNNNNNNNNNNNNNNNNNNNNNNNNNNNNNNNNNNNNNNNNNNNNNNNNNNNNNNNNNNNNNNNNNNNNNNNNNNNNNNNNNNNNNNNNNNNNNNNNNNNNNNNNNNNNNNNNNNNNNNNNNNNNNNNNNNNNNNNNNNNNNNNNNNNNNNNNNNNNNNNNNNNNNNNNNNNNNNNNNNNNNNNNNNNNNNNNNNNNNNNNNNNNNNNNNNNNNNNNNNNNNNNNNNNNNNNNNNNNNNNNNNNNNNNNNNNNNNNNNNNNNNNNNNNNNNNNNNNNNNNNNNNNNNNNNNNNNNNNNNNNNNNNNNNNNNNNNNNNNNNNNNNNNNNNNNNNNNNNNNNNNNNNNNNNNNNNNNNNNNNNNNNNNNNNNNNNNNNNNNNNNNNNNNNNNNNNNNNNNNNNNNNNNNNNUAUAGAUGCUUGGGUUAGUGUAGCCUACCUAGGUCACAUCCCCUUGGGCUGCAGGCCUUUCUCCCGGACUUUGAUGAAUGCAUGAUGCUUCGUGCCUCAAUAUUAUCAUUGAUUUGAAGUUAGCUAUGAUGCUUGGUUAGGAUAGGAUGCCUAGGUUACAUCCACUUGGGUGGGGGGCCUUUAUUCCGGACAUUGGGUGAAUGCACAAUGGUUUGUUCCUCGAUAUUACCAUUCAUUUGAAAUUAGAUAUUGAUGCUUGGGUUAGGGUGGCCAACCUAUGUUACAUACCCUUGGGCUGCAGACUUUGGGCGAAUGCAGGAUGCUUCGUGCCUCAAGAUUAUCAUUCAUUUGGAGUUGGCUACAUCCACCCAAGCAUCAUUCGCUAACUCUAAAUGAAUGAUAAUCUCGAGGCACAAAGCAUCCUACAUUCACCCAGAGUCCAGGAAAAAGUCCCCCCACCCAAGUGGAUAUAACCUAGGUAGCCUAUCCUAACCCAAGCAUCAGAGGUAACUUCAAAUGAAUGAUAAUUAGGAGGCACGAAGCAUCACCCAUUCAUCCAAAGUCCGGGAAAAGGAUCUGCAGAUCCAAGGGAUGUGACCUAAGUAGGCUACCCUAACCCACACAACAGUAGCUAACUCCAAAUGAGUGAUAAUCUCGAUGCACUAAGCAUCCUGCAUUCACCCAAAGUUACCUACACAGCCUACUCUAACUCAAGCAUCAAUAAAUAAUUUCAUGGUUACCCAUGACUUAUGCAAGAUUUUAGACAACUUUUAAUAAAUGAUAAUUGGGAUUCUUUGUUAAAUGACCUUUUCAACUCUUCUUUUUAAUUAAAUAGAUUACAAGUUUUUUUAAGGGAAAUAACCCAUUUUUAAGACAUCUAUUAUUUAUUCGACCGAUAUAUAGACAGAUUGAUUAAAUCGAUCCGACAAAUCGAUUGUCGAUCCGAUAAAUCAAUUAUCGAUCUGACCUAUAUAUGGACAGAUCAAUUAUCAAUUCGACAGAUCGAUCAUCGUUCCAACCUAUAUGUGAAUAGAUCAAUUAUCAAUCUAAUAAAUGAAAAAAUAGAAGUAGGUCAUUUUGAUAAUUGAAAACUUGAAGAGGCUUAAUAGCCAAACAAUUUCAGUAGAUCAUUUUGCAAAUUGAAAAUUUAAAGAGGUUUAAUAGCCAAACGAUAAUUAAGAUUAUAUUAUAGCACAAUAAUAAGUUCAAAUCAAAAAUAAUUUUUAUUAAAAAAAAACUUACCAACAUGAUUGGGAUCAACAACAUUAGCUUCAAUGGGAAAUAAAUCAACAGUCAGAUGCAACCCCUUUUUAACCAAGUAAUCAUGCACAUACUUGUCAAACCUGAAAUUUCCAAUAGAGAAUCAUAAAUUAUUUUAUUAUGUGGCGUAAUCAAAAUUUUGACAUUUAAACUUAGUCAUAAAAAGUUUAAGUUUUAUGAAAUAAAAUUAAUAUAAUUAGUAAAUUUAAGUAUUUAAAAAUUAGAUAAAAAAUUUCGAUGAAAAAAUAAUUUAAUUUACUCUCAAAUUUGUAUUAUUGAUUAUUAUUAAAAUUUUCCCUUGUGUUAUUUUAAAUUGGUCAAUUUUAUCAUUAAUUAGAUUUUUGUGUCUAUUCCUUGCCUUGGAAUUAAUGAAUUGUCUCAUAUUUGAUCCCAUCAUUAAUUGAGGUCUUAUCUGAAUAAGUGGACUUUUAAGUGUCCAAAUUAUUUAGGAAAAAAGUAGUUACUCCUAUUUACUCUUUAAAAUUGGAUUAAAAUUUAAUAUUAUCUCAUUAAAAUGAUAAUAAUAGUAAUAUCUAUUCAGUGUAAUUUUAUAGAUGGAGUCUGAGAAGAGUGAUGUGUACAUUAUUUUAUUUCUUGGUCAAAAAUUGUGGAAUUAAGAUUUCUUGGUCACUUAUAAAUAAAUAAAUAACAUAAAAUGAUCUUUUCAAAUCUCAUUUGAGUAAAUAUUAAGAUCUUUCGUAAAAAAGACAUAAAAUUAAAGAAAUUGUAAGUGACCUAAAAUAUAAAUGUGCACAAAAAUAAUUGAACAAGUUUUAAUCCUAUUCAUUUAUUAAUACGGCCCGAUUUAAUCCUUUCAAAUAGAACCCAAUUUUUUUCUUAAGACCACCAAGUGAGACAUUUUAUUUAUUCCACACUAAUCUCAUAUCACUUGUUUCAAUCAAAAUAUAUACAUUUUCCCUACUUUUAUAACUUAAAAAUAACUAUCAAAACAUAAGAAAAAAAUAUUUCCAAAAAAUCAUCAAGAUAUAACAUGUCAUAUAAGUUUAUUUGACUAAAAAUGAGCAUUUAAACUUAAAAUUAUGUGAACAUAAAAACAGGAAAGAAUGAAUAUAACCAAAGAAUCAUUAAAAAAAAUUAGAGUUAACAAAAAAAAAAUCAUGAUAACACAUAUGGAGAAAACAUCAAAAAUUUAAUUAGAAAAAUAGUUUUUAUGCAAAAACUUACAUCAUUUGAUUGCUCCACGAACCCAUAAUCACUAAAGAAGAAAAAGAAAAAAGAGAAUAAAAAAAUGAAAGUGAAGAAAAGAAGAAGAGAGAAUAGUGGAUAAAGACAGAAAAAAAAGAUACCAAGAAGAGAAAACAAGAUUAUAAUUAUAUAUUGAAGAGAAGUUAAUAGCAUGCAAAAUCUAAAUAAAAGAAACGAUAGAAACCAACAAGAAAAAUUUGACUUGAAAAUAAUAAGAAAAGAUUACAAAUUACAACUUAUAUAUUCUCUAAAAUUAAACAAAUUCAUUUAUUACUAAUUAACUCCAAUCACACUUUUCUUUCAAAAAAAAAAAAAAGAAAGAAAGAAACUUUCAUUGAAGGAUGUCACUAAAAAAAAAAAUAUUAAAAAAAGAAGUGAAUUCUAUUAAUAUGGCUUUUGCACUAUGGACAAUUACCUAAUUAAUUUAAACAAAUCUCUAACACUAACACUUAAUAAUAGAUUUCAUUAUUUAUUUUUACACUUAGUUUCAUAAUAAAUCACUCACCUUAAUUGGGUAGGGUGUGGGUUGGAUUUUAUUUAUUAGGUUCGAAUUUUAAUUUUAAUUUUUAUUAAUAUUGAUUAAUUUAGAUUUGAUGACGUGUAUUUCUAAUAAGAGGUCAUGUGGAAAAAAUGAAUUUGCAAAACCAUCACCAGAAAGUAAUAGCACGAAUAAAACUUUUCUAUAAUGUCAAUGAUAUAUAGAUGAGUUAGAUUUUUUAUGACAGUGACAUAAAUAAGCCAAACUUUUAAUAGAUGACAUAGAAGAGUCAUUUCUAAUAAUUCAAUUACAUGUUUAAUCUUUUAUUUUACUUAUGUACUAUAAUUUCAAUGAACUUGCUCUCCACUUUAUGAAUUAGUCAAAAGUGUCAAAACAUAAAAAGUCAUCUCAGAAAAAUUGAAUUAAAUUAAAAGGUGAGUUUGUUAUGAGUAGAAAAAUUAGAAUUAAUGUAUGUGAGUGAGAAAAUGCCAAAAUCUUUUAAGAAAAAUGUAACACAUUAAUUAAUUAAAAAAACUUAUCUUAAUGUACUCAUCGGUGCAAAUAAUUUGAAUCAAAUUCCUAAAAAAAACUAUUACUCAUAAUUUUAGAAAAGAAAAUAUAUAUAUAUAUAUAUAUAUCCCUCCGUCUCAUGUAUGUGGCACUCUUUCAUUUUAGUUCUUCACGAAUUACAUAUAUUCGUUUAGGGAAGGAGUUUGCAAAGCGAAGUUGUCUAUUUAUUAGAUGAUUUUAAUUUAUGUUUUUAUCAUACAUAACAUAGUUUCAUUUGAUAUCAGAGCUGGGAGUUUCCGAAUCAUUAUGGUAUAUGUAUGAUCAUGAAGUAAACAAGUACCAAUUACUUGAAUUAAAGGAUAAAUCGUACAACCAAAUCGGAGAAAGCUUACACUGUGUUUGUAGAUUUGCUGAGAUACUGAUGAAACGUAGGGAUCCAUCCACCAAGUAACAGGUGACCAGGUCCCUCUACGGACAAACACAGUAUUACAGUUAUAAAAGAAAGAUAACGCAAAAGAUAAAAUACAAGUGAUGUUUAUGUGAAAAUCUCCUUACUCAAGGGAGAAAAAAACACGACCCUUCUCAUAGAAUUUUACAACUCUCCACUAACUUCAAGAAAAAAAGUGAUUACAGAUUCAAAUAAUCACAAAUGAUUAAACUCUUAAUCCUAGCCUCUUGUAAUAACUCUACUACAAGACUGAUGUCACAACUUUAUCACACUCCUUGUCGACUAGCUCUAGCCGACAGUCCUAAGUAACUCUACCCGGAAAACACUUCACCCAAGGUGAAAAUAAACUUGACCAAAUACAAAGUGACUCGAUCAAUUAACUCUAAUUGAGGCAAUUCAAGCUAAUACUUAGAUAAGCUAUUGAUCUACUAUCCUUUAUAAUUCGGGAGUAGAUUUACAAUGUAAGAGAAAAGACAUAACAAUACUUAGUCAACACUCGAUCAGGUCCCUUGUUGGUGGAGUAUGAGCAGUGUUCUUGUGAAAUGACCUUUUGCUUUUGAGAGUAAUCGUCAUUGCAAAAACUAGGUUUUGUUCCUUGUCAAUGUUCCCCUUUAUAAAAGAGAAUGAAACAUAAAAUGCUUGCCAUUGGUUGAGGUUGGCUACCUCUACUGCAGUGCCACCAACUCUCAGCUAAAAGUGCAGUCUCCAGACUCCGGCUAUACUCAAUUGUCAUUUAGCAACCAAUCAAGUUUUUUAUGGUAUAGUUUGCAGAUCAUCAAAACUCCAGUAAUACCAUCAAAACUCUAGUAGUACAACAGAUACACAUCAGAUUACAAAAAGAUGAGAGGCAUUUUUUAUCUGCAUCUGAUCACAUAGUACACACUUAUCAUCAUCACAAUGUAUACCUCUCUUUAGUGAGCAGUUUCCUUGCAUUGCUAAUCGCAAUAGGAAUCUAUACUUAGGUAACAGGAUCUUGCUCCAUUUCAGUUUCACACCCCUCAAUCAGGGGCGGAGCCAACCUUCUUUAGGGGUUCGAAUGAACCCCCUUCGACGGAAAAAUAUACUCCUUCCGUUUAAAAAUGAAUGACCUUCUUUGACUUGGCAUAGAGUUUAAGAAAAUAAAAAAGACUUUUGAAUCUUGUGACCUUAAAUUACAGUUGUGUCCAAUGUACCAAAAUGCCCUUUAAUCUUGUGGUCCUAAAUAUGUCAUGUGGAAAGUUGAAAUUAAAGUAUUGCAAAAAAGGAAAGGGUUCGUUCUUUUUGAAACGGACUAAAAAGGAAAGUAGGUCAUUCUUUUUUAAUCGGAGGGAGUACUAUUUAUACAUGAUUAAAAUUAUUUUUUAUAUGGUUAUAGUGGGUGUUGAAUCCCCUUUGACUAAAUUUUCUUUGAAUAUUGAAACCACUUAGUUGAAAUUGUGGCUCCGCUCCUCAAUGCAGGUGCAUUACAGCCUCAGAUUUCCACGAUUCAUACAUUCAAACUAUAAUUACUCCAGCCCAAUGAAUUUAAUGUGCAAAAGUUUAGGUGACACCAUAACAUAUAAUUCUUGAACAUGCAUGAGAGAUUAAAGAUUAAUAUAAUCUAGAAUACAUCUCCCAAUCUGCUAUAAAUCCUCUCAAGUACUGAUAGUUUAUAAAAAUCUCAAGAACGCCCAACAAUGCUAAAUUACAUUAGGAAUUUGUUUCAGCAAUCAAUUUUCCAGGGGAUACCUAACGGAGUGGUAGGACGUGUUCUAUGAUAUAUUCAAGGCAUAAUACAUAAAUAUGACACUAAUCUUGAUACCAAAUAAUAACAUUAACGUUAAACUUUGAUAGUGCACAAAUAGGACUUUUAACUAUUCAAAACCUGAACAAAUAAACACCCCGAUCUUAUGUGGCAAAACGCGUGAUGUACACGCAAAACGGCGCGCGUCCGAUUUGGAAUUGAAGUUUUUUUUGUUAAACUUUUGUAUAGUUAAAGGGCCUAUUUGUGCACCAACAAAGUUAAAGAUCAUACUAAUAAUGUAAUUUUUUAUUAGGUGGCACCAUAUGAGUGGAUUAGUAAUCCACGUCAGAGCAAGUGAGGUGCACGCGUGUAGUUGCAAAAUCGGAGUGUCUUUUUGUUCAGGUUUUGUAUAGUUAAAGGGCCUACUUAUGCACUAUCAAAGUUUAAGGUAAAUGUUAUGUUGGAAAAAAUGCUACAAUAUUGAUAUGGACAUGAAAUUAAUGAUAGUAAGAGAGUUGUCACAAACACUGUGUCAUGCAAGCCACUGCCUUGAAAGUGCUUUUGGCCCGACUCCGGUGCAAAUCCUUCUAGCCAAUCGCUCCCCAAGGUUCCACAGCUACUUCCAAACACGUCCACUCAUGGCUGAAAGUUUGGAGGUUUCCCAAAUCAAUUGCCCAAAAUUGUCAAAGAAUAGGAAGCCAAGAUUACCGUAGAGAAUUGAUGAAGUGGGGAGAGUAUUUUAUUUCCUAUAUUUUCUUCUUUCAUCUUUAGUUCUCAAAUGAUACUCCUUAAAUAGGUAUAUCAUUUACGUUUCAUUCAUCAAAAGAAUGAAUGAAGACAAACAGAGUUAAUGUACAUAAAUUAACAUUACUCUUAAAUUAAUGACAAGUCAUAAAGGGUCGUAACUUUCAAGACUUCUGAAUGUCUUUCAUUCACAAAGUUACAUUUAAUCGUCAUUUGAAUGAAUGUACAUUUAUGAAGUAGUAACUUCAAUAUCCUAUUAACUCUUAUGAAUUACGGAUGUUCACACAAAUUUAUUACGGAGAGUUAUAAGAGUUUUUAAUCUUUGCAUUAAUUAAGAAGGAAUUAUCCUUCAAUCCCCCACUAAUGCAAAGAUAGAGAAUAGAACAACUUUGGGAAAAAGGAAGGAACAUGUACUUAAGUGUCAAUAUAUUCUGAUUUGAAUUGACACGUAGUGAUAUGAGGAAAUAACAAAUAUCAAAAAAGUGAAGUACUCUUGAACUAGAUGGACAUAAGUUGAGACCCUCCAAAUAUCCUUGAUUUUAAGCAACCUCCGUGAUACUUCAAAGUGCUUUUAUGGUCAUGUACACAAACCUUGGGUCUCAUGAGUUCUCUAGAAAAACGACCCAACUCUUUCAUAAAAAGGUGACCAGCCUUUUACACUCACGUAGGUGAUCCAUCAAGUCUAUCUCAUAGACCACCUUAAGGUUAUGGAUCAUUAAGAGCUAAAAUAAGCUCAAUCUUAUAAUACACUACCUCGCGUUAUAGGGAUAGAAUAUGUAGUAUUUAUUGAAGGAUUAUAUGGCUUUGUUUGACCACAAAUGGGUAUCCACCAUAUUACCUCAAUCCAUGGGUUUUAACCCUAUCCCCCUCGACGAUUCAAGGAUCAUUUUCCUUGUCAAACCCUUGGUCAUAGGAUUUGCCAAAUUUCUUUCGGAUCUUAUAUAUUUCAAGGAAAUAACACCAUGGUUCAACAAUUGUUUCACUGCACUAUAUCUAAUGCGAAUAUAUAUCUUUUUACCACUGUGAGUCACAAGGUAAAGAGACUGGUGAUAUUUGUCUUCCCCAUAAAGGAACAUCUGUCAAAAAGUUUCUCAGCCACUCAGCUUCUUGCCCUGCCAACUUGAGAGCAAUGAAUUCUGAUUUCAAGGUAGAACGUACUAUACAAGCCUGCUUUGAAGACUUCCAUAAAAUAGCGCCUGAACCCAAAGUAAAUACAUAUCCACUGGUAGAGCUAACUUCAUCAUUAUCAGUCACCCAGUUUACAGCAUAAAAAUCUUCUAAAAUAGUAGGAAAUUUAUUAAAAUGCAAACACCAAUUCAUAGUACCUCUCAGAUACCUUAACAAGUGAUGAAGAGCACUCCAGUGUUCACUACUUGGACUAUGAGUAUAUCUACUCAAUCUACUAACAACAUAAGCUAUAUCAGGCUGAGUAUAGUUCAUGAGAAACACUACACUCCCAAUUAUUCUAGCAUAUUCAGUUUGAGAAAUACUAGAAUCUUUAUUCUUUUUCAAGUGUAUGCUAGAAUCAUAAGGAGUUCUCACUACAUCAAAACAACCAAACCUUUUCAACAUCUUUUCAAUAUAACGAGACCGACACAAAGAGAAAUCAUUAACAGUUCUUUUGCUUUUUAUCCCUAAAAUCACAUCAGCUUCUCCAAGGUCUUUCAUUUCAAAUUUAUAAAAUAAAAAUUUCUAAGUCUCAUUUACAAUGUUCACAUUAGGGCCAAAGAUUAACAUGUCAUCCACAUAUAAACAUAUAAUCACAUAAUCCGAUUCCAUCAUUUUAGAAUAAACACAAGUAUCAGAUGAAUUAACAACAAAUCUAUUAUCCAUUAAUGUGAAAUUAAAUUUUUUAUACCACUGCUUAGGUGCCUGCUUAAGUCCAUAUAAGGAUUUUCUCAAUUUGCAUACUUUAUCCUCUUGUCCUGGGACCACAAAACCCUCAUCUUGAGUCAUAUAGAUCUCUUCCUCUAAAUCAUCAUUAAAAAAAUGCAGUUUUGACAUCCAUUUGGUGUACCACUAAACUAUGAAUAGCUGCUAGAGAAAUAAGAGUCUCAAUGGUCUCUAUUUUAGUCACAGGAGAAUAAGUACCAAAAUAAUCAACACCUUUUUUUGGUUAAAAUCCCUAAUCACAAGUCUAUCCUUAUAUUUAUCAAUUAUACCAUCAGGCCUUAAUUUCUUGUUAAAUGUCCAUUUUCUACUUAUGAAUUUACAACAUUAGGCAAAUCAUAUAAGUCCCAGGUAUGAUAAGAGACUACAGAAUAUAAUUCACUUUUAAUAGCCUCUUUUCAAAACAUUGCAUCUAUUGAUUUCAUUGCUUAAUCAUAAGUUUUAGGGUCUUCUUCUAUUAAGUAGAUAGACUUUAAUUCAUCAUUUAAAGUAUCAAUAUUAAAACCCUCAGUUAAGAAGGUGUUGAUAAAAUCAGGAUCAAAACCAGUCUCAAUUCUACGUCUUUUACUCCUUUGAAGUUCAUUUUCAUGCUCAUUAGAAAUAUCAUCAGAAUUAGGCAUAACAUGAGAGUUAAUAGACAUAGAUACAUAAGUAUUAUUUUGUAAAUCACUAGGCACAUUAUUUUUCAAAGGAAAGACAUGCUCAAAAAAUUCUGCAUCUCUACAUUCACAAAUAGAAUAAUCAUUUAAUGACAUAAAUCUAUAUGCAACACUAUUUUAAGAAUAACCAAUAAAUAUAAUAUCAAAGGUCUUAGAACCUACAUUUACUAGUUUAAAAUCAGGUAGACCAACCUUAGCCAAACACCCCCACAUUUUAAGAAAUUUCAAGUUGGGAACAAACCUUUUCCAUAAUGCAUAUGAGUUCUUGUCUAACAUUUUAUUAGAGUCUCUAUUAAGAAUAUAAUAUGCAAACAAGGCAGCUUCCCUCCCAUAUAUAGUCAGGAACAUUCAAUCAUAAAAGCAUAGAAUUCAUCAUUUUAUCAACUUCAAAAAUAAGUUUAAAGCCUACUUUAUUCAAAAGUGCUCCAAAAACUAGGUUUCUACGAAGAGAGAACAUAUAGAACACUGUUCAAUACUAAUGUUUUGCCAAAGGUUAAUUUAAGAGAAUUUUUUUCUUUACCCAUAACUCCAGCAGUAGUGGAGUUAUCCAUUUAUAUGCACUCGUUAUCAAUCAACUCGACAAAGUCAUGGAGCAACUCUUUAUUGGCGCAGAAAUGAUGAAAAGCCCCUGUGUCUAACACCCAGUUAGUUUUGUUAGCCACCAGGUUCGUCUCGAAGACUACAACAACGAUCAUUUUAUCACCCUCAACAAUAUGAACUUGGACAUCAUUUUGUCCUCCCUGUUUUAUGUUUUGCAAACUAUCUCAUAUUCCUUUAGUAGAUUUGUAAGUAACAAGUAAAUAAAAAAAAAGUAUUAGUCAUAUGACUUAAUAAAUGCUCUCUAGCAUUUAUGUUAUCCUUUUUAAUCUUUUUUUUACCAAAUUCAUCAACAAUCAUAACAUUAUUAGAAGCAGUAAUGAUGUUAGAACCAUCAAUAAACAAAACAUAAUAAACUUUUAAUUGUUCUAAGAAAAUAAUAAGUUUUUGUGACCAACUUUUAAAACUAUUUUCAUCCAAUGGCUUAAUUUUUGAUAAAUCAGGAAAAGUUUUAUUCAAAGAAAUAGCCAUUUAUUAACAUUGUAUGUAAGGAAAUCACUUUCGAACUGUUAGAAAAAAUGCUACAAUAUUGAUAUGGAUAUGAAAUUAAUGAUAGUAAGAGAGUUGUCACAAACAUUGUUUCAUGGCAAGCCACUGCCUUGAAAGCGAUUUCGGCCCGACUCCGGUGCAAAUCCUUCUAGCCGGUCACUCCCCAAGUUUGCACAGCUACUUCCAAACACGUGCACUCAUGGCUAGAAGUUUGGAGGUUUCAUGACCCGAACGAGGCCCUGGACAUAAUGAGUGUUCUGAACCAUCAAGGCCCGAAACACCCCUUAUCUAUCUGGUAAUCAUGGACAUGACUUAUAUAAAAAAGAAAUGCGGAAGAUACACUAUAUAACGAAAAUAUGGUAAAGAAUCAUAUGAAAAUAAUAGUGGGGAAUAAUGUCCCACAAUCUCAAUCAAUAUCUCUAUAACGUCUGUGAAAUCUCUACUAUAUGACUGAAAUAAAUAUCUAUCUGAAAACUAGGACAAGGCCCCCAGUAGACCCAAAACUAAUUAAUGAUAAAUGAAACUGGCAGAUAUUAGGCCUUUUGAAAUAAUAGAAGUCUCACCAAGUGACUUUGCAAAUCUAAGGAAAUCUGCUGAUUUUCUGGACCCCUAGACUGUGCCUCCGAACCUGAGAGGAAAGGGGGUCAAUACAAAAGUACUGGUACGCAGUGAUAUCAAAAUAAAACAUAAUAUUUUUACAAAAUAUAGUUGAGAGCCAUUAUAAAGCAGUUUCAUAUCAAAUCAUUUGAAAACACAUGGGCAUAAUGUAAUUGUUUUCAACAACAACGCAAUGCAGCCGAGCUAGGUGGAAUACCCUACGUAAUUUACACCAACUGUCAAACCCCGGUUUCCGCCGAGAUUAGAAUAUACGUGAGGAGAAGACACACAAGAUCACACAGCAGGGUGUCUCGACCCAGUGGUAGUACCCUAGAUCACUUAGCCUGGGCUCGAAUGACAUAAAGUCAAGUACACAGGUUCACUUAGCCUGGUACCGAACUCCCCGGCAAAUACGGUUUUCAGCAAUGAGCCCUUACACUCAAACACCUUCUUCAGGCAUCCACCUAUCUCAUGUAAAAUCAAUGUAUUCAAAUUUAAUCUGAUUCAAUCACAUGCCAUAUUCUGUAGGGUAUCGUCAUACCCGACUUGCAAGCCAUCAAUAUCACAUCAUUCUUUCAAGCAGUCACUGUGUUCAUCAUAUUUCAACAUAACAAUCCCUCUCUUUGCAAGUCAAAAAUCAUAUUCACUUUCAAAAUGUUUCGUGUCAUGCUUGUCAAGAUGAUUUCAAAACAAUUCACAUCAUAUGAAAAUUCAAAAUAAUUUCAUAUCAAUAGAGGGAUUUCAUAUCAUUCAUGCUCUCAAGUUAACAUCUUUUCAGAAUACAUGCAUAUACAUAUUUCAUAUAUCAAAUCACUUUAAAAAUAGGCCUAAAGACCAGAUCAAUAUCAUAAAACGUUCAAUACAUAACCAUAAUUGUAAUUUCAAAACCUCCAUUUGAAAACAUGAAUUUUUUUAAAGACCCAUGAGAUCUUUGGAUAACCCCACGUACCUCUAUAUGUGAAUAUAAUAGGUGCUUCUUGAAGCCUACGUUGCGGAGAUUCCAAAUCUUCAAUUUAUUUUGAAAACCCAUGGUUGAAUCUUGAGUUAUUGGGGUUUUUAUUUUAAAACUCUAAGGGGUGUUCUUGAGAUAAAAUUUGAGAAAAGGAUUAUAUUUUGAUGAAUUGGGGGCUACAAAAUUUGGGUGAGGUGAAAUAACUAAAAUGCUCCUAAGAAAAUAAAAAAAUUCGAAAUUGUCCCUCAGUUGACAAGCUGACAGGCUGAAGUAAAAUAGGUAUAACUCCUUACUCAGAUGUUGGAUUUAGAUGAAACUAGUUGUAUUGGAAAGAAGACUCAAAUAUCUUUCAUUUGAUAGGUAUCAUCUCUCCCAGUUCAUUAUAUUCAAAGAGUUAUGAUCGUUUGAAGUUGACCCUGAAAUGCUGAAAACUGGGGAAUAGGCUAUGCGUUUUGCUACUGUUUUGAAAUCCAAACGCAGCCUUAUGCGUUCUAAAAAAUUCCAAAACUUAUCCGAGAUGUACUAUGAGCUUGCACAAUUGUAACACAACUUGAAAAUCUAAAAACGGAUGUCGAGAAGGUUGAAAAGUUGUAUCCCGAAGAUAGCCAGCUAAAAUGACUUUAAGUCCUCAUUACACUUAGAAAAAAAUAUUCUAGUUAUUAGCCCCUCAAACAUAACACUAAAAAUGAUAUCGACUCGAGAAUUUUACGGGGUAUUACGAUAGGAGUGAUUACCACACCUAUGUUAAUAAAGAAUAAUUCAGUUUGUGUCAAUAUACGUAGGAACGACGGUCUAAACUCUAGCCCAAAAAUAUGGGGUGUUACAGGAGGUUGCCCAAACCUAUUGCCCAAAAUUGUCAAAGAAUAGGAAGCCAAGAUUACCGUAGAGAAUUGAUGAAGGGGGGAGGGUAUUUUAUUUCCUAUAUUUUCUUCUAGCAUCUUUAGUUCUCAAAUGAAACUCCUUAAAUAGGUAUAUCAUUUACGUUUCAUUCAUCAAAAGAAUGAAUGAAGACAAACAGAGUUAAUGUACAUAAAUUAACAUUACUCUUAAAUUAAUGACAAGUCAUAAAGGGUCGUAACUUUCAAGACUUCUGAAUGUCUUUCAUUCACAAAGUUACAUUUAAUCAUCAUCUGAAUGAAUGUACAUUUAUGAAGUAGUAACUUCAACAUCCUAUUAACUCUUAUGACUUACGGAUGUUCACACAAAUUUAUUACAGAGAGUUAUAAGAGUUUUUAAUCUUUGCAUUAAUUAAGAAGGAAUUAUCCUUCAUGUUAUAAUUUGAUGUCAAGUUUAGGGUCAUAUUUAUGUAUUAUGUCUAUAUUCAAACUCUAAUCAAAGUCCAUGAAGAUAUUGCUAAAUCCACCUUGUGUUGGCGAGGGAUAAGGUAAAACAUGAGAUACACAAGAAAACGACACAAUUCCAAGAGCCUUCAAUUGCAUAAGUUUGAUUAAAUCAUGUCAACUGAAAAGUUGGUAUUUGUAGUUACAUUUUCUUGUGUUACUACCUUCCACCAAGACUCAGUCAAAUGAGAAGAAAUUACCUGGCAUUGUUCGUCUAUGCUUGAACCCGAACCCUAGUAUUCUAUGAUUUCACUCACUUUAUUGACUGCUAAACUAUACCCUUGGGCGUAGAAUGAUGAAAGUGUAACAUGGCUUGAGUUGAUACUAUAGCUCUAAACUCGAUUAUUUAAUAUCCUUUCUUCUUGAAAAUAUUAUAAUGUAGAAUCCAUUUAGUGUAUAUGUAUGUUACUUCUUAUGGGAUUUUGUAAAAAAUAAUUAAAAAGGCAUGAUAGUGAACUAUGAGAUUUUAAUGAAAAGCAGAGGCAAAUUCAGAAUUUAAACCCUAUAAGUUCAACCUUUAAGUAAGGUUCAUCAUUAUUGUUGAAACUAUUCAUCCCUGCAUACUAGAGAUCGAAAUUUUAGUAGAUUUUUACACAAAUUCAUAUUUUGCACUGAAAGUACUGAGUGCAGAUGAACCCAGGUCCACGACGCUAUACUCGCCUCUUAUGGAAAGCCACACUUGCUAAUAAGACCAAGUUUUCAAACAAUCGUGCGCAACAUAUUACACCCUUGGAGUUUUGAUAAUUCACAAACUAUUCCACAAAGGGCCUGAUCGAAGCUUAAGUCAGUAUCCAUAGGUCCCAUAUGAAGUUGCUCUUUGAAAUAGAGUUGUUGCAAGAGGUAGUGAUUAUAGGAUCUUGUAAUCACUUGGUUGCUUGAAGAUUAGUGGAGAUUUGGGAAAUCCCAUGUGACAGGUCGUGUUUUUUUCUCCCUUGAGUAAGGAGGUUUGCACGUAAAAAUUGUGUGUACUUUACAUUAUUGCAUCAUUUUUCUUUCUUUUGUUAUCCUAUUUCAUCUGGGGGCAUAGGGACCUGGUCUCUAUGUACUUGAUGGACUCAUACAUUUCAUCACAACAACUACCCAUUCAUUAGAAAAUAAUAUGAGAUUUGAUCCUUUAUUGGUUAUGCAUUUAUGAUGACUUGGAGGGAAUAUACUGGGUAUGUUGUUGCAUUUAUGAUGACUUGUAGAAUUGAAACCAAAACCUCAAUGCUGCCUCUAAAUGUAUUAGCAUCCUUAACAUUCAUCAUCAAGACACUACACUAUAACAUAUGCACUGAAAUACUGUCAUAUUUCCUGCAUUAUCUUGAUUAUUUUUCUAUGUUGAUUAACAAACAUGCAACAUCCAUUAAUAAUUGGAGAAAGAAAAAACAUUUAAUGUCAUUAUACUCAUAAUUGAGCAUUCAUGAUCACAACUUCGACUACAAAAAGUCAAAGUUCUUAAAAUGAACAAAAAGUAACAAAAUUCAUCUGUCUUUGUUCAUGGCAUAUAUAGCCUACAUAUACUGUAUAACAGCUAAUGAAUUAUGAUCUUUCUCAAGUUUAUCACCUUCUUAAUGCCAUGCCGAGAGGAAGAUCGUAAAAUCACAAGAUCUUAAUUAGACUAGGGAUUUUGCUGCAUCAUAGAGCUAGAGCCGGUGGAACAACCUGAUAACGAUCAUCAGCAAAGAAUCUGAUAUGAGUUUUCGUUAUAACAAAGAACUAUUUAAUCGUCCUUGAAGAUCUUAUAAUUGACAAAUAUAUCAUCCAAACACCCAUAACAUUUUCAUACGCUAACAAAAGUUGAUAUUGGUAUCUGGUUCAAAAUGCAUAUUAAGUCGACGUAUAAGACUAUAAACUAACUUAGGUGGGCUCACAUGUGUUAUCAAGAUCAAUGACAAAAGAUUCUAAAAAAUAAAAAGCUAAGUAUUUGAAACCAAUAAUAAUACAACGAACCUGCUUCAGAAGGUUCUGGCACUGAAAUCCUAAUAUUUUUAAGGAGACGAGAGUUUGGUUCCAUCUGCACAGUUCGUUAAAAGUUAAUAUUAUCUCCCUCUCCCUCUUCCUGGAAGAAUUAAACCUUGUCAGUUAUGUCGCAACUUUAAAAAACAAAAGAUAAGAAAAUUACUGUUGACUCGGAAAUCUAAACAUACUUUUCCCUCCGACUGUUGAGGCAUACUUGGAAUCUGCUCCAUUGGUUGGCUGUAUGACACAUGAACAUCAAAAAGAGUUAGAGAUUGAUCUUCUUAUUCACGAACUUCAACAACCAAAUCGAUGACUUACAUUAUUUCUACGCGAUAACUAGUUAUCAAUUCAAUUUUACAGUCAUAAUUGCAUUGCAUAAAACCAAAUGGAAACGUGGUUUUGUUCAAGAACAAAGCAGAAUAGAUAUAACAUGAAGUUAAGUGAACAAAAUACAGAAAUGCUGCUCCAUAGUAGCAAUAAAUGUAACAUGUUGUUACAUAGAAUCUCAACAACCUUAAUUUCACUAUUAAGGAUAUUUUUUGGGGAUGUUGGAGACUUGAUUAACAAAUAUUAACAUUAUGUAAUAAUUUCUGAUAAAAUUUAUUUAUUUUUUAAAAAAUGGACUGGCCUAUGAGGCCCGCAGCCCACAAAGUAAUAGUGGGGACUUGGUGUUUUUGACCCAUCAUUUUGAUGGGACGGUCCGGCCUAGUCCGUUAAACUCAAAGCCCGUGUGACUAGCCCGAAUGAGCUGGACUGACCCGUAUUGAUAGAUCAGAGACACUACAAUAUAUCAAAUUAGGCUCAAACGAUUGUAUGUAGGAGAGCUAACCGGUGUAGCAGUAUUUGGAGAAUACGUUGGCACAUCAGAAGGGAUAUGAUAUCCCACAUUGUCAGCAGUCCAUGCAUCCUGAAAAAGUUUAGGUAAUACCUUAACAUAGGAUAGUUGGGCCUUCUCAUCAUAAGUAUUGUAUAUAUCAUAAAACCUGUCCCACCAUUCCAUUAGAUAUCCCUCUGGAGAUUCGAUCGCUAAAAAAAAUGCAGAAAUCAAAUAAUUGAAGUUAAAAAAAUAGCAAUUAUGAUUAAUACAAUUUUAGAAAUAUGAAAAACACUUUCUAAUAAAAUUAACCUCAAAUAAGUGCACUAAAAGCUUCAAAGAAUGACAUUAAUUAUCUAUCAUUCCAUCCAAUCUAUUUUAUUUGAAAAAGGAACAACUAAGAAUUGAGGUGUGUUUUAAUAUAUAGAUAUUGAUGGUUGAUGUAGGAAAAGAGAACAAUUAUAUUUAAAGAUGUGAAACUAUGAUAAUUCAGAUGUGUUUUUUUUUUUAACCAUUAUCUCACUUAAAAAUGAAGUCAAAAGAAUAAAGAAGUUCUUUAAAAUAACAUAGUCAUCAAAUAAAAGGGUAUUNNNNNNNNNNNNNNNNNNNNNNNNNNNNNNNNNNNNNNNNNNNNNNNNNNNNNNNNNNNNNNNNNNNNNNNNNNNNNNNNNNNNNNNNNNNNNNNNNNNNNNNNNNNNNNNNNNNNNNNNNNNNNNNNNNNNNNNNNNNNNNNNNNNNNNNNNNNNNNNNNNNNNNNNNNNNNNNNNNNNNNNNNNNNNNNNNNNNNNNNNNNNNNNNNNNNNNNNNNNNNNNNNNNNNNNNNNNNNNNNNNNNNNNNNNNNNAUAUAAUCAUCAAAUAAAAGAGUAGCCUCCACUGUCUUAUGUCUAGUAUUUAGACAAAUUUGACUUUCUUUCGAUUUAGAAUAGAAAAUUAUUGAUAUUUCUUGUGUCGGGGUAGAGCUGGCAUACAAUGAUGGGGCUGACCUACUGCAAGAAAUUACUUUAUUUAUAUAUGGUUAAAAUUAUUUUUUGGGUAUAUAUAAUAGAUGAUGAACCCCGUACACGAUUAGUUCGUGUGUACACUUUUGAACCCCUUAUAUAAAAGUCUGACUCCAUCACUAAUAUUGUGACAAUGAAAUCUGUCAAUAAUAUAGCAUAAUCAUACUACUCCGAUUACUAUAAUCCAAGCAUCCACAACUACUUUCAUGAUUACACGCAAGUUAUAAGUCACACGUAAACAACUUUUAACAAUUAUUUUAAUGAGUUCAAAUUUACCAUAAAUUUAAAUAAAAAACACUUACCAACAUUUUUGGGAUUUACAACAUUUGCUUCAAUGGAAAAUACCUCAGCAGUCUUAUGCAACCCCUUUGUAACCAAGUAAUUAUAGAUGUACUUGUCCAUCCUGAAAAUUUUCAAUAGAGAGUCAUAAAUUAUUUUAUGUUAAUGGUGUGUUUGGUAUGAAAAUAUUUUUUCAAAAAUAAGUUGAUUUCUUAUUUGCAAUAUUGCUAUUUAUAAGUAACAAAAAAAAUACUUAAAUAUAAUUUAGCAAAGAAAUAUAUGUAGAGGCAGGAGGGGGUCAGGAUGUAGGGCCUCGACGGUGGUGGGAGUGGAAUGGUCCAAAGGUAGGAAUUGGAGGUGUUGGGUGGAUCGAAGAAUACUAUAAGCAUAUAUAAUGUUUUAUAAGUUGGCUUCUUGAAGUUUGGUAAGUAAACAAAAAAGAUUAUUAUCGCAAAAGUAAUUUAUACGUAAUUGAGCAAAAAAUAGUAUUGGGUGGGAGGAUACAAUAAGGAUACAGUAAUGUGACUUAUAGAAUUUAUUUUUCCUAUUUCCAUUAAGAAGUUAUUGUCUUCGUUUUAUAAUGAAGAAAAUAUUUUUCAAAAAUUUUGUUCAAUCAAACAUAAGAAAAUACAGAAACAUUUUCCGAAAAACAUUUACCUUUCUGCCAAACACAUCUUAAAAGGUGAAUAGUUUGAAUUUUCCACCCUACUAUUUUUAAUUGGCCAAUUGUAUCCUUGGCUAAACUUUUGUGUCUAUUCAUGGCCUUUGAAUUAACAAAUUGUGUUGUAUUUACUCCUAUCAUUAAUUAAGCUCUUGUGAGAAUAAGGUUUUUUGGUAGGGUGUGUAAUAAUAUUAUAAAAUAUAGUAUAUUAGUAAUCCUUGCGUUAGUUAUAUUUAUAUUUUUCUUAUAUAGUAUUUGAUUUAAUCUAUUAAAAAUAAUAUGGAUUACAUAAUUAUUUUUUGAAAAAACAUUUGUUUAUAAUGCGUCUUUAGUCAUUCUAGACAUGAAUUAUCUUAAAUAUGAUGGAAAGAUUGUGGAAAGAAUUUUGAGGGACAAUUAUGUCCUUAAUCAUUCUAAUGCAGUACUACAGUCCGGUGGGGAAACUUUAGGGUAUCCUUGGAAUAAUGCGCCAGGUAUCGUACGCAUUAGAAUCUAUUGUGUUACUAAUAUCAUGGAUUUUCACGUAUUAGUAAUGCACACUUUAAUAUUAAUGUAAGUGUAUAAGUAAUACUUAAAUUAGUUAUGUAUAUGAUGAAAAAAAAUAUCAAAUAAAAUAUUAGUAAUACACAAAGCUAAUACAUGCAUUUCUAGUUUUCUAACAAACGAAAAUGUGUCAAAUUAUUUGUGAAAAAAGAGUUACUCAUAUUACUCUUUUAAUUUUUGAUUAAAAGUUAUUUCCUUCAUUUUGAUUUAUUUGUUGGACUUUGACUUGACAUGAGGUUUUAAAAAGUAAAGAAGAAAUUUCAAUUUUAUAAUUUUAAAAUAAAUAUGCAGAGGAUGUAGCAAAAGAAACUUUACUUUUGUGUGUGAACAUGUUAAGUAAAAAGUUGAAAUUAAAAAGUAAUUUUAAAAAAAUAUUUUUUAAGAAAAUGGAUUAAAAAAACAGAUUAAAAAAAGGGAGUAAUAUGCAAAGUUCCUCAAUAAAUGACUUUUUCCACUUUAUUAAUAUUAAGUAUUUAAUAGUCAUGAUAAAUGAAAUUAAAAGUAUUUAAAGUUCGAUUUCAUAUGACCAAAAUAUACUAAAACAGAAAUAUAUGAAGAACAAUUUUGAGUUUUGAUUGCUUGAUUUAUAUGACGCACGUCAAAAACAGAGUACCUCCUUAUAAGACAGAUAUAAAAUAAUUCUUUUCUCAAAUCUUUUUUUUUUUUGGGUUUCCCAUCAGGUGUUCGGUACCCGCAUUGGAGCCUGACUAAUUCGGAUUCGCGCUGCGUAGAGCCCCAUUUGGGGGUAAGCGCUCCCGAACAGAGUUUUCUCUGUACCUAGAAUCGAAUUCUCGACCUCUGAUUAAGGGUGGAGCAGCCCCAUCCACUGCACCACAACCCAUUUUGAUCUCAAAUCUCUUAUUUGUUAUAAAGGAGAGCCUAUUAAAAAUAUACAAACGAUUAAAAUAUCCACUCAAUCAGAAACAUUGACAAGUUUUAAUCCUAUACAUUUAUUGACCAAAACUGUCUUUUAAUCCAUUUAAAUGUUGAUCAACCAUUUCCUUUAAAAAAAAAACAACGAAAAAAUCAUUUUCUUUUAUUCUAUUCUCAUUUUGUCAUAUUACUUGUUUCAAUCAAAACUUAUAUUUUACCCCUACUUUUACAACUUAUGAAAGUUAUCAAACAUCAUUAAAAAAUGUCUUUAAAAAUAUAUGUUUCAAGAUAAAGCGUGUUUUACAUAAAUUUCUUUGGUUAAGACAAAAUAUUCAAAUCUAAAAUAAUGAGAACAUUAAAGGAGAAAAAAUACAUAUAAUAAAAUAUUUGUAAACUAGAGUUAAAAAAGAAAAAAAAAUGAAACGACAAACAUAAAAAAUAGAAAACAACAUCGAAAAAAUUAACUAGGAUAAAUGUUUUCAUUGAGAAACUCACAUCAUUUGUUGAUUCCACGAUUCCAUAAUUUAUAGAAUAAGUCUCUUUUCAAAAAGAAAAUAAAUGAAUUAAGACAACAAUGAAGAAAGCAAAAAAAGAGAGUGAUAAUUUGCACAAAAGUUAAUAAUCCGCAAAACAUAAAUAGAAAAGAAAACACAAAUAAACAAAAAAUUAAGUUGACUGAAAUAUAAUGAUAGAAAAGAGAAAUAAGAUUACAUUUAAAAUUUUCUUUAAAAAUCAAAGAAUUUCAUUUACUAGUCAACUAAUUCAAAUUACAUUUUUUUCCUUGCAAAAUUUUCAUAAAAUAUUUUCUGUACAAUGUAAAAACAGUCUAUUUACUUUUGUAUCUUUAAUUCAUAAAGCCAUAGCAGAAUUUUAAUCAAUAAAAAGAUCUUGCAUAAAGUUAUACAACUAACCUCAAUAUGAUACAAAUGUAACACGAAUUAGCAAUGGAUGAUUUUUAUCAAAACAAUAAAAUCCCAUUGUUAAGCUUAUUUAACGAUAAAUUAAUGGUAACUAUGCUAGCUAUAUGCUAUUUAAUGGAAAAUAAGUGACGAUUUGUGUAAGUAAUUUUUGAUUUUUGUAGUUAGCAUUUUUAUUUAGUGUAGCGUUCGUUUUGGAUUGAUGCAGACAAGUAAAAGCGAACGAAGAAAGUUAUUCAUGCAAUUAAAGAGCAACAAGGCAAUAAAUAUAUUCUUGACCAAACAUAAAUUUAGUUUGCCAAAAGGCAACAAUUUUUUAAACGUCUCACAUUUAAAAAGUGUGCGUCUACUAAGUAUGACUUUUGUACAAUUGGAUAUUCACCUAAUUAAUUUGUACAAAUCCCCUAAANNNNNNNNNNNNNNNNNNNNNNNNNNNNNNNNNNNNNNNNNNNNNNNNNNNNNNNNNNNNNNNNNNNNNNNNNNNNNNNNNNNNNNNNNNNNNNNNNNNNNNNNNNNNNNNNNNNNNNNNNNNNNNNNNNNNNNNNNNNNNNNNNNNNNNNNNNNNNNNNNNNNNNNNNNNNNNNNNNNNNNNNNNNNNNNNNNNNNNNNNNNNNNNNNNNNNNNNNNNNNNNNNNNNNNNNNNNNNNNNNNNNNNNNNNNNNNNNNNNNNNNNNNNNNNNNNNNNNNNNNNNNNNNNNNNNNNNNNNNNNNNNNNNNNNNNNNNNNNNNNNNNNNNNNNNNNNNNNNNNNNNNNNNNNNNNNNNNNNNNNNNNNNNNNNNNNNNNNNNNNNNNNNNNNNNNNNNNNNNNNNNNNNNNNNNNNNNNNNNNNNNNNNNNNNNNNNNNNNNNNNNNNNNNNNNNNNNNNNNNNNNNNNNNNNNNNNNNNNNNNNNNNNNNNNNNNNNNNNNNNNNNNNNNNNNNNNNNNNNNNNNNNNNNNNNNNNNNNNNNNNNNNNNNNNNNNNNNNNNNNNNNNNNNNNNNNNNNNNNNNNNNNNNNNNNNNNNNNNNNNNNNNNNNNNNNNNNNNNNNNNNNNNNNNNNNNNNNNNNNNNNUAUAGCAUAAUCAUACUACUCCGAUUACUAUAAUCCAAGCAUCCACAACUACUUUCAUGAUUACACGCAAGUUAUAAGUCACACGUAAACAACUUUUAACAAUUAUUUUAAUGAGUUCAAAUUUACCAUAAAUUUAAAUAAAAAACACUUACCAACAUUUUUGGGAUUUACAACAUUUGCUUCAAUGGAAAAUACCUCAGCAGUCUUAUGCAACCCCUUUGUAACCAAGUAAUUAUAGAUGUACUUGUCCAUCCUGAAAAUUUUCAAUAGAGAGUCAUAAAUUAUUUUAUGUUAAUGGUGUGUUUGGUAUGAAAAUAUUUUUUCAAAAAUAAGUUGAUUUCUUAUUUGCAAUCUUGCUAUUUAUAAGUAACAAAAAAAAUACUUAUAUAUAAUUUAGCAAAGAAAUAUAUGUAGAGGCAGGAGGGGGUCAGGAUGUAGGGCCUCGACGGUGGUGGGAGUGGAAUGGUCCAAAGGUAGGAAUUGGAGGUGUUGGGUGGAUCGAAGAAUACUAUAAGCAUAUAUAAUGUUUUAUAAGUUGGCUUCUUGAAGUUUGGUAAGUAAACAAAAAAGAUUAUUAUCGCAAAAGUAAUUUAUACGUAAUUGAGCAAAAAAUAGUAUUGGGUGGGAGGAUACAAUAAGGAUACAGUAAUGUGACUUAUAGAAUUUAUUUUUCCUAUUUCCAUUAAGAAGUUAUUGUCUUCGUUUUAUAAUGAAGAAAAUAUUUUUCAAAAAUUUUGUUCAAUCAAACAUAAGAAAAUACAGAAACAUUUUCUGAAAAACAUUUACCUUUCUGCCAAACACAUCUUAAAAGGUGAAUAGUUUGAAUUUUCCACCCUACUAUUUUUAAUUGGCCAAUUGUAUCCUUGGCUAAACUUUUGUGUCUAUUCAUGGCCUUUGAAUUAACAAAUUGUGUUGUAUUUACUCCUAUCAUUAAUUAAGCUCUUGUGAGAAUAAGGUUUUUUGGUAGGGUGUGUAAUAAUAUUAUAAAAUAUAGUAUAUUAGUAAUCCUUGCGUUAGUUAUAUUUAUAUUUUUCUUAUAUAGUAUUUGAUUUAAUCUAUUAAAAAUAAUAUGCAUUACAUAAUUAUUUUUUGAAAAAACAUUUGUUUAUAAUGCGUCUUUAGUCAUUCUAGACAUGAAUUAUCUUAAAUAUGAUGGAAAGAUUGUGGAAAGAAUUUUGAGGGACAAUUAUGUCCUUAAUCAUUCUAAUGCAGUACUACAGUCCGGUGGGGAAACUUUAGGGUAUCCUUGGAAUAAUGCGCCAGGUAUCGUACGCAUUAGAAUCUAUUGUGUUACUAAUAUCAUGGAUUUUCACGUAUUAGUAAUGCACACUUUAAUAUUAAUGUAAGUGUAUAAGUAAUACUUAAAUUAGUUAUGUAUAUGAUGAAAAAAAAUAUCAAAUAAAAUAUUAGUAAUACACAAAGCUAAUACAUGCAUUUCUAGUUUUCUAACAAACGAAAAUGUGUCAAAUUAUUUGUGAAAAAAGAGUUACUCAUAUUACUCUUUUAAUUUUUGAUUAAAAGUUAUUUCCUUCAUUUUGAUUUAUUUGUUGGACUUUGACUUGACAUGAGGUUUUAAAAAGUAAAGAAGAAAUUUCAAUUUUAUAAUUUUAAAAUAAAUAUGCAGAGGAUGUAGCAAAAGAAACUUUACUUUUGUGUGUGAACAUGUUAAGUAAAAAGUUGAAAUUAAAAAGUAAUUUUAAAAAAAUAUUUUUUAAGAAAAUGGAUUAAAAAAACAGAUUAAAAAAAGGGAGUAAUAUGCAAAGUUCCUCAAUAAAUGACUUUUUCCACUUUAUUAAUAUUAAGUAUUUAAUAGUCAUGAUAAAUGAAAUUAAAAGUAUUUAAAGUUCGAUUUCAUAUGACCAAAAUAUACUAAAACAGAAAUAUAUGAAGAACAAUUUUGAGUUUUGAUUGCUUGAUUUAUAUGACGCACGUCAAAAACAGAGUACCUCCUUAUAAGACAGAUAUAAAAUAAUUCUUUUCUCAAAUCUUUUUUUUUUUUGGGUUUCCCAUCAGGUGUUCGGUACCCGCAUUGGAGCCUGACUAAUUCGGAUUCGCGCUGCGUAGAGCCCCAUUUGGGGGUAAGCGCUCCCGAACAGAGUUUUCUCUGUACCUAGAAUCGAAUUCUCGACCUCUGAUUAAGGGUGGAGCAGCCCCAUCCACUGCACCACAACCCAUUUUGAUCUCAAAUCUCUUAUUUGUUAUAAAGGAGAGCCUAUUAAAAAUAUACAAACGAUUAAAAUAUCCACUCAAUCAGAAACAUUGACAAGUUUUAAUCCUAUACAUUUAUUGACCAAAACUGUCUUUUAAUCCAUUUAAAUGUUGAUCAACCAUUUCCUUUAAAAAAAAACAACGAAAAAAUCAUUUUCUUUUAUUCUAUUCUCAUUUUGUCAUAUUACUUGUUUCAAUCAAAACUUAUAUUUUACCCCUACUUUUACAACUUAUGAAAGUUAUCAAACAUCAUUAAAAAAUGUCUUUAAAAAUAUAUGUUUCAAGAUAAAGCGUGUUUUACAUAAAUUUCUUUGGUUAAGACAAAAUAUUCAAAUCUAAAAUAAUGAGAACAUUAAAGGAGAAAAAAUACAUAUAAUAAAAUAUUUGUAAACUAGAGUUAAAAAAGAAAAAAAAAUGAAACGACAAACAUAAAAAAUAGAAAACAACAUCGAAAAAAUUAACUAGGAUAAAUGUUUUCAUUGAGAAACUCACAUCAUUUGUUGAUUCCACGAUUCCAUAAUUUAUAGAAUAAGUCUCUUUUCAAAAAGAAAAUAAAUGAAUUAAGACAACAAUGAAGAAAGCAAAAAAAGAGAGUGAUAAUUUGCACAAAAGUUAAUAAUCCGCAAAACAUAAAUAGAAAAGAAAACACAAAUAAACAAAAAAUUAAGUUGACUGAAAUAUAAUGAUAGAAAAGAGAAAUAAGAUUACAUUUAAAAUUUUCUUUAAAAAUCAAAGAAUUUCAUUUACUAGUCAACUAAUUCAAAUUACAUUUUUUUCCUUGCAAAAUUUUCAUAAAAUAUUUUCUGUACAAUGUAAAAACAGUCUAUUUACUUUUGUAUCUUUAAUUCAUAAAGCCAUAGCAGAAUUUUAAUCAAUAAAAAGAUCUUGCAUAAAGUUAUACAACUAACCUCAAUAUGAUACAAAUGUAACACGAAUUAGCAAUGGAUGAUUUUUAUCAAAACAAUAAAAUCCCAUUGUUAAGCUUAUUUAACGAUAAAUUAAUGGUAACUAUGCUAGCUAUAUGCUAUUUAAUGGAAAAUAAGUGACGAUUUGUGUAAGUAAUUUUUGAUUUUUGUAGUUAGCAUUUUUAUUUAGUGUAGCGUUCGUUUUGGAUUGAUGCAGACAAGUAAAAGCGAACGAAGAAAGUUAUUCAUGCAAUUAAAGAGCAACAAGGCAAUAAAUAUAUUCUUGACCUAACAUAAAUUUAGUUUGCCAAAAGACAACAAUUUUUUAAACACCUCACUUUUAAAAAAUGUGUAUCUACUAAGUAUGACUUUUGUACACUUGGAUAAUCACCUAAUUAAUUUGUACAAAUCCCCUAAAAGUAACUGUUAAUACUUAAUCACCUAUUCUUAACACUUGUUUAAAUUUACAUUUUAACUUAUUCUAUCUACCUUAUUUUUAAAAUUAUAAUUUUAAAUAUUGAAAGAGUAAGACAAAAAGGUCAAUCAAAAAUAGGGAGUGAAGGAAAUAAGAAAAAAGUAAUUGUAAAAUGGUGAAACUUUAAACAUUCAUGACUUUGCGCUCGAAUAUCUGUUUGAGGUAAUUUUUUUUUUGAAUUUGAGUAUUUUUUUGAGAUCUAUGCGGAAGAACAGCCAUAAGGAGGAUUAGUCGAGUCAAUUUUUUAAAAAACUGCUUCUAUCCCACUUAAUUGACACUUUUCCCCUAUUCGACAUGCAAUUUUAAUUCUUCUUUAGCCAAAAAAGUGAUGAAAAACAAAUGAUUCAAAGAUCAAAAUAGCAUGGUGUUCCAUUUGGGCGUGAAAGGGAGAUUGGGGAACAUCCCAGUGUUGUCCAUUUGUGUGGGCGAGGCCAUUUGUUGGUCAAAUGGCCGAAACGGUGCGAACAAAGCAUUUUGGGGCCAGAUUGGUGUGCUAUAGACCAUAUUUUUGGGGGUGGGGACCGGGUUCUGGGGGGGCCGUAGGCCAAAAAUUUACCCGAGCGUGUUAGGGAGGCUAGGGAGCAUCCCAAUAUUGCCCGUUUGUGUGGGUAGGGCCAUUUGGUUGGUCAAAUGGGCAAAACGACACAAACAUUUUAGGGACAAAUCAGUGUUUUAUGUCCCACCGUUUCGGGGGUGCACUAGGAGUCUGGGGGUGUCGUAGGCCAAAAAUCGACUAGGGUAUGCCAGGGAGGCUAGAGAGUAUACCAGUAUUACCUGUUUGUGUGGGCGGGGCCAUUUGGUUGGUUAAACGGGUGAACCGUGCGAACGGGACAUUUUGAGGCCAAAUUGGUGUGCUAUAGCCCAUGGUUCCGGGGGUGGACCCAAGGUCCGAAUGUGCCGUGGGCCGAAAAAUGACCCGGGCAUAUCGGGGAGGCUGGGGAGCAUCCCAGUGUUGCUCGUUUAUGUGGGCAGGGCCAUUUGGCUUGUCAAAUGGGAGAAAUGGAGCGAAUGAGGCAUUUCGGGGCUAAAUCAGUGUGCUAUAGCCCACGGUUCUGGGGGUGUGCCUGGGGUACUAGGGUAAUGUGGGUUAAAAAUCGAUCAAAGCAUGCUAGAAAGGCUGUGGAGCAUUGGGGUAUUGCUCGUUUUUAUGGGCGAGGCCAUUUGGUUGGUCAAACGGGUGAAAUGGCGCGAAUUGAGCAUUUUGGGGCCAUAUCGAUGUGUUAUAGCCCACAGUUCUGGAGUGUUGGGGCUGAAAAUUGCCCAGGCAUGGCAAAGAGGCUGAGGAGCAUCCCAGUGUUGCCUGAUUAUAUAGGUAGGUCUAUUUGGCUGGUCAAAAGGGCAAAAUGGUACGAACGAAGCAUUUUAUGGAAAAAUCGGUGUGCUAUAGUCUACAGUUUCUAGGGUAGGCCCAGGGUCCAGGGGUGUCUGGGCCAAUAAUUGACCCGGGCAUGCAAAGGAGGCUGGGGAGCAUCCUAGUAUUGCCCAUUUAUGUGGGCGGGGCUAUUUGGUUUGUCAAACGAGCGAAAUAGUGCAAAUGAGACAUUUUAGGUCCAAAUUAGUAUGGAUUAGCCAACGGUUUUGAGGGUGGACCCGAGGUCCGAUGGUGCCGUGGGCCAAAAAUCGAUUGGGGCAUGCUAAGGAGGCUGAGGAGCAUCCUAGUAUUGCUUGUUUGUGUGGCAAGACCCACUUGAUUAGUCAAACAUGCGAAAGGGCACGAACAAUGCAUUUUGGGGCUAAAUUGGUGUGCUAUAGCCCACGGUUUUGAAGGUUUCGUGGGCCAAAACUUUCCUCGGGCGUGCUAAGGAUACUGGCAAGCAUCCCAGAUUUUCUCAUUUGUGUAGUCGAGGCCAUUUAGUUGGUCAAACGGGUGAAAUAGCAAGAACAGGGCAUUUUGGGGCCAAAUUGGUGUGGUAUAGCCCACAUUUUUGGGAGUAGGGUCCGGGUUCCGAGGGUUCCAUGGGCCAAAAAUUGAAUUGGGCAUGCUAAGGUGGCUGAGGAGUAUUUCUAUAUUGUACAUUUGGCAGUGGGGCCAUUUUGUUGGUCAAACGGGCGAAACGACGCGAACAGGGCAUUUUGGGGUCAAAUCGGUGUGCUAUAGCCCACGAUUCCAAGGGUCGGCUUGAGGUUCAGGGGUUCUUUUGGCCAAAAAUUGACUCGGGCGUGUUGGGAAGGCUGGAGAGUAUCCCAGUAUUGCCCGUUUAUGCUGGCAGGGCAAUUUGGUAGGUCAAACAGGCGAAUCCAUACAAAUGGAGCAUUUUAGGGCCAAAUCGAUGCGCUAAGCCCAUGGUUUUGGGAGUGGGCCCGAGGUCCAUGGGUGUUGUCGGCCAAAAAUGACUCAAGUAUGGUAGAGAGGAUGGGGAGCCUCCCAGUGUUGCCCGUUUGUAUGGGCGAGGCCAUUUGGUUGGUUAAACGAGUGAAACAGCACGAACGAUGUGUUAUGGGGCCAAAUUGGUAUGCUAUAGCCCCAAUUCUAGGGGUGGGCUCGGGGUCUGGCGGUGCCGUGGGCUAAAAAUUGAUCAGGGCAUAUUUAGGAGGCGGUAUAGCAUUCCAAUAUUGCCCCUUUGUAUGGGAGGGGCCAUUUGGUUUGUAAAAGGGGCAAAACGGUGCGAACAGGGCAUUUUGAGGCCAAAUCGAUGUGCUAUAGCCCACGGUUCUAGGGGUGGACUCAAGGUUCGGGGAGUCGUGGGACAAAAAUUAACUCAAGAAUGCUAGGGAGACUAGGGAGCAUACCAGUAUUUCCCGUUUGUGUUGGAGGGGCUAUUUGUUGGUCAAACGGGUAAAACAGCGUGAACGGGGGCAUUUUGGGGCCAAAUUGGUGUGCUAUAGCCCCUAGUUCUAGGGGUGGGAUCGGGGUUUGAGGUGCUGUGGGCUAAAAAUUAACUCGGGCAUUCCAGGGAGGCUGGAUAUUAUCCCAGUGUUUCCCUUUUUUAUGGGCGGGGACAUUUGGUUGGUCAAACGGGCGAACGGUACGAAUGAGGCAUUUUGGGGACAAAUAGGUGUGCUAUAGCCCACGGUUUUGGAGGUAUGCCUGAGGAUCAGGGGUAUCGUGGGUCAAAAAUCAAUCAAAGCAUGCCAGGAAGGUUGGGGAGUAUCCCAGUGUUACUCGUUUGUAUGGGCGGGGUUAUUUGGUUUGUCAAAUGGAAGAAAUGGCGUGAAUGGGGCAUUUUAGGGCCAAAUUAGUGUGUUGCCCAUGGUUUAGGGAGUGGGCCAGGGUUCAGGGGUAUCGUGUGCCGAAUAUUGACUCGGGUAUGCCAGGAAGGCUAAAGAACAUCCCAGUAUUGCUCGUUUUUGUGGGUAGGGCCAUUUGGUUAGUCAAACGAGGGAAACAGCGCGGAUGGGGCAUUUUGGGGCCAAAUCGAUGUGCUAUAGCCCUUAGUUUCGGGGGUAGGCUUGGGGUUCGGGGGUGCCGUAGGCUGAAAAUUAACUCGAACGUGCUAGGGAGUCCAGGGAGCAUCCUAGUGUUUCCCGUUUGUGUAGGCAAGGCCAUUUGGGCGAAACGGUGUGAAUGUGGCAUUUUGGAGCCAAAUCGGUGUGCUAUAACCCAUAGUUCCGGGGGGGUGUCCGAGGUCCGGGGGUGCCGUGCGUCAAUAUUAACCAAGGAAUGAAAAGAAGGCUAGGGAGCAUCCCAGUGUUUCUCGUUUGUGUGGACAGGUCCAUUUGGGUGGUCAAAUGGGCGAAAUAGAGCGAACGAGGCAUUUUAGGUCCAAAUCGGCGAGCUAUAGACCACAGUUCUAGGGGUGCCAUGGGCUGAAAAUUUCCCUAGGCAUGCUAGGGAGGCUAGGGAGUGUCCUAGUGUUGCUCGUUUGAGUGGGCGGGGUUAUUUGGUUGGUCACGAACAAAAAAACACAAACAGCAUAUUUUUGGGCCGAAUUGAUGUGCAUUAGCCUAGUUCUGGGGUGGGCCCGAGUUUCGGGAGUGCCGUGGGCCAAAAAUUGACCCAGGUGUGCCAGGGAGGCUAGGAAGGGUUCGAGUGUUGCCUGUUUGUGUGGACGGGGCCAUUUAUUUAUUCAGAUAUGAAAACCGAUGGAACAGGGCAUUUUGGGGCAAAAUUGGUGUGCUAUACCACGAUUUUGGGGGUGGGCCCGGGUUUUGGGGGUGUCGUGGGACAAAAAUUGAACUGAGCUUUCCAGAGAGGCUGAUGAGCUUCCCACUAUUGUCCGUUUGUGCGGGUGGUGCUAUUUGGUUGGUCAAAUGGGCAAAAUAUCGUGAACGACGCAUUUUGAGGACAAAUCGGCCCGGGGUCCAAGGGUGGCCAGACAAAAAAUUAACCCGGGCAUUCCAGAGAAGCUGGGUAAUAUUUUAGUGUUGCCCGUUUGUGUGGGCGGAGCUAUUUGGUUGGUCAAACAUGCAAAACAACGUGAACGAGGCAUUUAGGGGCCUAAUCAGUGUGCUAUAGCCCACGGUUCCUAGGGUGGGCUCAAGAUUCAGGGGUGCUAUAGGUUGAAUAUCAAUCUGGGCAUGCUAGGGAGGCUGGGGAGCAUCCCAAUAUUUCUCGUUUGUGUUGGCGAGGCCAUUUCUUUUGUCAAACGGACAAAACAGCACAAACGGUGUAUUUUGAGGCCAAAAUGGUGUGCUAUAGCCCACGGUUCUAGGGGUGAGCCUGGGGUCCGGGUGUUCCGUGGGUCAAAAAUCAACCCAGACAUGCCAACGAUUCUAGGGAGCAUCCCAGUGUUUCCCGUUUGUGUGGGAGAGGCCAUUUGGCUUAUCAAAUGGGAGAAACAACACAAAUGGGGCCUUUUUGGGCUAAAUCAUUGUGCUAUUGAACACAGUUCUAGGGAAAGCCCUGCAUCUGGGGGUUUCGUUGGUCAAAAAUUAACCUGGGCAUACCAGGGAGGCUGGGGAGCAUCCCAGUGUUUAUCGUAAGUAUGGGCGGGGCCACUUGGUUUGUCAAUCUGGCGAAACGGUGCGAAUAGGGCAUUUUAGGGCAAAUCGGCGAGCUAUAGACCACAGUUCUUGGGUGCCAUAGGCUGAAAGUUUCCCUAGGCAUGCUAGGGAGGAUAGGGACUGUACCAGUAUUUCCCGUUUGAGUGGGCGGGGUCAUUUGGUUGGUCACAGACAAAUCGGCGCAAACGGGGCAUUUUGGGGCCGAAUUGAUAUGCAUUAGCCCAGUUCCGGGGUAGGCCUGAGUUUUGGGAGUGCCGUGGGCAGAAAAUUGACCCAGGUGUGCCAGGAAGGCUAGGAAGGGCUUGAGUGUUGCCCUUUUGUGUGUACAGGGCCAUUUAUUUAUUCAGAUAGGAAAAACAGUAAAACAGGGCAUUUUGGGGCAAAAUCGAUGUGCUAUACCACAGUUCUGGGGGUGGGCUCGCGUUUUGGGGGUGUCGUGGUACAAAAAUAGAACCGAGCCGAGGCCAUUUGUUUGCUCAAACGGACAAAACAGCACAAGCGGUGUAUUUUGAGGCCAAAUUGGUGUGCUAUAGCCCACGGCUCUAGGGGUGAGCCUGGGGUUCGGGUGUGCCACGGGAAAAAAUUAACUCGGGCAUGCCAAGGAUGUUGGGGAGCAUCCCAGUAUUUCCCUUUUGUGUCGGCGGGGCCAUUUGGCUUGUCAAACGGGACAAACAACACAAAUGGGGCCUUUUGGGGCCAAAUUAUUGUACUAUUGCACACAGUUCCGAGGUAAGCCCUGGAUCCGGGGGUUUUGUAGGUCAAAAAUUAACCCGAGCAUGAUAGGGAGGCUGGGGAGAAUCCCAGUGUUACUCGUAAGUAUGGGCGGGGCCAUUUGGUUUGUCAAUCUGCUGAAACUAUGUGGACAGGGCAUUUUUGGGCCAAAUCACUGAGCUAAAGUACACAGUUCUGGGGUGGUAUAGGGAUUUGGGGCUACCGCGGGCCAAAAAUCGACUUGGGUAUGCCAGGAAGGUUGGGGACCAUCCAGUAUUUCCCGUGCAUGUGGGAGGGGCCAUUUGGUUGGUCAAAUGGGCAAAACGGCGAGAACGGGGCAUUUUGGGACCAUAUCGGUUAACUAUAGCCCACAGUUCUAGUAGUGGGCUCGGGGUUUAGGGGUGUCGUGGGCCAAAAAUUAACCCGGGCGUGCUAAGAAGGCUGGGGAGCAUUCAGUGUUUCCCGUUUGUGUGGCCUGUGACAUUUGGUUGGUCAAAUAGGCAAAAGGGAGUUAACAGGGCAUUUUUGGACUAUAUUAGUGUGCUAUAUCUCACUAUUCCGAGGGUGGGCUCGGGGUUCGGGGGUGUCGUGGGUUGAAAAUCAACCCAGGCAUGGCACGGAGGCUGGGAAUCAUCCCAGUAUUUCCUAUUUGUAUGGGUGAGGCCAUUUGGUUGAUCAAACGGGCGAAAUGGCCCAAAUAGUGCAUUUUGGGGAUAAAUCGGUGUGCUGUAGCUUACAGUUUCGGGGGUGGGCCCCGGGUGUCGGGUGUCAUGGGCCAAAAAUUUACUCGAGCAUGCUAGGGAGGCUGGGAAGCAUCCAGUAUUGCUCGUUUGUGUGGGUGGGGCUAUUUGGUUGGUCAAAUAGGCAAAAUAGCGCGAACGAGGUAUUUUGGGGCUAAAUCGAUGUGUUAUAGCCCAUGUUUUAGAGGGUCCCAUAGCCCAAAAAUUGACUCAGGCAUGUUGGGGAGGCUGGGGAGCAUCCCAGUGUUGCUCGUUUGUGUGGGAGGGUCCAUUUGGUAGGUUAAACAAGCAAAACCACAUGAAUAGGGAAUUUUAAGGCCAAAUCGAUGUGCAAUAGCCCACGGUUCUCGGAGUGGGCCUACGAUCUGGGGGUGCUGUGGGCCAAAAAUCAACUCGGGCGUGCAAGGGAGGCUUGGGAGCAUCCCAGUAUUGUCUGUUUGUAUGGGCAGGGCCAUUUGGUUGGUCAAAUAAGCAAAAUAGUGCGAACAGGGCAUUUUGGGGCCAAAUCGGUGUUCUUUAGCCCACGGUUUUGGGGGUGGUCCCGGCGUCCGCACGUGCUGUGGGGACAAAAAUCGAUCAAGGCAUGCCUGGGAGGUUGGAGAUGGUCAUAUUGUUGUCCUUUUAUCUUUUCGUGGCAAUUUAGGCAUACAAAUCGACGAAACGGAGCGAACGGGGCAUUUUCAGGCCAAAUCAAUGUGCUAUAGCCCACAACUUUGGGGUGGGCUCGGGUUUCGGGCGUGAUGUAUGCCAAAAAUUGACCGGUCCAUGCUAUGGAGGUUGGGUAUCAUCCCAGUGAAGUCCGUUCAAUUUUUCAUGGCCAUUUGGGAGGACAAACGGGUGAAACGGCGCGAACGGGGCAUUGUUUUGGCCAAAUUGGUUUGCUAUAGCCCACGGUUUUGGGUUGGGCCCGGUGUCCAGGCGUGCUAUGGGCCGAAAAUUGACUGAGGCAUGCCAGGGAGGUUGGGGAUCAUCCCAGUGUGGUUCGUUUAAUUUUUCAUGGCCAUUUGGGUGGACAAACAGGAAAAACGGCACGAAAAAGCAUUUUUGGACCAAAUUGAUGUGCUAUAGCCUACGGUUUUGGGGGUGGCCCUAGGGUUCGGGCGUGUUGUUGGCCAAAAAUCAACUGGGGAAUGCUAGGGAGGUUGGGGAUCAUCCCAGUGUGGUCCGUUUAAUGUUUCGUGGCCAUUUGGGCGGUCAUACGGGCGAAAUAGUGUGAUCGGGGCAUUUUCUGGCCAAAUUAGUGAGCUAUAGCCCACGUUUUAAGGGGUGGACCCGGGGUACGAGCGUGAUGUCAGACAAAAAUUGAUUGGGGUGUGCCUGGGAGGUUGAGGAUCAUCCCAGUAUGGUCUAUUUAACGGCGCGAACAGGGUAAUUUGGGGCCAAAUCAGUGUGCUAUUACCCACAAUUUUAGGUGUGUGCCCAAGGUCCGAUGGUGCCAUGGCCAAAAAUCAACUAUGGCAUGCCGAGGAAGCUGGCGAGCAUCCCAGUGUUUCCCCGUUUUUAUAGGCAGGGCCAUUUGGUAGGUCAAAUAGGCAAAACCACAUGAAUGGGCCAUUUUGGGGCUAAAUCGUUGCGCAAUAGCCAACAGUUCUGGGAGUAGGCCCAGGUUACAGGGGCGUCGUAGGCCAAAAAUCAACUCACGCAUUCCAGGGAGGCUGGGGACCAUCCUAGUGUUUCCUGUUUGUCUGGGCAGGGCCAUUUGGCGGGUCUAACAGGCGAAACGGCAUGAACGGGGCAUUUGGGGGCCUAACUGGUUUUUUAUAGCCCACGGUUCUGGGGAUGACCCUAUGGUUCGGGGGUGAUUUGGGCCAAAAAUUUACCCAGGCAUGCCGGAGAGGCUGAGCAGCAUCUCAAUAUUGCCUGUUUAUAUGGGCGAGGCCAUUUAUUUGGUCAAACGGGUGAAACGGGGUAUUUUGAGGCCAAAAUUGGUGUACUAUAGCUCAUGUUUUUGGGGGUGAGCCUGGGUUCUGGGUGAUCUGUGGGCCUAAAAUCAACCUGAGCAUGCUAGGGAUACUGGGGAACAUCCUAGUGUUGCCCGUUUGUGUGGGCGGGGCUAUUUGGCUUGUCAAACGAGUAAGACGACGCGAACGGGGCCUUUUUGGGCCAAAUCGGUGUGAUAUUGCCCACUGUUUUAUGGUUGGUCCUAUGUUCUGGGGAUGCCAGGAAGGUUGGAGAGAAUCCCAGUAUUGACCGUUUAUGCAGAAGAGGCCAUUUGGUUGAUCAAAUAGACAAGAUAGCACGAACGAGGCAUUUUGGGGCAAAAUCGGUGUGCUAUAUCCCAUGGUUCCGGGGGGCCGUGGGCCAAAAAUUACCCCGGGUAUGGCAGGGAAGCUGGGGAGCAUCCAAGUGUUUCUCGUUUAUAUGGGCGGGGUCAUUUCGUUCAUCAAAUAGACAAAAUGACAUGAAUGAGGCAUUUUGGGAAAAAAUUGGAGUGCUAUAGCCCACGGUUCCGAAGAUGGGCCCGCGAUCCAGGGGUGCCUAGGCCAAUAAUCAACUCGAGCGUGCAAAGAAUGCUUGAGAUCAUGCUAGUAUUUACUUUUUGGGUAGGCGGGGAAAUUUAGUUGGUCAAAAAGGCGAAAUAGUGUGUACUGGGCGUUUUGGGGACAAAUUGGUGUGCUAUAGCCCACGGUUUCAAGGGUGGACCCGAGGUCCGAUAGUCCCGUAGGCAAAAAAUCGAUUGGGGCAUGCCAGGGAGGCUAGGGAGCAUCCCAGUAUUUCUCGUUUGUGCGGGAGAGGCCAUUUCAUUGGUCAAAUGGGAGAAACGACAUAAAUAGGGCAUUUUGAGGCCAAAUCGAUCUUCUAUAGCCCACGGUUCUGGGAGUGCUCUCGGGCUUCGAGGAGCCAUGGGCCAAAAAUUUACUCGGGCAUAUCAGGGAGACUAGGAGCAUCCCAUUAUUUCUCGUUUGUGUGGGCGGGGCCAUUUGGUUGGUCAAACGGGCGAAACAGCACAAAUGAGUCAUUUAGGGGCCAAAUCAGUGUGUUAUAGCCCACGGUUUCAGAGGUGUCGUGGGAUAAAAAUUUCCUCAGGCAUGCCAGGGAUGAUUUCGAGCAUCCAAGUGUUGCCUUUUUGUGUUGGCGGGGCCAUUUGUUUGGUCAAAUGAGCAAAAUGGCGCGAAUGGGGCAUUUUGGGGCCAAAUCAGUAUGCUAUAGCCCAUGUUUUUGGGGGUGGGGUCCGGGUUCCGGUGGUGCCAUGGGCUUAAAAUUAACCUUGGCAUUCCAAGGUGGAUAAGGAGUGUCCUAAUAUUGACAGUUUGUAUGGGCGGGUCUACUUGGUUGGUCAAACUAGCGAAACGACGUAAAUGGGGCAUUUUAGGGCAAAAUCGAUGUGCUAUAGCCCACGGUUCCUAUGGUAGGCUCAGGGAUCGGGGGUGCCAUAGGUCGAAAAUAAACUAGAGCAUACCAGGGAGGAUGGGGAGUGUACUUGUAUUACCCAUUUGUGUGGGAAGGGCCAUUUGGUAGGUCAAACGGGACAAAGUCUACGAAUGGGCCAUUUUGUGGCCAAAUCAGUGUGCUAUAGUCUGCGGUUACGGGAGUGUCCCUAGGUAUCGGUUGUUCCAUGGGAAAAAAAUCGAUUCGGGCAUGCCAGGAAGGCUGGGAAUAUUCUAGUGUUUCCCGUUUGUAAGGGUGGGGCCAUUUGGUUAGUUAAACGGGCGAAACGGCAUGAACGGGGCAUUUUGGGGCCAAAUUGGUGUGCAACAGCCCAUGGUUCUAGGGGAGGGCCAAGGGCGGGGGUGCCAUAGGUCGAAAAUAAACUAGAGCAUACCAGGGAGGCUGGGGAGUGUACUUGUAUUACCCAUUUGUUUGGGAAGGGCCAUUUGGUAGGUCAAACGGGACAAAGUCUACGAAUGGGCCAUUUUGUGGCCAAAUCAGUGUGCUAUAGUCUGCGGUUACGGGAGUGUCCCUAGGUAUCGGUUGUUCCGUGGGAAAAAAAUCGAUUCGGGCAUGCCAGGAAGGCUGGGAAUAUUCUAGUGUUUCCCGUUUGUAUGCGUGGGGCCAUUUGGUUAGUUAAACGGGCGAAACGGCGCAAAUGGGGCAUUUUGGGGCCAAAUUGGCGUGAUAUAGCCCACGAUUUCAGGGGUGUCAUGGGCCAAAAAUUGCCUCAGGCAUGCCAGGAAUGCUAGCGAGCAUCCCAGUAUUAUAUGUUUAUGUGGGCAGGGCCAUUUGGUUGGUCCAACAGGAAAAAUAGCGUUAACGGGGCAUUUUGGGGAAAAAUUGGUGUGCUAUACCAAGGUUCUAGGGGUGGGCCCUGGAUUCGGGGGUGUCGUGGGACAAAAAUAGAACUGGGCUUUCCAGAGAGUCUGGUGAACCUCCCACUAUUUCCCGUUUGUGUGGUUGGGGCCAUUUGGUUAGUCAAAUGGGCAAAAUCCCUUGAACGGGGCAUUUUGAGGCCAAAUCGAUGUGCUAUGGCCUAUGGUUCCGAGGGUCGGCCCGGGGUCCAAGGGUACCAAGGAAAAAAAUUGACCCGAGCAUUUCAUAGAGGCUGGGUAACAUUUUAGUAUUGCCCGUUUGAGUGGGCGGAGCCAUUUGGUUGGUUAAACAGGCAAAACGAUGCAAAUGAGGCAUUUGGGGGCCUAAUCGGUGUGCUAUAGCCCACGGUUUCAGGGGUGGGCUCAGGAUUCGGGUGUGCUGUAGGCUAAAUAUUAACCCGGGCGUGUCAGGGUGGCUGGGGAGUGUCCCAGUAUUUCCCGUUUGUGUUGGCGAGGAUAUUUAGUUAGUCAAAUGGGCAAAACAGCAUAAACGAUGUAUUUUGAGGCCAAAUUGGUGUGCUAUAGCCCACGGUUCUAGGGGUGAGCCUGGGGUCCGGGUAUAUCGUGGGCCAAAAAUCAACCCGAGCAUGCCAAGGAUAUUGGGGAGUGUCCCAGUGUUUACCUUUUAUGUGGGCGGGGCUAUUUGGUUUGUUAAAUGGGAGAAACAACAUAAACGGGGCCUUUUUUGGCCAAAUCAUUAUGUUGUUGCACAAGAUUCUGGGGAGGACCUUGAAUCCGAGGGUGCCAUGGGUAAAAAAUUGAGUCGGGCGUGCCAGGGAGGCUAGGGAGCAUCCUAGUGUUGCUGGAUAGUAUGAGCAGGGCUACUUGGUUUGCCAAUCUGGUGAAACGGUGCGAACGGGGCAUUUUUGGGCCAAAUCUGUGAGCUAAAGCACACAGUUCUGGGAUGGGAUAAGGAUCCGGGGCUGUCGUGGGCCGAAAAUUAACGCGAACAUGCCAGGGAGGUUAGGGAGUAUCUAGUAUUUCCUGUGCAUGUAGGCGUAGCCAUUUUGUUGAUCAAAUGGGCGAGACGGCGAGAACGGGGUAUUUUGGGACCAUAUCGGUUGACUAUAGCCCACGGUUCUAGUGGUGGGCUUAGGGUUCGGGGGCGUCGUGGGCCAAAAUUGACCCAGGCAUGCCAGGAAAGAUGGGGAGCAUUCUAUGUCUCCCGUUUGUAUGGGUUGGGCCCUUUGCUUAGUCAAACAGGAGAAACAAAGCGAACGGGGCAUUUUUGGGCUAAAUUGGUGUCCUAUAUCUCACGGUUUUGAGGGUGGGCUCAAGGUUUGGGGGUGUCGUGGGUCAAAAAUCGACCCCGGCAUGCCAGGGAGGCUGGGAAUUGUCCUAGUAUUUCCCAUUUGUAUGGGCGGGGCCAUUUGGUUGGUCAAACGGGUAAAAUGGCAUAAAAGGGGCAUUUUGGGGACAAAUCGACGUGCUAUAGCUUACGGUUCCGGGGGUUGGCCCGGGGUUCGGGGGUGUCGUGAGCCAAAAAUUAACUUGGACAUGCCAGGGAGGCUGGGAAGCAUCCUAGUAUUACCCGUUUGUGUGGGCGGGGCCAUUUGGUUGGUCAAAUGGGUGAAAUAGCGCGAACAGGGUAUUUUGGGGCUAAAUCAGUGUCCUAUAGCCCAUGUUUUCGGGGGUAUCGUAGCCCAAAAAUCAACUUGGGCAUGCUAGGGAGCUUAGGGAGCAUCCCAAUUUUACUCGUUUGUGUGGACGGGCAUUUGGUAGGCUAAACGAGCGAAACCACAUGAAUAGGGAAUUUUAGGGCUAAAUCGGUAUGCUAUAGCCCACGGUUCUCGGAGUGGGCCCGAGGUCCGUGGGUACUGUCAGCCGAAAAUUAACUCGGGCGUGUAAGGGAGGCUUAGGAGCGUCCCAGUAUUGCCCGUUUGUAUGGGCUGGGCCAUUUGGUUGGUCAAAUGAGAAAAAUAGUACGAACAGUGCCGUAGGUUAAAAAUUGGUCGGGGUAAUGCCAGGGAGGAUGGAGAGUAUCUCAGUGUUUCCCGUUUGCGUGGGCGGGCCCAUUUGGUUGGUCAAACGGGCAAAACAGCAUGAACAAGGCAUUUUAAGGUAAAUCAGUGUGCUAUUGCCCAUGGUUCCAAGGGUGGACCCGGGGUUUGGGGAGACGUGGGCUAAAAAUUACCUUGAGUAUGCCAGGGAGGCUGGGAGCAUCCCAAUGUUUCCUUUUUGGGUUAGCGGGGCCAUUUGAUUACUCAAACGGGCAAAAGGACAACAAUGGGGAAUUUUUGGGCCAAAUUAGUGUGCUAUAGAGAACGUUUUCGGGUGUGGCAGUCGGGUUUCCGGGGUACCAUGGGCCAAAAAUUGACCUCGGGUGCGCCAGGGUGGCUACGGAGAAUCCCAAUAUUGCCCAUUUGUAUGGACGGGUGCAUUUGUUUUGUCAAAUGCGUGAAAUAACACAAAUGGGCAUUUUGAGGUAAAAUUUGUGUGUUAUACAAUUCUCGAGGUUCGGGGGUUUCGUUGGCGAAAAAUUAACUCAAGCUUGCCAGAGAUGCUAGGGAGCAUACCAGUAUUCCCUGUUUGUAUGGGCAGGGCCAUUCAGUUGUCAAACAGGCGAAAUGGCGCGAACAGGGCAUUUUGGGGCUAAAUCGGUGUGCUGUAGCCCACGAUUUUAGGGGUAGGCCCAAGGUCUGAUGGUGCUGUGGCUAAAAAUCAACUCUGGAAUGACGGGGAGGCUGGGUAGCAUCCCAGUGUUGCCAAUUUGUAUGGGCGGGGCCAUUCGGUAGGUCAAAUAGGCGAAACCACAUGAAUGUGAAAUUUUGGGGCUAAAUCGGUGUGCAAUAGCCCACGGUUCUGGGAGUGGGCCCAGGGUACAGNNNNNNNNNNNNNNNNNNNNNNNNNNNNNNNNNNNNNNNNNNNNNNNNNNNNNNNNNNNNNNNNNNNNNNNNNNNNNNNNNNNNNNNNNNNNNNNNNNNNNNNNNNNNNNNNNNNNNNNNNNNNNNNNNNNNNNNNNNNNNNNNNNNNNNNNNNNNNNNNNNNNNNNNGUGCCAGAGAGGCUAAGCAGCAUCCCAAUAUUGCUUGUUUGUAUGGGCGAGACCAUGUACUUGGUCAAACGGGCGAAACGGGGUAUUUUGAAGCAAAAAUUGGUGUACUAUAGCCCAUGGUUCUGAGGGUGAGCCUGGGGUCCGGCUGAUCUGUGGGCCUAAAAUCAACUCGAGCAUGCGAGGGGUGCUGGGAAGCAUCCCAGUGUUGCCCAUUUGUGUUGGUGGGGCUAUUUGGCUUGUCAAACGGGUAAGACGAUGCGAAUGGGGCCUUUUUAGGCCAAAUCGAUGUAAUAUGGCCCACUUUUUUGGGGUUGGGCCCAUGGUCCGGGGGCGCCAUGAAGUUUGGAGAGUAUCCCAGUAUUUCUUGUCUAUGCGGACGAGGCCAUUUUGUUGGUCAAACGGACAAAAUAGUGCAAAUGGGGCAUUUUGGGGCAAAAUCGGUGUGCUAUAUCCCGUAGUUCCGAAGGGUCGUCAGUUGAAAAUUACCUCGGGUGUGGCAGUGAGGUUGGGGAGUAUCCCAGUGUUUCCCGUUUAUGUGGGCAGGGUUAUUUGGUUUGUCGAAUAGGAAAAACGGCGCGAAGAGGGCAUUUUGGGGAAAACUUGGGGUGCCUAGGCCAAUAAUUGACCCAGGCAUGCAAAGAAGUCUAGAGAUCGUCCCUGUAUUGACCGUUUGUAUGGGCGGGGCCAUCUGGUUGGUCAAACAAGUUAAAUAGUGCGAACUGGGCAUUUUAGGGCAAAAUUGGUGUGCUAUAGUCCACGGUUCCGAGGGUGGACCCGAGGUCCAGUAGUCCCGUAGACGGAAAAUCGAUCGGUGCAGGGGAGCAUCGCAGUGCUGCUUGUUUGUGUGGGAGGGGCCAUUUGGCUGGUCAAACGGGAGAAAUGACAUGAAUAUGCCAUUUUGAGGCCAAAUCGGCCAAAAAUUGACUCAGGCAUGUCGGGGGGGUUAGGAGCAUCCUUGUAUUUCUCGUUUGUGUGGGCGGGGCUAUUUGGUUGGUCAAACGGGCGAAACGGCACAAAUGAGGCAUUUUAUGUCCAAAUCAGUGUGUUAUAGCCCACGGUUUCGAAGUUACCAUGGGCCAAAAAUGGCCUUGGGCUUGCCAGGGAUGCUGCUGAGCGUCCAAGUGUUGCUCGUUUAUGUUGCCGGGGCUAUUUAGUUGGUCAAACAGGCGAAAUGGCACGAAUGGGGCAUUUUGGGGCCAAAUUGGUGUGCUAUAGCCCACGGUUUUUAUGGUGGGGUUCAGAUUCCGGGGGUGCCAUGAGCUGAAAAUUAACCCUGGCAUGCCAGGGUGGACGGGGAGCGUCCCAAUAUUGACGUUUUAUGUGGCCAGGUCCAUUUGGUGGGUCAAACGAGCAAAACAACGUAAAUGGGGCAUUUUUGGGCAAAAUCAGUGUGCUAUUGCCCACGGUUCCCAUGGUGGGCUCGGGGUCCAGGAGUGCCAUAGGUGGAAUAUAAACUCAGGCAUGCCAGGGAGGCUGGGGAGCGUACUAGUAUUAUCCGUUUGUGUAGGCGGGGCCCUUUGGUUGGUCAAAUGGGCGAAAUAGCGUGAAAAGGGUAUUUUGGGGCUAAAUCGGUGUGCUAUAGCCUAUGUUUUCAGGGGUACCGUAGCUCAAAAAUCGACUCGGGCAUGUUGGGGAGGCUGGGGAGCAUCCUAGUGUUUCUCGUUUGUGUGGGAGGGGUAUUUGGUAGGAUAAACGAUCGAAACCGCAUGAAUAGGGAAUUUUGGGGCCGAGCCGCCGCUUCGCGGAGUGGGCCUAGGGUUCGGGGGUACUGUGGGCCAAAAAUUAACUCGGGCAUGCAAAGGAGGCUUGGGAGCGUCCCAGUAUUGCCCGUUUGUAUGGGCGGGGCCAUUUGGUCGGUCAAAUAAGAAAAAUAGUGCGAACAGGGCAUUUUGGGGCCAAAUAGGUGUUCUUUAGCCCACGGUUUCGAGGGUGGAAACGGAGUCCGAUAGUGCCGUGGGUUAAAAAUCAAUCGGGUCAUGCCAGGGAGGCUGGAGAGUAUCUCAGUGUUUCGCAUUUGUGCGGGCGGGGCCAUUUAUUUGGUCAAAUGGGCGAAACGGCACGAACAAGGCAUUUUAAGGCAAAUCAAUGUGCUAUUGCCCAUGGUUCCGAGAGUGGACCCAGGGUUUAGGGAGACGUGGGCUAAAAAUUGAAUCGGGUAUGCCAGGGAGGUUGCGAGCAUCCCAAUGUUUCCCUUUUGGUUUAGCGGGCUCAUAUGGUUAGUCAAACGAGCAAAAGGACGCCAAUGAGGAAUUUUUGGGCCAAAUUAGUGUGCUAUAGAGCACGUUUUAGGUUGUGGGAUUCGGUUUCGGGGGUGCCAUGGGCCAAAAAUUGACCUCGGGUGUGACAGGAUGUCUACGAAGCAUCCCAAUAUUGCCCAUUUGUAUGGACGGGUCCAUUUGGUUUUUCAAAUGCGCGAAACGUCACAAAUGGGCAUUUUGGGGCAAAAUUUGUGUGCUAUAGCCCACGGUUCCCAAGGUGGGCUUGGGGUUCGGGGGUGCUGUAGGCCAAAAAUUAACUCGGGCUUGCCAGAGAGGCUGGGGAGCGUACCAGUAUUCCCCGUUUGUGUGGGCAGGGCCAUUUGGUUGUUAAACGGGCGAAAUGGCGUGAACAGGGCAUUUUGGGGCCAAAUCGGUGUGCUAUAGCCCACGGUCAAAUCGGUGCCGUGGCCAAAAAUCAACUCUAGCAUUCCGGGGAGGCUGGGGCGCACCCAGUAUUUCCUAUUUGUAUGGGCGGUGCCAUUUGGUAGGUCAAAUAGGCGACACCACAUGAAUGUGGCAUUUCGGGGCUAAAUCGGUGAGCAAUAGCCCACGGUUCUGGGAGUGGGCCCAGGGUACAGGGGGUGUUGUGGGCCGAAAAUCAACUUGCACAUGCCAGUGAGGCUGGGGACCAGUAUUGCCUGUUUGUGUGGGCGGGGCCAUAUAGCGGGUCUAAUAGGCGAAACGGCACGAAUGGUGCAUUUGGGGUCUUAAUUGGUUUUUUAUAGCCCACGGUUUCGGGGGUGGGCCUAGGUUUCGGGGGUGCUGUAGGUCAAAAAUUGACCCAGCCAUGCCAGAGAGGCUAAUCAGCAUUCUAAUAUUGCCCGUUUGUUUGGGCGAGGCCAUUUACUUGGUCAAACGGGCGAAACGGGGUAUUUUGAGGCCAAAAUUGGUGUACUAUAGCCCAUGGUUCCAAGGGUGAGCCUGGGGUUCGGGUGAUCUGUGGGCCUGAAAUCAACCCGAGCAUGCUAGGGAUGCUGGAAAGCAUCCCACUGUUUCCCAUUUAUGUGGGCGAGGCCAUUUGUCUUGUCAAAUGGGCAAGACGACGCGAAUGAGGCCUUUCUGGGCCAAAUCGGUGUGAUAUUGCCCACUAUUUUGGGGUUGGGCCCAUGGUCCGGGGGUGCCAGGAAGGUUGGAGAGCAUCCUAGUAUUGCUUGUAUAUGCGAACGAUGCCAUUUGGUUGGUCAAAUGGACAAAAUAGUGAGAAUGAGGCAUUUUGAGGCCAAAUCGGUGUGCUAUAUCGCGUGGUUCUGGGGGGUCGUGGGCCGAAAAUUGCCUCGAUUGUGGCAGGGAGGCUAGGGAUCAUUCCAGAGUUUCCCUUUUAUGUGGGCGAGGUCAUUUGGUUCGUCAAAUAGGCAAAACGGCGUGAAGGGGGCAUUUUGGGGAAUAAUUGGUGUGCUAUAGGCCGCGGUUCCAAAGAUGGGCCCGCGGUCCAGGGGUGCCUAGGACAAUAAUUGACCCGGGCGUCCAAAUAGUCUGGAGAUCGUCCCAGUAUUGACCGUUUGUGUGGGCGGGGAUAUUUAGUUGGUCAAACGGGCAAAAGAGUGUGAACUGGGCAUUUUGGGGCGAAAUUGAUGUGCUGUAGCCCACGGUUCUGAGGGUGGACCCGAGGUUUGGUAGUCCCGUAGGAGAAAAAUCGAUCGGUCCAUGAAAGGGAGGCUGAGGAGCGUCCCAGUGUUUCUCGUUUGUGUAGGAGGGGCCAUUUGGCUGGUCAAACAGGAGAAACAGCAUGAAUAGGGCAUUUUGAGGCCAAAUCGGUGUGCUAUAGCCCACGGUUCCCAGGGUGCUCCUGGGGUUCGAGUAGCCAUGGGCCAAAAAUUGACUCAAGCAUGCCAGGGGGGUUAGAAGCAUCCUUGUAUUUCUCGUUUAUGUGUGCGGGGCUAUUUGGUUUGUCAAACAGGCGAAACAAUAUAAAUGAGGCAUUUGGGGUCCAAAUCAGUAUGUUAUAGCCCACGGUUUCGGAGGUACCGUGGGCCCAAAAUUUCCUCGGGCGUGCCAAGCAUGCUGCUGAGUGUCCAAGUGUUGCUCCUUUGUGUUGGGGCUAUUUAGUUGGUGAAACGGGUGAAAUGGCGCGAAUGGGGCAUUUUGGGGCCUAAUCGGUGUGCUAUAGCCCACGUUUUUUAUGGUGGGGUUCGGAUUUCGGGGGUGCCAUGGGCUGAAAAUUAACCUUGGUGUGCCAGGGUGGAUGAAGAGCAUCCCAAUAUUGACGGUUUGUGUGGUUGGGUCCAUUUGGUGGGUCAAACGAGCAAAACAACGAAAAUGGGCAUUUUGGGGCAAAAUCGGCGUGCUAUAGCCCACGGUUCCCACGGUGGGCUCGGGGUCCGGGAGUGCCAUAGGUCGAAAAUAAACUCAGGUAUGCUAAAGAGGCUGGGGAGCGUACUAAUAUUAUCUACUUGUGUGGGCGGGGACUUUUAGUAGGUUAAAUGGGCGAAACGGCAUGAGCGGGGCCAUUUGGGGCUAAAUCAAUGUGCUAUAGCCUACGAAUCCGGGGUUGAGAUCGAGUUCUAAGGGUGCCGUAGGCCGAAAAUCAAACCGUGCAUGCCAGGGAGGCUAGGAGCAUGCCAGUGUUGCCUUUUUGUAGGGGCGGGACCAUUUGAUAGGUCAAACGGGAUAAAGUACACGAAUGGGGCAUUUUAUGGCCAAAUCGGUGUGCUAUAGCCUACGGUUAUGGAAGUGGGCCUGGGGAUCGGGGGUUCCAUGGGCAUAAAAUUGAUCAGGGAAUGCCAGGGAGGUUGGGAAGCAUCCCAGUGUUGACUGUUUAUAUGGUCGGGGCCAUUUGGUUGGUCAUGCCAGAGAGGCUGGAAAUAUUCCAGUGUUUCCCGUUUGUAUGGGCGGGGCCAUUUGGUUGGUCAAACGGGCGAAACAGCGUGAAUGGGGCAUUUUGGAGCCAAAUUAGCGUGCUAUAGCCCACGGUUUCGGGGGUGUCAUGGGCCAAAAAUGGCCCGGGCGUGCCAGGGAUGCUGGCGAGCAUCCCAGUGUUAUUCGUUUGUAUGGGCGGGGCCAUUUGGUUGGUCAAAUAGGAAAAAAGGCUUGAACGGGGCAUUUUUAGGCCAAAUUGGUAUGUUAUAGCCCACCUUUCCGGGGGGGUGUUCGGCUUCCAAGGUGCCGUAGUUCAAAAAUUGAUCCGGGCAUGCUAAAGUCACUGGGAAGCAUCCUAAUGUUGCCCGUUUGUGUGGAUGGGACCAUUUGGUUGUUCAAGCGGGCAAAAUGGUACAAAUAGGGUAUUUUGGGGCAAAAUCAUUGUGCUAUAGCCUAUGGUUCCCGGGGUGGGCUCGGGGUUCGGAGGUGCCGUAGGUCAAAAAUUGAAUCGGGUGUGACAGAGAGGCUGGGGAGCGUACCAGUAUUUUCCGUUUGUGUAAGCGAGGCUAUUUGGUUGGUCAAACGAGCAAAAUGGCGCGAAUGGGGUAUUUGGAUGCCAAAUAGGUGUGCUAUAGCCUACGGUUCAGGUGGUGGGCCUUGGGUUCGGGGGUAACGUAGGGUGAAAAUUGACUCGGGUAUGCUGGAGAGGAUAAGGAGCAUGACAGUGUUGCCCGUUUGUGUCGGCGAGGCAUUUGAUUGGUCAAAUGGGAAAAACAGCAUGAAUGAGGCAUUUUUGGGCCAAAUCGGUGUGCUAUAGCCUCAUGUUCUGGGGGUGGGCCCCGGGUUCGAGUGUUUCGUUGGUCGAAAAUUGCCCCGGGCAUGCUAGGGAGAUUGGAGAGUGUCUCAGUGUUGCCCAUUUGUGUGGGCGGGGCGAUUUUGGUUGGUCAAAUAGGUGAAACGGCACAAAUGGAGCAUUUUGGGGCCAAAUCGAUGUGCUAUAGCCCACGGUUCCGGGGCUGGGCCCAGGGUUCGGGGGUGUCGUGGUUCGAAAAUCAAUUCGGGCAUGCCAAGGAGGCUGGUGAGCGUCCCUGUGUUUCCCGUUUGUGUAGGCGGGGCCAUUUGGUUGGUCAAAUGGGCGAAAUGGCGUGAAAGGAGCAGUUUAAGGCCAAAUCGUUGUGCUAUAACCCACGAUUUUGAGGGUGGACCCGGGGUUUGGGGAGCCGUGGAUCAAAAAUUGACUAGGGCAUGCCAGGGAGGCUGGAAGUGUCCCAUUGUUGCCCGUUUCUGUCGGCGGGGCCAUUUGGUUAGUCAAACGGGCGAAACGGCGUGAACGAGACAUUUUGAGGCAAAAUCUUCUAAAGUUGAGAAAUAUGUUGUUAAUUAUUUUAUCCUCUAAUAUUAUGGCAUGUAGUUGAUAAAAUUAUUUUUUAAUUCUAAAAUUAUGACAUGUUGUUGAUCAAAUUAUUUUUUUCUUGCCACUUGGUCCUUUUCGUUUGGUAUAUCAUAAUAAUAUGCUAAACUACUCUAUCUAUUGAGUUUGUCUUUAUAUUUUUAGUUGUUUGACUAAUCGAUUGAUUCUCUUAAAAUUUUUAAUUAUAAUAUUCAGUUUCUGAUAAAUUACAUACAGUUUAAUUAAUUUAAUUGAUAAAUACAAUAAUUAAAUAUCCUAUAAUCUCUUGAUCUAUUAAAGUAUUUAUAUUUUAAAACUUUUAUUAACACAACUAUUAUUAUAACAUUAUUUGUACAAAAUUUUUACAAUUCUUACUCAAUUACACAAUUAAAAAGAUUUUAUUUUAAAAUUAUCUUUAGCAUGUUGAUUUAUCUACAAAAAAUUAAAAUAACUUUUUAAAAAUAAUAUCAUACAUGUAUUACUAUUUUAUGUGUUUUGAAAAAUUUAUCUUGUUUAUCACUCUUUUUCAAAAUAUGAGUAAUAAAUUAUAUAUUCACUUACAUUAAAAUUAAGAACUAAUUAAAGUUGCCUCAUCAUUAACCGAUAAGCUUAUUGUAAAUUUCCAUAAGGAAAAUUGGGUUGUGCACAUAUAAAAAGAGUCAAAAUAUGAGUAAUAAAUUAUAUAUUCACUUACAUUAAAAUUAAGAACUAAUUAAAGUUGUCACAUCAUUUUCUGAUGGUAUUAUUAUAAAAUCCGGUCAUAGUGACAUUUGUGAUGGUCGGAGCAAAGUUAAAUGACUUUUGUGUAAUGAAUAAAAAGUAACUUUUGCGUAAUAGAUACAAAGUUAAGUGACCGUGAAUUUCCUCGAAUAAGAAGUCAUAGCGCAUCGUUUGUAUCUGAAGGUAUAUACGUUGUAAUUGUUACAUUAACCAGCUUAACAUGCCAUUAUCUCAACGAAAACAACUUAGUUGGAUCUAUCGAUCCCCAUAUCAAUUGGCAACUUAAGAGACCUUCAGGGCUUGCAUAAGUUUACUCCGAGAAAUUCUUUAAAAUCACGGGUUCAAACUUAAUAGUUGUUGGUAUUUUUUGUAGCUUUUUCCAUAUAUAUGUAUCAAUACUUUGUAUCAAAAGAUAUAAAUCCCUGUGAACCUAUAGCUGACACUAGUUAAAUUUUGGUUUGCCAAAAAUAAAUCCCUAUUCAUUAUGAUAUUGUAGUACUGUUUAAGUUGUUAAACACAAAUUAUAAAUUUCGCCUGUAUCUACGGAAGUUAAACAAAGAUAAUAAUAAAGAAAAUCUACUCAAUUUAUUCUUGCUCCUCCAAUUAGCAUCUUACAUUCGGUAUAAAAACGUAGUGGAAGACUCCUUUUGAGUCUUCUUUCUCGGUCUGCCAUUAAAGUUGCUUUUUUUGUUUCCUUAGUUGUAUUAUUAGUGUACUUAAUUAAUGAGAAAUAAAGGAAAGCAAUUCCUUUUUCCCUAAAAAUGCGUGAAUGGAAAAUAAUUAUAAAAGAAAUUCUUAUAGAUUUUAAAGUCAGAAUGAGCGAGAGACCUCUUUGCUACGUAUUUAAAGUCUCAAAACCACAUCAUUACUAUCCACAUCCAUAUUCCUACCAAUAUAUGCAAUUAUGGAGAAAGCUUUCAUCUCUUUUCUCUUGUUGCUUCAGUACUAUAUUAUAAGUAGUUCAGCCAUGACCCAACAACUUAACAUCUCCACUGAUCAAUUAGCUCUCCUUUCCCUGAAAUCUCAAAUCAUUUCGGACCCCUUUCAUUACUUGGACGAAAGUUGGUCUCCAGCUACGUAUGUUUUCCAUUGGGUUGGAAUCACUUGUGGCUCUCGUCAUCAGCGAGUGACGUCCUUGAAUCUUUCCAACAUGGCUCUUACGGGCGUAAUACCCCGUGAACUUGGAACCUAACAUUUCUUGUUUAUCUUGACUUGGGAAGCAACAAUUUCCAUGGACAUUUGCCUCAAGAAAUGACACACUUGCAUCAACUUAAGGUUCUUGAUUUGAGUAUCAACAGCUUCAGCGGGGAGGUUCCCUCUUGGUUUGGGUUUUUACACCAACUUCAAGUACUAAACCUUGGAAAUAAUAGUUUCACUGGUUCCAUCCCUUGUUCAUUUUCUAAUGUUUCCACACUUGAGACUUUGAAUCUGAAUUUCAAUUCCAUAGAUGGCCAAAUACCAAAAGUGAUUGGAAGUCUUGUAAACCUUAAACUUGAAGGGUAACAAGCUCGUAGGCUUUAUUCCUAUGUCACUAUCGAAUGCCUCAAGGUUGGAGACUUUGGAGAUAUCUUAUAAUUCACUUCAAGGAAACAUCCCAGAGUGGAUCGGCAAUCUUCACAACAUGAAAGUGCUAUCCAUACAAGCUAAUCAACUUACGGGUUCUAUACCUUUCAUAAUUUUCAAUAUUUCAAGAAUUGAAGUCGUUGCAUUUGCCGACAAUAGCUUAUCAGGAUAUCUUCCCAAUGGUUUAUGCAAUGAUCUGUCAAUACUCAAAGGGCUUCAUUUAUCCAAAAACAAGCUUCACGGUCAUAUGCCUACAAGCUUAUCAAAUUGUUCACAACUUCAAAUUUUGUCACUAUCGGAUAAUGAGUUUGAUGGACCAAUACAUAGUGAAAUUGGAAGAUUGAGUAACUUGCAGACAUUGUUUCUAGGAUUUAACCAAUUCAAUGGAAUGUUUUUAUCGUAUGAAUAAUAGCACUAUUGUAUCUUAUUACUUCAGAAUUUUAUUUUAUUACACAUUUAUUGCAGGGAUAAUUCAACAAGAAAUUGGAAAUCUUGUUAAUUUGGCAGAGUUAGCCAUGGAGAUAAACCAGAUUACCGUCUUUGUCCUGAUCUCCCUAUUAAAUAUCUCAUCACUGCAAAUUUUGCACUGUCGAUGAACAACUUUAGUGGAUUCUUACCACGGGAAAUUGGCAACUUAACCAAGAUGCAGAAUCUACAGCUUGGUGACAUAAGCUUAUCGGUACAUAUACAUUCUACUGGUGUCUCAUUCUAUGAAUUUAUGCAUGUAAUGAGUAACAAACUGUAACAAUUAUAAAUAAAUCUUCAAGCGUAUGACAACAAACACCAUCUAAGGAGCAUCUCAUAAUGUUUAAAAUUAAUUUGUUUAAGAAAUAACCAGUAAAUUUGAACUCCCGUUGGUAGUUAGCUAACUUCUAAUGGAGUAUCAGUUUAUAUAUUUGAGUUCAUAUAAACAUACAAAUCUGCACAAUUAGAAAUUCACAGAAAAUUAUACUAAGAACUUUAAUAGAGAAAAAAAUUAUAUAAUAUGUAUAUUCUUCUUAAGACUUUGAUCAAUAACAAUAGGAAAAAGAAGUACAUAGUUAUUACAUAAUUUUCUGAUUUCUUGUCGAUACCUUCUCCUAGAACCAAUUAAAAUUCAAGAGUCUUCUUAUCAGGUCAAACUAAAGCAUGAAUCAGAUAGAUAAGCAUUGAGCUAAAUAGUUCAUCUCACUUGUAUUCUUGUUUUUCUUCAUGUGUUUCCAGGUGAAAUACCCAAAGAGAUAAGCAAUCUUGUUGAGUUGGAGGUACUUGAUCUUUCGGGCAAUAGUUUUAGUGGUUCACUUGAUAUGGAGAUCUUCAACAUAUCAGGGCUGAGAGUGAUUUCUAUUUCAAACAAUAAUCUAUCAGGAAGCCUCCCACCAAACAUGUUUUCUCUCUCAACCAACAUUGAAAAGCUUUAUAUGAACGACUUAACCAAUCUUGUUAGGACUAUUCCUCAUUCUAUCUCCAAUUGUUCAGAACUUACUAUUCUAGAGCUUUCUAAUAACCAACUCACCGGCUUGAUUCCCAAUUCUCUUGGACAUUUGGCUCAUCUACAGUUACUAAACUUGGAGAGAAACAAUUUCACAAGUGAUUCAACAUUAAGCUUUCUGAUUUCCUUAACCAGUUGCAGAAAUUUAACAUUUCUAUCUGUAUAUUUGAAUCCUCUAAACGGAAUGCUUCCUGCCUCCACGGGGAACCUUUCCACCUCUCUUAGAACAUUUGUCUCCGACAUUUGUAAAAUCAAAGGGUGAAUUCCUAAUGAGGUUGGGAACUUAAGCAGCUUAUUAGACCUUAGCCUUUCUGGAAACAACUUGGUCGGAUCGAUUCCAACAUCAAUUGGCAAUUUCAGAGACCUUCAGCGGUUCAACUUGAGUAGCAACAAAGUUACAGGAUUUAUUGGAGAUCAUAUAUGUAAAUUGCAGCAUCUGGGUGAUAUUUACUUGGAUCAAAAUCAACUUUCAGGAUCUCUCCCUAAUUGUUUAGGGAAUAUUACUUCCCUUAGGGAGAUACAUCUCGGUUCCAACAAAUUGAGUUCCAAUAUACCAACAAUCUUAGGGAACCUUCAAGAUCUAGUGGUUCUUGACUUAUCGUCAAACAACAUGGUAGGUUCUUUACCUCCAGAAAUUGUAAAUCGAAAGGCUGCGACACUGAUAGAUCUGUCAAUGAAUCAAUUCUCAAAUGGAAUUCCUACAGAAAUUGGAGGCUUGCAAAAUCUGGCAAACCUUUCUUUGACACACAAGAAGUUGCAAGGAGCUUUACCUGACUCAAUGAGCAACAUGGUAGGUUUGGAAUUCCAAGACCUUUCUCACAAUAAUAUAUCUGGAAUCAUUCCUAAGUCUUUGGAGAAACUUCAAAACUUGAAGUAUUUCAAUGUUUCUGUCAACAAAUUGUAUGUUGAAAUACCCUCUGGGUCCUUUCAAGAAUCUCUCGAGUCAGUUUUUCAUCCACAAUGAAGCAUUGUGUGGUUCUUCAAGAUUUCGGGUCCCGCCAUGCCCCACUUCACCAAAGCACAAAUCAAAUAGGGAAAAAUUGCUUGUUCUUUUUCUUUUGCUCGCAAUUGCAGUUGUAUUUGUUACUAUGGACUUUGUGCUCCUAUGGAUAAGGUAUAGAAGAGGUAAAAGUGCGCCUCAACAAGCUGAGUCAUUGUCUACCGUAACACGAGAAAGAAUUUCACACUAUGAACUGCUCCAAGCAACGGAUGACCUUAGUGAGAGUAAUCUGAUUGGUUUUGGAAGUUUUGUCUCUGUUUACAAAGGUGUUCUCAGAAGUGGAACUUCCAUUGCAGUUAAAGUGUUCAACCUGCAACUGGAUGCGGCAUUCAAGAGUUUUGAUACGGAAAGUGAUGUUUUGUGCAGCCUUCGUCAUAGGAAUCUCGUUAAAGUCAAUUACUAGUUGUUCCAAUCUUGAUUUCAAGGCUUUAGUGCUCGAGUAUAUGCCUUAUGGAAGUCUUGAGAAGUAUUUGUAUUUGCACAACUACUUCCUUGACACCAAUCAGAGAGUAAUCAUAAUGAUCAUGUGCUUAGGAAUAUCUUCACCAUGGGUGCUCGUUGCCUGUGAAUCACUGUGACGUGAAGCCUAGUAACAUCUUGCUGGAUGAAGAUAUGGUUGCCCACCUUAGCGACUUUGUCAUCUCAAAACUGCUUGGUGAAGAUCAGGGUGAUUUGUACACUAAAACCUUAGCAACGUUAGGUAAUAUUGCACGAGGUACGUCUCUUAGUUUUGCUGAUUACUCCUUUCUUUUUUCCCCACCUAGAAAGCAUAUUGCUUCUUUAAAUGAAUUGUUUGACUGUAGAGUAUGGACUGAAUGGACUAGUGUCAACAAAGUGUGACGUAUAUAGCUACGGAAUCAUGUUUCUGGAAACGUUUACUAGGAGAAAGCCUUAUGAGUUUGAGGGUGACCUUAGCUUGAAGCAUUGGGUGAGUUAUUCACUCCCAGAGGAAGUAAUGGACGUCGUAGAUGUCAACUUCGUGACACCAAUUGGUAAUCUCUUACAGAAGGAGCUAGAUGUUGUGGCAUCAAUCAUGAAAGUGGCAUUAGAUUGUUGUGCUGAAUGUCCGGCGAAAAGGACUAACAUGAAAGAUAUUGUAGCGAUGCUGCAGAAGGUCAAGAUUCAACUUCUUGCAUGUUGAACAUGUUUUGGAAUCUGUUGUUCCAAGUCACUUGUUCGUUUCAAAAUUUUCUAAAUUGUUGUAUUCAUGUAAAGAUUGUUGUUUGGUUUGUUUGUUUUAGCACUUGAUUUGCACAUGAUUCUAAGUUCUAACAGUUAUUAAAUUAGCUCCAGGUAUGCCUCCUGUUAAUCUUCCACCUUCUGUUCGAGUAAUGUCUCACAGUCCAUUUUAUUGGCGCAUACAUCCUAUCUUGGAAGAUAUCUCAUGAUUCCCUAUCUCAGCAGAUCUUCCAUAUCUCAGUAUAUCAUAGUGAUUUAGUUUCUAUUUAGGAGAAGACCACGAUUCUUUAUUAGUUGAUUCUUUCCUUAUUUAGUUUGUAUUCUCUUUUAUAUAUACACAUACAUGUAAGUGAAAUCAAUAGAAGCUUUCAUACUUUACUCAUCUUUAUAUGGUAUCAGAAGCCUCAGUAUACUCUAACGAGUAAGAUUUCUUUUUCUGUCCCACCCACCCUCCACAAAUGGCAGACACUCCUCGAGUUGUUAAUGCUGACAAUAAUGUCAUCUCGAUGGUUGUUCAAUUUAACCCUGCGUCCCAAUUGCCCAUUAAAUUACUUGGCAGCCAUAAUUUUGCAACGUGGAAGGCACAAUUUUCCAUGCUUAUGCAUGGUCAUAAUCUCUAUGGUCAUCUUGACGGGUCUACACCUUCCCCAUCUCACACUAUCACAACUGGCACAGUCCCUAGUGCCAAUCCUGCGUUUACUCUUUGGUUUCGACAAGACCAACUUAUUCAAAACGCACUUAUGGCAUCUGUUGAUCCAACAAUUGCCACAACUGUUGCAGCGCCUAUGAGAACAAGUCCCAAACCAGAAUUUUCAGUCUACAUGAUCGACUUAUCCAUGCUCGGGACUCCACUAUUACUUAUGAAGAACUCUACGAAAAGCUUCUGGAUCAUGAGCUUUUCCUUCGACAUGAAGAGUCAGAAAAAGGGCCCAAUUAGAUUACUAAUGCUGCUGCUACCUUCAGCAAGCCUGGUACUUCGAACAAUCGCACCAAUCGUCGCCCCAACAAUAACAAUGGCAACAACCAAAAGUUGCGAUCCGACAAUCACUUUACUUCACCCAAUCCACGACGAUCUUCGACCAUCAAUAACUCUUUUGAUGGUGUUCGCUGUCAGUUGUGCAAUAAACUAGGUCAUGUUGCAAGUGUUUGUCGAUCAAAAUCUCGUAAUCACUUUGAGGCAAAAUCCAAUUAUGGUUCAGGAUUACGGGCAUCAAAAAAUCCUUGGAUUCUCGACUCCGGUGCGUCUCAUCACAUCACUGCGUAACCUCAAAAUUUUCAGCCAUACAAUGGGAUAGAGCAGGUCUCCAUGGGUGAUGGUAACAAAAUACCUAUAACUCACACUGGUUCAACUCAAUUAAAUACAUCAAAUAAAUCUUUCAAACUUUCUAACACUCUCUGUGCUCCUAUCAAUAAACGUAAUUUACUCUCUGUCUCUAAAUUUUGUCAAGAUAACCUAACCUCUAUUGAAUUCUUUCCCUUUCAUUUUUUUAUGAAGGACUUGAAACUACAGAUUUCGUUUGUGCACGGUCAGAAUAAGGACGGUCUCUAUGAGUGGCCAAAUUUACCCUCCAUGUUUUCUCCUCAUGUUCAUUUGACCUCCACCAGCAUAUCCGCUUCUACCUGGCAUAGUCGGUUGGGUCAUACAAAUGCAAGAGUGUUGCAUUUUCUUUUGAAUAAAUUCUCGCUACCUUGCUCGCGAGAAAAAAAUUUAGUUUGUAAUUCUUCUUCCUCGACUAAGGCUCAUCGCCAUCCUUUUAGACAUUUUACUUUAUCAAGUAUCAAACCAUUUCAAACAAUAUUUAAUGAUUUAUGGGGUCCUUCUCCAAUUCAAUCGAUUGACAAAAAAUUAUACUAUUGUAUUUUUGUGGAUCAGUAUACUCGAUACACCUGGCUUUACAUAUUAAAGAAUAAAACAGACCUUUUCAAAAACUUUCAAGCAUUAACUGAAUGUCAUUUUAAUACGAAAGUUCUUUCUAUCUAUACAGAUGGUGGUGGUGAAUAUAAAAGUCUUGAUCCAUACCUAAGAGCUCAGGGUAUUGAACAUCUUUUUGUUAGCCCAUAUGUUAUUGGGCCUUUAGUUUAUGGACCUUUAGGUUAUUGGCUAUGUAUAUAUAGCCUACUCUUAUUUUAGUUAGUUUUAUGCUUUUCAGAUUAUAUUGUAAACCUUAGCCUUUCUUCCCUUCAAUAAAGUUCUAUUAACAGUUUUCAAUAUGUAGGUCACUUGACCAAAUUACAUCAAUAAUAUGUUUAUUACAAUUCCUUAAAAAUUUUUGGGUGUCUGUUAUCUCUGGCUCAAACCUUAUUAAAAAAAUAAAUUAGAGCCACGAUCAACACCAUGUGUAUAUUUAGGAUUUUCUUUAGUUCAUCAUUGUCACCAAUGUUUUGAUCCGAAAUCUUAUAAAAUAUAUUUAUCUCGUGAUGUGAAUUUUUUUGAAAAUAAUUUUCCUUUUCAAAAUAUAUUUUUAAAUAUUUCUUCAACUUGCAAAGAGCUUGUGUAGGAAAACCCAACUGACACUACCCCAACAACAUCCCCUAGUCUUUCUUCUCCAAUAAUCAGCGAAUUACUCAGCCCCAUACUUAUCCCAAGUUCAGAUAGCAGCAACGCUCUCAAAGACACCGUCUCCUCUUCCUACGCUCCAACAGAAUCUGCAAGUUCAGGUAUUUCUUCUCCUCCUCCUCCUACAAAUUUUGUUCUUCCUACUGAUAUCCGUGACACCCACUCUUAUCCCCCAUUACCUCAAUCAUCAGCUUUUCUAAUUGUAUACAGUAGUCGCAGAAAUAAAACAAUGUCAUCUGCUAGCCAAAACACCGUUGCCUGUCCCUUCACCUCACUUCCGCUACAACCUCCCCCUAACCCUGCUCAAGCCACAGAACCUCAACAACCUUCUCUUCCUACUCCAAAUCGUGUUGUGAUCUGUUUACAGCACAACAUUUACAAACAAAAACCAUUCUUGACUUCAUGGCUCACUUAUCCCCCUUCAUUACCCCGACCAACAUCAAACAAGCAAACAAACACCCAAAGAGGCAAGGAGCAAUGAAAAAUGAAUUUGAUGCAUUAUUGAAUAAUCAGACAUGGGAUUCGGUACCACAUGACCCCACAAAAAAUAUUGUUUCUUGCAAAUGGUUAUACAGGUUAAAAAGAAAAGUUGAUGGGACAAGCGAUCGCUACAAGGCUCGACUUAUUGCAAAGGGGUUUACACAACGUCCUGGAGUUGAUUAUCAUGCCACGUUUAGUCUGGUCAUCAAACCAACUACUGUACAUUUGGUUCUCUCUAUUGCUGUCCAACGGAAUUGGCCCCUACGCCAGCUUGAUAUUAAUAAUGCGUUCGUACAAGGUCUUUUAGAAGAAGAAGUGUACAUGGUCCAACCUCUAGGUUUUGCAGAUGAGCAGUUUCCCUCCCACAUAUGUCGUCUAAAAAAAGCAAUAUAUGGCCUCAGGCAAGCCCCUCGGGCGUGGUACAAUGAACUUAAGACAUUUCUUCUUUAUCUGGGAUUUGUCAAGUCAGAAUCUGAUGCCUCACUCUUUAUUCACAAAGUGUCAAACAACAUUUUCUACACACUAGUUUAUGUAGAUGAUAUUAUUAUUAGAGGGAAUCACAACUCAGAGGUAAAUCGGGUUAUUAGUCGUCUUGCUGGGCAUUUUUCCAUUAAGGAUCUUGGUAAUCUAAACUUCUUUCUUGGAGUGGAGGUUCUCGAAACUACGAAAGGAAUCUCUUUAUCACAGUCCAACUACAUCAAUGAAAUCCUCUCUGACGAAAACAUGAAGGACUGUAAUUUAGCAAAAACCCCAAUGAGUGCCACUGAAGUGCCUCAACUACAUGAUGGUGCGGAACCAACUGAUGCCACUCGCUACAGAAGAGUUCUUGGAAAACUACAGUACUUUUCUUUUACUCGUCCAGACAUUAACUUCUCUAUGAAUAAAUUGUCUCAAUUUAUGCACUCUCCAUCUGAAGUGCAUUGGAAAGCACUCAAACGAGUACUUAGGUAUCUCCAAGGAACAGUGCAGUUCGGUCUUCACAUUCAAAGAGGUAAUGAUUUCAAUCUACACAUUUACUCUGAUGCGGAUUACACUAGAGAUAUGAGUGAUCGAGCUUCCACUACUAGUUACAUAUUGUUUUUUGGACAAAAUCCUGUGAGCUGGUCUUCUUGGAAACAAAGAACAGUUGCUCGCUUAUCAACUGAAGCAAAGUAUCGUGUUGUUGCAAGUGCGCUGGCUAAAACCAACUGGGUGACAAAUCCGCUAAAAGAAUUACAUGUUUCACUCCCUCAAAGACCAACCAUUUACUGUGACAAUGUUGGUGCAACUUAUUUGUGUGCAAAUCUAGUUUUUCAUAGCCGCAUGAAUUACAUUGCUGUAGACUUUCACUUUGUUCGCAAACAAGUUCAGCAGAAUCAAGUUCACAUUGUUCAUAUUCAUGAACAAAUCGCAGAUACUCUAACUAAAUCUCUUCCAAAGCAAGCCUUUGAUAAACACCUAUUCAAGCUAGGCUUUGCUACACAUUGCCUAUCUUGAGGGGGCCGUAUUGGCGCAUUCAUCCUAUCUUGGAAGAUAUCUCAUCAUUGAUCUUCCCUAUCAUAAUGAUUUAGUUUCUAAUUAGGAGAAGAUCACAAUUAUUUAUUAGUUGAUUCUUUCCUUAUUUAGUUUGUAUUCUCUUGUAUAUAUACACAUACAUGUAAAUGAAAUCAAUAGAAGCUUUCAUACUUUACUCAUCUUUAUACAUUUUUGGUACAGGUGAUGGUGUAAGUCAAGUUUAAAAAUGCAUUCUUUGCUCUUCGGGGCUCUUUGCCAUAUUAUCAGUCGAACUCUAGGCUGACCUCUUUGCACACUUUAUUGGAAGAUCACCUACUACUACUUCAGUUUCUGGAGCGAACCGUUGAAAUCUGCCUCAUUAGCUGUUAAAUAAUGUUGGUUUGGCAUGAUUACGUGGCUGCCGAUGUGUCUUUUGUUUUCCAGAAAAUAGAUAUUUUUUUUAAUUUUUUAGUUGUGAGUUUCCAAGUCUUUAGGCAAAUAGCUGUUGGUGGACUUAGUUCCUAUUUAUUAGGAAAGUUCAGUUUUUUUGCGUUACUGCAUUUGUCGCUGCAGUUUUUUAGGAUUUUCUGUAUUUAAACAGCUUCUUUGCAUCAUAAUAAGAUAUCUCUCUUUUCCUGUUCAUUUGUUGUAUGUUUUUCCUCUGUAAACAUCUACAUAAACUCCUCGAAACAAUGAUGUUGAUGAAGAAACUGGAAAUGACGUUGAUGAUUUGGAAGAUCAGUCUCUUGCAGAAAUUGUGAUGGAUCAGGAAGAGCUAAGUGACCAUUAUUAGGUAGUGAAGUACCAAUCAUUUCUUAUUUCUCCACAACCCUGAUAGUUUUGUUUUUCAUUUGCGGUCAAGUAAUAAGUAAUACUUUUAUGAUGCAUUAUUGGUCCAUCUUUCACAACAUAAUUGGCAUAUGGCUGUUGCGAAAGAUUGUGGAUUAACUAGAACACAAAGCAAAUAGACAAGAAAAAUAACACAAAGGUUUUCUACAACCAUCAAGGAAAGGUCUCAUUUUGGUUUUGUAGAAUGAAUGUUAAAAGCAGAAUGCUCAGAAUCGUAUGAUUCAAUACCUGACAAAAUGAUCAUAUUAGCCGAGAGUACCUAUUUUAAGAUCAGAUGAUCCACCUCUUUGUUUACCUGUGAAAGGCAACUUAGAAUGGUUAGAUACGAGGAGAACAACACAUAAAGGAAAAUGACACCUGUUCUGUUCUAUAGGUUAUCUUGGUUGCAAUUAGUUGUUAAGUUUUAGAGAACUUAAUUUUUUUAGUGUAACAAAAUGUUCUUAAUAGAGCGGAAUGGAGGCCUGCAAUGCAUUCCAUACCAACUAGUUUGUGAUCAAGGUAGAGUUAACUUUAUGAAUACAAAGCUAUAUAGCUGUCCGAGUAAUGGUGUGCGAAACAAUAGUAAAGCCGUAUACCAAUUAGCAGUAGUGCUGCAGAUGAGUAAUCAGAAUCUACAGGAAACAAGUGCGUGGAAUAUCUCCAUCAUGGGUGUCCGUCGGUUGUGAUUCACUGUGAUCUAAAGCCUAGUAAUGUCUUGCUGGAUGAGGAUAUGGUUUCCCACCUAAGCGACUUUGGCAUUUCAAAACUACUUGGUGACGAUGAGAGUGAUUUAUACACUGAAACCUUAGCAACACUGGGUUAUAUUGCUCCGGGUACAUCUCUUUGUUAUGCUAAUUAUUUGAACAUUAAUUAUUCCUUUCUUUUUUUUCCCCACUUAUAAAGCAUAUUGCAUCUUUAAAUGAAUUAUUUUACUAUAGAGUAUGGACUGGAUGGACUAGUGUCAACAAAAUGCGAUGUCUACAGUUACGGGAUCAUGUUGCUGGAAACGUUGACUAGGAGAAAGCCUAAUGAGUUUGAGGGAGAUCUUAGCUUGAAGCAAUGGGUGAGUUAUUCACUUCCAGAGGCAGUAAUGGAUGUGGUAGAUGCCAACUUGCUCACAUCAACUGGCAAUUGCUU